rnacentral:lncRNA from 1 species
UUUUUUUUUUUUUUUUGUAAAAUGACAAAUAAAAAAGGUGUAAUUAUCUUAAAAUUGAAAUAAUUAGGAUUCAAAUUAAUUGACAGAUGAAAAUGAAAAUGAAAUUUUUUUGGAGUUAUUAUCUUUUCAGUUAUUUAUUAGUUAUUAUCUAUUUAUCCUCCACAUAAUAAUUCACAAUUUUCCAAAAAAAUGAAAACAAUUAAAUUAGAGAGAGAGAGAGAGAGAGAGGAAAGAAAACAAUAAAUUAAAUUCCAUUAACAUGAAUGUGUUAUAAAAAAGAGGGGGGAAAAGGGAAUUGGAGAAGAACGAGGAUGAUGGAGAGAUCGGCGUAAGAAAAUUGUUUCGGUCGCCGAUAAAAUCCAGACCCCGUUACUCGAUAAUUCUUCGUUUCAAACCCCAAUUAACAAACCCUUUUGUUUUUUCUUUUCUUAAAAGAUUCUGACGAUUGAUUUCCCAUUUCGUUCUGUUUUGUAGGUAAUGAAUUGUGCUCCUUCUAAUUCUCGCUUUUGGGUUUCUUAAGCUUUUUUCUUUUUGACCAGAUUAGUUUGGGUUGAAUCUUAUGUGUUGUUUGAUUUUGAUUUCAGAGAGACGGAGGAGAAGAAAAGAAGUGGUGGGUUUGGGGAAAAUGUUGUGCAGAAUUGCUUUGAUGUCGAAGAAGAAGAAGAGUGGAACAGUGCCGGUUUAUUUGAAUGUGUAUGAUUUAACACCCAUCAACGGCUACGCGUAUUGGCUUGGUCUUGGGGUUUACCAUUCCGGUGUGCAAGGUUAGCAAAUUGUGGCGUUUUUUUUUUCCUUCUGUGUUUCUGUUUUUCCCUUUUUGGGUUUUGUUAGAGGAGAUGAGGAGGAUUUGGGUCUUUUAUAAAUGAAUUUUUCCACUCGAAAGGGUUUGUUUUUUUUGAAGAAUUUUUCUUGAUUAUCCGUUGGGGUUUCCUACAGAUCUGAGGUUGAAUUCGUUUUAUUUUUGAGUGAAAUUUGCGGUACUUGAGAAACUAGAGGAACAUAAGGGGGCUUUAUGGUUGUGUUGUGAAGUUUUCUGGUUUUGGUUGUGGAUUUAUGUCUGUGAAAUAUGAUUCUGUAAUGUGUAGCUUGAUUUGGCUGUGAUUUUGAUGACUGAUGUGUUGAAAAAUUUUGAGUUCCUGCAUUUUUCUUUGAUUCUAAUUGUUUAUAUGAUUUUCUAUUGACCUUAAUCUAUAACGUUUUGUGUUUGACCUUUUCAAGAGAUUUUGGAUUGAUGACUUAAGCAGUCCAUAUUUUUCUUUGAUUAAAGUCCAAAAGAAAUCUCCCGUGUAUCCAGUUUGUUUAAUUUAUAUUAUCAAGUAGUGCAGGGUGUUCCAAAUUCAAAUAUCUUAAUAAAAGAAUCUUUUUUGCAGUUCACGGAGUUGAAUAUGCAUUUGGAGCACAUGAACAUGCAACUUCAGGUAUAUUUGAGGUAGAACCAAGACAAUGUCCUGGUUUUACAUUUAGGAAAUCAAUUUGCAUUGGAAGAACGAAUCUUGGUCCGAAAGACGUUCGCUCGUUUAUGGAGAAACUAGCUGAAGAGUACUCCGGGAACACUUAUCAUCUUAUAACAAGGAAUUGCAACCACUUUUGCAAUGAUGUAUGUAUAAGGUUGGCAGGGAAACCGAUCCCUAGCUGGGUCAACCGACUUGCUCGACUUGGUAAGAGCGCGGAUUAUAUUCCCAGUUUAACCAUUUUCUUCUUUAUAAUCAUAUUUUGUUCUAUGUUCAAAUUUGGUAACCAAGCUUCCUGCUUUUUACUUGUUGACUGUGCCUUGUCAUAGAGAAGUGAAAGUUUUCAUUCAACGGAGAAAAACCAGUUUACAAUGAUAACAUAACCACUGUGUUUCUGUGGCUUCUCCCUGCAUAAUUAAGAAAGUUUGACAUGACUCAUAACGUUACGACUUUGAGUGUUUCAUUUGUUCCCUCAACUGCCUUCUGCACAUCUCUGAGAUUGGAACUUACAACAAUUUUGUGAUUUUAAUUUUGAUCUAUGUUUUUGGUUUCCAGGUCUUUUCUGCAACUGCGUUCUUCCAGCGAGUUUGAACGAAGCAAAGGUUCGACAAGUAAGAUCAGGAGAUAAGCUUAACGAAGGUGUAAAGAAGAAAUUGAAAAGCCAACCAAUUAGGUACAAUAAUACAUCUUCUUCUAACCCUCCACGACCACCCUUGUCUUCCAAUCCUCCAACUUCAUCAACCAUCAAAGUAAGUAGACAAAAACGAUGUAUCCCAUCAGCAUCCUCGGCGAUUCAUUCUUCAGCAUCUACGACCCUGACUGUAAAGCUGUAAAAGUAAUUGGUUUCCUGUCGUUUAUAGGGUAUUUAAGAGUUUAAUUAACAACAGAAGAAGAAGAAGACAGGCAAAAUAGCAUAAUUUUCCAUUUUGCCUUUCUACUACUAAUCCCAAAGAAAGAAAGAAAGAAAAAAGAAGGAGAAUGGUGUUGGAGCAAAUUUUGUGUUGAAUUGAAGUGUGUUGUGUGUUGAACUGCUGAACGAAUCAUAUUACCAACUAUGAUAUUGAUUCUGAUAUUUAUCGAUUCAAAAUUAUGUAUAGAUUAGAAAAAACAGUGAUUUUUUAGGAAGUGGGAAAAAGAAUGGAAUGAAGAAGAAGAAAGAAGAAAGAAGAAAGAAGAGGGAUUGUAUCAAAACAUGUCAACUCAAGUGGAGACGGCAUUAAUGGAAGUGGGUAUGGUGGGGACUUAGGUGGUGGAAACUCCAUCCUCAUCUUCAUUCCAUUCACUUUCAUUUAACCAUUGGUAGUUUCUAUAUGGACCCAAAGUCUGAAAUUUAUAUAUAUAUAUAAUUAUAAUUAUAAUUUUAUAUUAUUAUAUAUCUCUCAAUGCGAAUGGUAAAAUAUAAACUGAAAUGGCAGCCGUCUUGUCUUGAGUCUUCCUCCUUUGAAUGGGUUAGAACUGAUAAUAUUUGGCUCUUUUGAAAGGGUUUGAAAGUUUUCAGGCAUAUAAUCAAUACUUGAAUUGUGUAGAAGUAUUAAUUAUGAAGAAACUUGAAUUUGUGUGCUUUGUAUCAGGUGUAUAGUGUCUUCCAUGUUCAAUGAGAUUAGUAAAUUUCUAUAUAAACAUAGUAACAUCUAAGAGUUGUGGUUGUCGUUUCUGAUUAUAAUAGGAUGUUAGGUAAUGGAAGUACGAACAGAAAGCGUUAUUAAAUACAACUAAGGGUUGUGGUUGUGGUUGUGAUCGUUUUUUUUUAUUAUACUAGGACGUUAGGUAAGAACAUGAGUAAAAGAAUAACGUUCUUAUCGACCAUCGGGUUUCCAAUGCUUGAUUAUUCAAAUCUAAUUCAACUAAGAGUAGCAAUUGUGUGGACAACAUGAUAGCUUUUUUAUUCUGUGGUAUUAUUAUAAGAAGUUAGGUAAGUGUAGAAGUAGUAGAAUUGAAUGGUUUUUGAGUCAAAUGUUGGAAGCCUUUGUUUGAAAGGUUUUUUUUAAAUUAAUUUAUUUUGACGUCAACGAAAUUAAGAAACUAUUAUUUUGUAUGAUUGAGAAUUGGACAAAUAUUAUUCUCGAACUAUAUACUAAAUUUAUUGAAUGCUUAAAUUAAAUCUUAAUGUUAUAAAUAGGAUUUUGGUCAAAUUUGGCCAACGUGGAUUUGUAACUAAUUUAUUGGUUUGUUUAAAGAUAUAUUAUUCUAACCAUUCACGACUCUUUAUCAAAGAUGAAUUCAUCAAAUAAUAAUUUCGAUUAACAGAAUUAUAAUGAAAUUUAGAUCAUAUAAAUUAUAAUAUAGUUAACUAUAAGGGAAAUUGUAAAUUAAAUAUUAGUAAGAAAAAAAAUUGAAUUCAGUUCUUAAUUUUCAACACGAAUUUUCCUUCCUUUUCUUUUCAUCCUCUCCUUCCCUGCCUCUUCUCUCCUGCAAUUUUUUAAAAUAUAAACUAGUACAAAUAUUUUUUAAAACACUCCUAAUUUUAAAGGUGAUUGCAAAAAUAGCAAAAAAAAAAAAAAAAAUUAUGAUAAUAAAACUUAUGUCACUACAUUUUUUAAUUGUAAAAUUAACAAAUUUAAGAGUACAUACCCGUUUUGAUAUAUUUGAUAUAUUUAGUAUGUAGGUUAUUUUUAAUCAUCAGAUCCGAUUUUCCCUUAAAUUGAAGAUAUUUUUAUGAAAGCAUAAGUAGUAUUUGUUGGGUUUUUAUUAAACUAAAAGAAAUUAAUUUUAACUUUUAACCAUUUUUUCUAAAAGAGAGAAGGAAGAGUUGAAAGACACGUAGGCACUCGUACUCCUUGGCUUCAUCCUUCGGGCAUAUGCUUUUACAAAAAAGGUGGGGAUAAAAUAAAACAAUAAUAACAAAAUUAAUGCUUUUUGACGAAAUUAAAAAGCAGUAGAGAAAAAUAUGUCUACUCCUUCACGGAAUUGACUGUACCUUCAAUUUUCACAUUCACAAUUUCUUAAUAAAUAUCCAAAAAAAAAAAAAAAUUGAAAUCAUUUUUAAAAGUACAGAAAUAAAUUUUACUAUAUAGUUUCAAUUUUUCUACUAUGUUGCCUGGAGGAUUAUUGAUAUGAUACGUGUUAUAUCUUGAAAUUUUUUUAAUUAAAAUUUUAGGCUUCCAAUUAAUACUGUUGCAAGUUGAAUGAUGUAAUUGCAACUAUUAUGAGUCUAGUUUAUGUCAUUUUUUCAAAGCUUUUGAAAAUUGUACAUGCAAUCAAUCAUAAAGUAAUUCUAACUAUGAGUCCAAAUUAAUUUACUUGUCAAACUUUAUUUUUAAUAAGUAAAAUUAUAAGUGUCAGGCUAUUAUUAAUUAAAUAUAUAGUAACGUUUUAAAGGGUUACAAAUAUAAUGAAAUUCUAACGAGUUUGUUGUAUGAUUUGCGUCUCAAAACUUUUUCUUUUCCCCUCUUUUUAUGGGGUUCGUCAGUUUCCCCCAUCUGCUGCUUCUUCUUCUGCUUCUUCACUGUUCCCAACGGAACUUUAAUGGAAUCUAUCAUCUCCCUCUUUCAGCUUCAAUUUCAUUACACAUUUUUACCUGUCCCCCAUUCAAACAGGAAAACGACACAGACCCCAUUACCACUUUUGUCCUCUCCUCCCCUAAUUUUCUAAAUUCACUCAACAGAAUCCAAAGCUAAAAUUUCAUUCGUAUUCUUUAAGGUAACAGAUUAAACAGAGGAUUUUGGGAGACGCAAAUGAAUCUAAUGUAAUGUAAAUGAACGAUUUCUUGUAAUUUUGUAGCAAUGGUUGUGUUGAUUUCACCUUCUCCAAGCGUAUAUUAGUAGAGAAAAUCCCAACGGUGCUCCAAUUUGAUCGCUAUCUUCACUGUUAGCCCACUCCAUAACUGAGGAACUGGCUCCGGCGGAUGAUCCGACCGACGACGUCGACGUUGAAAAGGAUAUUGAUGAUGAGGAUAAGCUAUUUCUCAUCCUUCUCCACUCUAAUUCGUUCAAUCCCAGGUUCCAGUUCUGCUGUUGAUUGCUGCUCUGUUCUUCGUUUUCCUCUUCGAAUCUGAACAUAAACACUGCAUUUCCUCUGCUUUCUUUCUCCAAUUCGAAAACCCAAUUGUAUACAUCCCAAUAUACAUCCAUUGGAACUCCAGCGACUUCGAUUCUUUCAUUCCCUCUAAACUUCCAUUUCAGCCGCUUGAUUUCUAGAACCCUUUUUCCGUCAACACUAAACGACAGUCCCAAAUCGUCGUCGUUGUAGUUGGAGAAACCGCAAUCGAUUUGGAUUUCUCGGAUUUGACCAGCGAAUUUCGCUUUCGUGGUGUAGACUUUGUGGGCGGUUACAUGUUCCCUUUUGAGAAUUAGGGUUUGGAGAACUUGGGGUGGUUUCGCCGCUCUGAUCUUCUUGGAGGCUUCUUUUACCAUAUCGCCGACGAGAAGCGUCAUUUCUCCGUCCACAACGACGGCGAUGAAAAAUCCAGAACAGGGUUCAGGCGAGGAGGAGGAGAAACGGGCUCGGCGAAGAUCCCAGAAGACAUGGAUACUGUCAGAAAGCUUCUCAGAGCCAUGUUUCUUCCAUGGAAUUAAAGGUCUGAUAAGAAGGCGAAAAGAGAUUGAAGAAGAAGAAGAAGAAAAAGAAGAAGAAGAAGGAUUUUGAGGUGAAUCAAAGGGAUGAGGGUUUUGGAGAAAGUGGAGAAGAAGAGAAUGGGAUAAGAGAGAUUGAGACCAAGAAAGGGAAAAAAGGGCGAAAUUGGUGUGGUAAAUGCAGGUGGUGAGAUUGGGGCAGCCGGAAAUGGAAAGCGAAGACCGACGGCGGCGGAGGCGGGCGGAGGAUGGGCGGAAACAGGAAGAGAAACCGGGCGUCAUUGGAGGGGAAAUUUGAGAAGUGAAAUUUACAAAGAGAUGAAUUCCCCCGUCGCUGCCGUUGCUUUUUAAACUUUCUUAUUAUACGUUUUCUUUAUUUACAACUUAUUAUUAUUUAUAUUCUUUUAAAAUUAUGGAGUAGUUUUAUUUUAUUUUAUUUAUUUAUUAUGAUUUUGACCUUCUUUUCCUUCCAAUUUAAAAUGUCAAUUUCAAUCGAAUUGUCGUACUUUUAAUUGAAUAAAAAUCUCCAUAAAAAUAAUAUUGAUAGUUUAACUCAACUAACAAUGUAUGUACUUGAAUAUUUAAUACAUCUUAUUUGAAGUCAUGAUCAGAGGUCUAACCCUACUUCGUUAAAAUAUAACACUUCAAAAUUAAUAUUAAAAUACAAAUUUUGAUUAUCGAUGGUCGUAAUAUGUUAACUUAAAAGUUUCAUUUGUAUUUUUUUUUUUUUGUUUGUUGAGCGGUGUUGGUUUGACGUGUGACAUGAGAGAUUUGAUAAUUUAACCAAAUGAUAUAAUAUAAUAUCUUUUAAGUAACUAAUGGUUGAAGUUCAUUGGUUUAGUUGACCCUCUUUGUUAUAUGUGUGGACAUAUAUAUACACAUAAUUCUAUCUUAAAUUGUAAAGUUUAUAAAUGAAAUUAUUUAACCCAUGUAAAAAAAUUGCUAGGUAACUUUUGAUUAAUUUGAAAUAUGGGUAGACAAAAUUUAUUUGAUUGGCUCAAUAUUAUGAAAGGGAAAUGGAUGGAAAUUUAAAGUUACAAAAGAAGAGAAGAAAGUCAAGAAAAAAGAAAGCAUAGAAUAUAAUAGAAAUUGGGAGUCGUACUUUAGAACUUUAUUCCUAUUGGAAAAAGGCCAAAGGAAACCAACAAGAAACGUGUUAGAAUGGUCGUUUCAUGUGUAUAUACUUUUACCGUUAAUUAUAGAAAAAAAAUUGCAUCAAAUGAUAAAAACAUUUAUAAAAAUAAGUACUUGACAUAAAAAAAAAAAAAUUCAUAUUACGAGUAUGUCACAAAUAUUAAUAUUGAACUAUGUUAUCAUAAAUAUUUUUUGCUAUUUUUGCAAAAAUCUCACUGGGUAAUGUUUUUUUCUUUAAUAGAAAAAGAUUUAAUAUAACAAAGAAUUUGGAAUUAUUUAUAAUCUAAACCAAAAUUAUUAAAUUCUAUAUAGUUGAUUGAGUUUUUUUCUUCGUGUGUAUUUUAUAAAUAGUUUCAUCUUUUUCUUUCAUAUUUACGAUAAUUUAUCUAAUAAUUAAGUAUAUAAUCAACAUUUAUUUUUUAAAAAAAUACAACUAUAGUAAAAUCUACUAAUAAUAAACUUCUAUCACUUAUAGAUUCUUAUCGUUUGUCACAUAUCAAUAAUUUGCAUCAUGAUUUAUUAAUGAUAGACUUCGGCAAAUUUUACUAUUUUUAUAAAUUUUUUGAUAUAUUAUAGUAUACGCUAAUAUUUUAAAUCUCGACAAAUAAUUGAUUCAUAUAUAUUUAACUAUCUUCAAAGAAGUUGAACGUUUGGUUCAUUUUUUAUUUAUUUUUGUUGACGUUGAAUUUUAAAAUUAUGUAUAUAACAAAAUAAAUGAAAGGUCCAUAUCGCCCUCUAAAACUAUAUUAAUCCUCAAUUUUAUUAUUAAUUGAAUUUAGUCUUAGCUUAAACAAAUCAUUGUCAUGUCACACCACCCAACUAUAAGUCAAAAUUUAUAAAAUAAAAUUGAUACAACAUGUCUGGUUGAAACAUUAUACUAAUAGUACUGACUAUAAUAUUAAACUAAACAUAUUGUUUAAUGUUCAACAUUUAUUAAAGUAUUGUUUAAUGUUCACUAUUUAUUAAAGUAUUGUUUAACAUCGAUCUUAAUUUUUAUAUAUCUAGAACGAUAUGAAGACGGUUAUUCACAAAAAGUAAUAAACAAUAUCGAUAUACGACAAUUUUUUUAAAAAAAAGUAAGAGAUUCGACGACACUUGAUUUUGACACAUGCUAUGAUUGUGUAAAUAUGUUAUGUGGUAAUAAAUGGUUGAAGAGCUUUAUGGCUACCAAGAGGGGAAGAAAAUUCAAAGUAGGUAUUAAUAUAAAGUCACAUUGACUUAAUUAUAGGAAGCAAGAAUUAUUGAUGUUAUUAAACUUUGGGUCACUUAUAGAUACAUUCAAUAGGACACAUUUAGUUCCAACGUUUUUUAACCAGAGUUGACUUCAACCAAAAAAAAAUUGUAUUUGAUUUUUCAAUUAUAAAAUUUAUAUUUUUUUAGUUUUUCUUCUACUCAAUAAAAAAAAAUCUCUUGAGUAAAUUAAUUUAUGAAUAGGUAGUCACCUGAUAACUUCUUAAUUAGUUAGUGAGACUAUUUAUAGUUGAUGGUUAAUAUCUUUAUUGUUAGGAGGAUAAUAAUUGAUUUAGGAGAUCGAGUAUUGUUAAAAUAAUAGAAACCAUAAUUUUUAAUUUUUUAAAAAAUCUUACAUAUUGAAUAAUUUAAAAUAUGGAUAUAGCGUGUUUCGUUUUUGCACGUUGAAUUGAUUAAUGCGAUAAUCUAUAAAAUAAUUUAAAUCAACUCAAAUUUAUUAUUAUUUUAAAAAUUAUUUUUCAUUUAUUUAUGAUGCCCUAUAUGCCUACAUUUAUUUUUUAUUUUAUUUUAUGUUUAUAAUUUUUUGAAAGUUUUGUUUUCCAAUAACUCUUGAAAGAAAAUACUUUUCAUUGGAAGCAUCUUAAAAUUAGAAAUAUCAUAGUCUUGAAUUUGAAUUGAAAGAUCAACAAAAAUAAAAUGAAAGUGUACGUGGGCUGGGCCGAUUGUGUUAAUGGGCCUUUCAUUAUAUCCAUGUAAUUACAUAUAUACCUACGGAGGAAUGUAAAAAUGAUAUAUAACAAUUUGAAAAAUAGUAAAUUCUCAAAAUAAUUUGAUUUUUAGCCAAACUUUGGAAGUAUAUGUUUUUUUUGACAAAUUUUCAACUGAUUUUAUCAUUUCAUAGACAGAAGCUCAUUUUUCUCGAAUACAGUCUAUUUGUACAGAAUAAAAACAAUGAAAAAUAGUGUAUUUACAUGUAUUGAGUUUUAUAAAAAUAUUAAAUAAAUAUUUAUUUUCUCUAAAUUUUGAGAUUUGUAGACUUCAAAUAAAAUAAUUAACAAUUUGUUUUUAUUAAUAUAUAUAUAUAUAAUAAUAAUAAUAAUAAUAACAUUAAUAAUAAUAGUUAUUUAAUUCACACUCUUUUUACUUCCAUAAAAUGAUUGAUAGUAUAAUUCAUUCAUUGUACGUUUCAUAAACUUUGGUUAAUUCUUAGUAUCAUUUUAUUAUAUCAUACAAGUACAUAAUUCUUCAUAUAAUGAUUGAUAAUAUAAUUUAUUCAUGGUACGUUUCUUAAGGUUUGGUUAAUUCUUAAUAACAUUUUAUUAUACCGUACAGAUACACAACUUUUCAUAUUUAUCCUUCAUUGUUUUCGAAUUAUAUAUACAGUAAUAAGUAUUUAUUUUAUCACUUCAUUCUAAAAGUUUAGUAGAAAAAUCUCCAAAAUUUGAAUUUAAAAUUGUAUCAUUCCCUAAAAUUAUGUAUUUUAUAUAAUAACAAUUUCAUAUUAACAUUAUGUCAUCUGUAUAAUUAUGCAUGUAACAAUUAUUCCAUAAACGGAUAACGAAGGAAUUAUAUAUGUUCACACGAGAUUUCGAAGAAAUGUAAUUCAUGAAAUUGAACUUUAAUAUAUUGAUGAAUAUUGUGAAUACAGUAUAUAGUAUUUACUCAUUUAAUGUUUUAUCUCGAAUACAAGUUAAAACUUAGAACUUAUUGAUAUUUGGUCUUGAAGAUGUUAUAGUUGCAAGUAAAUUUGAACUUCGAACUUUUGGAAUCCAAUGAAAGUUUAAUUUUCAAAGUCUUCAAUCUUUCAGAAGAUGUUGAUCUUAAGGUUGCACGUUUUGAGAACUUGUAAAUGUUUGAAUCUUCAAUUUUCCAAGAGCUUCAAUUCUUUCUUAAACCAAAGAUCUCUCGUUAAAUGAGUGACAAAUGUAUCUAUUUAUAAAGAAAUUUAAUGGGCUUUAGGUGGUUUGAGUCCACUUGCUUGGUGGGCUUGGGCUUGAGUAUAUUUGCUUGUUGGGCUUAGAGUUGGGCCCAUUUGCUUGUUGGGCUUGGGUUUGGACUUGAGCUCUAUUUGAUUAUUGGGUUUGAGCUUUGGACCCAUUUGCCAGUUGAACUUGGGCUUAAGUCCAUUAUCCUUGUUUGGCUCAAUUUUUUAUAUCUAGUGCCUGAAUUGGGUCGGGUAUGAGAAAUCUUAAUUGUCAAAACCUAACCAAAUCAUGAUUAUCACAAUGUUUGCGGUGACGACGUGGCCAAAUUUUAUUGGCAAAAUUUCCUCAACAAUAUUAUCAAUCAGUUUAUGGAUAGCAAAAAGAUUGUGAAUUAAAUAGCUAUUAGUAUAUAUAUAUAUUAAUAAAAAGAAUAUGUUAAUUGUUUGAUUUGAAACCUACAAAUCCGACAAUUUUGUAUAAAUUGGAGGCAAAUCUAGGAGAUGUCGAUGAAAUGAGAUCAAUCCGAAAAAUAAAUAAAUAUUAUAUAUAUAUAUUUGAAUGGUAUGCAAAUACACUGCAUUCAAGAUUUUGGGUUAUAUUCCAUUAUUUUAACUUGCACAAAUAUAUUAUAUCUAAUGAAAAGGAAUUUUCGUCUAUGAAGGUGUAAAAUCGGCUGAAAACGGGUAAAAAAAUGUAUACUUUAAGCAGUUUUGCUAUAAAUCAGAAUAUUUUGUGUAUUUGCUAUUUUUCAAAUUGUUAUCUAUUAUUUUGUCAUUAUCACGAUUUUAUUUAAAAUAACAUAUUGCAAAUAUAGUAAAAUAUGUUAAAGUAUAUUAAGGAUAGAAAUUCAUCACUAAUAGAUCAUGUUGCAAAUAUUGAUCUAUUACAAAGAGUUGAAGUUUGAUCUCAUUCUCAUAAUUGUGGUACUAAACGAAAAUAAUCGAACAUAUAUAUAAGUUAGAGCGAAUUUAGACAAUUGAAAGUGUUACUUUUCAAAAACUACAUCGAAUUACUAAUUCUAAGUUUUCUUUUUAAGUGCUUUUAUAUUUAGUAGAAAUUUUCUAACAAAAACACUUUUCAUCCUCUAAAAUCACAUGUGAAGUCAUGUUGAACGAACACAAUUUAAAUUAUUGUUUUUUCAUAGUUACUUAUAGAAAAGUGAUUUUGUUUAGAAAACAGUCCUAUGAGAUAUUUUAAACACACCGCUUUUCUCUCAACAUGAUUUUUCUAGAUUCUUGUAUAUAUAGAUCAUUGAAAAAUCUUGACAACAAAACUUUAAAAUUUUGUAUUUCUCAACGUAGUUGUUAGAUUUAAACGAAUGAAAAAUGCGAUAAUAUCAAUUAAAACACAAACAGAAAAAAACAACAACUAUACAAUAAAGGAUGAAACAAGUGGGAACAUGGCAACUCUUCCGACGCAAAUAAACAAAAAGAAAAAAAAAAGGACUCACAAGACGAUGAGUGAUCAAAAUUUAUUGAGAGGCAGUAAACAAUCCAACCAAGAACGUGAGGGUGCAACGUGCAAUAUAAGAUAAUUAGAUAGAUAUAACUUGAACCUUUUAUAACUAGCUCAUCAAAUAUAAAUUAGAAUAUACAAUCAAAGAAAAAAAUUCAAAUAGUUAUCGAACACGCGUAUAAUAAUAACUAGAAAUGAUUAUUAGCUGAUUAAUGCAAGGAAAAAAAGUGUCAUCUUUAUGUUGAUAUUAGAAUUCUAAAUACUAAUGAUUGUAAACUCAUGAUUUAUCCAACCAUUGCUAAGGAAUGCAUACAUAUAUAUAGUGGGAAGUGAAAAUUAAAAAGAACACACACAUAUAUAUAACAUGAAAUUUUAUAUAGUUGUGACCUUGGGAGGGAACAUAAUGAAUUAUAUAUAAUCAUUAACAUUCAUUCAACUUUGUUGCUCCCUAGCCCACACAAUAACCCAACAUAUAUUUUCUCAAUCAUGAGCUCCACUUUUUUAUUUAGAAUUUGAACUAUUUUUAAAAUUAUUUUUGAUCAUAUCCAAAGAAAAAAAAAGGAGAGGUUAAUAAGAAAAAUGAAUAGAAUUAAGUUAUAUUUGAUGAAAAUUAUAUGUGAAAACUUUUUUCAAUUAUAUUAUACAUUAAGAAAUACUAUAAAAUAUCACAUUAUUUCUUUCUCAUCUCAUAUGUUUCACGGAUAACUUUUUAGUUUUGAUGAUUGCAUUACGUCUAUUGACAAAUCAUACACAUUUGAAGCCACUUAGUCUAUCGAAAAUAUCUAGGUGCAACUCGUAUGCAUAUCAAACUAAGUUCUUCUAUCAUAACUGAACAUCUUUGUCACGUCUUUCUUCUUAUUCGAGCGUUGUUCUUUUAUCUAAUUGGUUAUAAGCACGACUUAAAUCAAAAAUCAAAAUCAAUACUAUAUUUAUUUUUUAAAUAAAAUUGUAUUGAAGAAAAUAUCAAUCUCAACUCAUACUUCUGCCUCCAAUUUCCAAUUUCCAUCGUUCUCUCUCGAUUUCCUUCACUUUUCAAGUCCCACCACCUAGUUAUGAGUUUGGAGAAUAGCGGGUCAACACUAAUGGUGAUCUCCAGUUCGAGUUUGAGAAACGGGAAGCUACGAAGAUACAUAUUUCUAUUAAUCCUAAUUUCGUUGUAGGUUAAUUACUAAGUUGUUUAGUUAUAUUUAGAGUAAAGUAGACGUAGAUCAUUUAUAUUCUACUGCGUGCGUGUCUCUUAUUCCAUCCUAUGGUAUCAUGCAACUCUAAUUACUCGUCAACAAAAUAUAAAACAUUUUUAAUUAGAAAUACAAAGAAAAAUUAGUUUAAUUCCAUAGUUUAAUAUUAUGAAAAUAACAUUAACUAGACGAUUUUUGCAAUUUUACUCGAAUGCUUCAACAUGCAUUCAACAUUUGAUCAUGAAGUUUUGAAUCAUUCAUGUAGACAUUUUGUGACAAAAUUGUUGGAUAAUAGCUUCGAUGGUGGAGAAAUGGAUUAGAGACCUUUAAUUUACAUUUUAUAAAUCUCAGUUGGAUCACAAACAAAACUCCAUGGAUCCAUAGUAACGAAGCUCCUCAAUCAUUUGCUCAAUAUGAUCAUCUUCCAACAAUUUCAGUUCCCCAAAUUCACUCUCUAUUUUCACACUUCGCACCAUCCAAUCCGCCGCACACGGCACUUCUUCCACCGCCGGUAUAAUCUCCUCCACCACCGAACUCGUCGACGCCGGCGCCGGAAACGCCGCGGUAAUGUCGCUUUUAAACUCCGCUGAACCUUGGUUACUAAUCUCCAAAGAAGCCAUAUAACACCUAUGCAAUUUCGCAGUCAAAUUAGACGAUAAAAUCCUGGAAUUUGAUGACUGAAUUGCACUUGGACUGUAUGGAAAAUUCGUUCUUGCUUUUGGGCCACACAUUAACCUUGCAGCUUCAUCAUAAGCUCUCGCUGCAUCCUCCGCUGUUUCAAAUGUCCCCAGCCAAAUUCUUGUUUUCCUGUAAAAAAAACAAAAAAACAAAACAAAACACAGAGUCGAUUUUGAGUUCAAAGAAAUUAAAGGCACUGAAGAAGAUUAAUGAGAAGUGCAAAAACAGGAGAGACCCACAAUAAAGGAUGACGAAUUUCGGAAACCCAAGAACCCCAAUGCCUUUGUCUUACACCACGGUAGCGCUUUUGAGGCCUGGCCAUGGCAUAACUCGGUUGUAUUUCCUCCUCCCAGAAGGUGUUUGUGAAAAUGCGUGAGAGAAAAACAUAGCAUACAAUGGGUGAUUUAUAUUUGGUAAUUGCUGACAAAAACGGCAAUCGCGGAGCCAUUUUUGUGAAGCCUUUCUGGCAACCAAUUUGAUCUCUAGUGGGGUCUCACAUAUGUGUGAAUUAUUAUUAUUAUUAUUUCUUCUUUUGGUCUUUGUUCAUAGUUUGAAAUUUUAUUUCAUAUCUACUAGUUGUUUUAUAAUCAUUGUUAGAUGUAUAGAAUUAAUAAUGGGUAGAUAGGAAUUCAAGUUAAUAAUCUCUUUAGAGAAAGAUAGGUUCGAUGUUUAAAAACGGUCCAUCAAUAGUAAACGAACAACUUCAUCGAAUAAUUUUUAAAAGAGUAAUAACACGUUAGCAUGUAUUAUAAGUUGUAUCUUAAACAUAAUUAUAGACAAGUUAGGUUAAACAAUGCAACAUCACAUUCACUUGAAUGUUUUUCAUUCUCCAAUUAUCCAAUAAGAAUAGAUAGGAAGAAGAAAAGAUGCAUUUGACAGAGAGAAGUUUGAAAUUGACCCAAAAAAAUGUGAAAAUUCAGUUCACAUGUCUUUGAAUUUGUAAUAAAAUAUAUAUGUAUUUUUAUUUUUCGCCCAUUUGAGUUUAUAUAAAGAGAAAAAAUAUUAAAACUAUUUACAAAAUAUAAUAAAAAUAUUUAAAUAGACGACAUAGUGUUUGAUGAAUUUUACUAUAUUUUUUAAAAUGUGUUCCUUUUUUCAUUCAUAUAAAUCAUUAAGAUAAGAAUUCAAUCAUCCAAAUCUUUUAUUUAUCUAAUCAAUCGUGUAUCAAUAUUCACACAUAUUUACAUAUUUUUUUUAUUGAAACGUUUGUUGAUGAUUUUAAACGUGUCCAUGUUUUAAUUGUUGUAUAACGUAAGUAUUGUCUUCUAUGGCAUGUUGAGCUCAUUAGUUCAAUCUUUUUGUUUUUUUAUGUAAAAGCUUCUAACCUAUUUUGGAUUCAUUAGGCUGUUAUUGUAACUGCACUUUCGGACCCUUUUGAAACGUUCUUACCAUAUUAGCUCAAUUCAUCUACAUUAUGCAUGUUAAGUCUUUCUCUUUUUCCUUUUUAAAUUAGUGAAUCUAUAUUUAUGGGGAGCGUAACAUAUCACUUAUAAAUUUAACCACUUGAUGCAAAGUUUUUUUUUUCUUUAAUAUUAAUAUAUUACCUAUUGUGUGUUUUUUUUUUUUUGGUUUAAAUAAUUUGGGAAUUGGAUGAUUUUGAAUAACAUUCAAUGAACGUAUGAUUUAUUUUGUAAAAUAGAAAAGUUUGACAUUAAAAUACCACUUGAGGGUAAAAUGGGUUUUUUAAUUCCUUACCCUUUCGGAGUAUAUAGAGUUUUGGAUGACGUGGCAAAGUAGUGAUGAGUCAUUUUUAAAUAAAUAAAUCUUUGUCAUUAUAAUUACAAAAUAAUUUAGUUGAUAAGAAAUUCAGGGUCAAAUAUAUUGCCAAAAGUUUUCCUUUUUCAAGAGAUUCACAACUUGCAUCAAAUUUUAGAAUCCAAUUAUUGAUCAUGAAAUCAUUUUUUCUAUGUAAUUUGAUUCAAAACAAAAAUGUUUUUUUUUUUUUACUUGUUUAUAUAUCAAUUAUUAGUUAGUAACAUUCAUAACUUUGGUGGAACUUUGUUAAAAAGAAAAAAUUAAAUGAAGGAAAAAAAAGUGUUAAAUAUUUUAAACAAAUUUGAUCGACGAGUGUCUGUUGCUAUCUAUUCAUUCAUACAUUGAAAUUUUUGUUAUAUUUAUAAAUAUUUUUAGUAAUUUUGUCACUAUAAAUAAUUUCUUUAAUUUAAAUUUUAAAAACAUGCCUUAAAUUAAUCAUACAAUUUAUGAUAAUUAUUCAUUACUAGUGGUUGAAAAAAAAAACGCCGGUAAAAAUAACAAAAGAAAAUUAUGAUAAUAAAGUUCAUGUCACUCAAUUUUAUAAAUUGUGAAAAUAACAAAUUAAAAAAUUGAUAACCUUUGAUUGCCUUUUGAUAAUCCUUCGAUAGUCGUUUAAUGGUCGUUUAACACUGCUAAUUACUUGUCAUAUUUGCAAUACGUAAAAAAAAAAGGUGUGGUGGACUUUUUUUUUUCUAAAUGUUUUAUCAUAUGAUACAAUUUCUUAAAUAAAAUAAUAAUAAAAAAAAUCCACUCUCACACGUCCAAAUCAAAAUUGAAUUCAAAAUAUAUUUUUUCUUAGAUAUAUAUUUAAAAAAGAUGAUAUGAAAUAUUGAUUUUGUGAUUUUUCUUUGGCAAAAUAUUAAUUAUGAUUUCAUGAUGUAGAAAGAUGUGGUUGCUUGUUUCCUAAUGUCACAUGCAAAACGAAGAACCUUGCAUUUUCAUUCAUACUCAAAGAACAUAUUAGAAAUUGGUCGAUUAUUUAAACCCAAGUUGAUAUGUUGCCCUAUCAAACACCACAAAAAUAUUGUAAUCAUUCCCAUUAAAACCAAAAUUAAAUACAUUCAAAAUAAAUUAAAAACAUUAAAAUUGUACCGAUCAAAAUUAUAAGAUCGUUAAUAUUAGAAAAACUAGUUUGAAAACCUUGAAACGAAAUGAAUUUAAUUACAUUAUAAGCUUAUUCUAUUACAAAUCUUACGAAUCUUAAAUAAUAUGAUUUUAGGUUUAAAUUUAGAAUUAAUACAAUAGUAAAUUUUAAAGUUUUAAUUUAUUCAAACUCUAGUUACGUAAUUUAUUAGUUGGUUGAGACCUAAUUAUUGUUGAAUUAAGGUAAAAAAAAAUAUCUCUUUACCAAAUAUUUUACAUAUCAUUGAUUUGAAAUUUUAGUUAAUGAUUCAACUCCUCGCUUUUGACCGAAACAUAACUUUGUGAAGAAAAUAAUAAAUGGGCCGGGGCUUACCGUUUAGUUGGGCCGAAUUCUCGGCCUAUUUACUGAUCGUAAAAAACGGGCUGGGCUUGCCCGCGGGCAAAUAUCGAUUACCCUUCUCAAGGGAGGGUAUAAAGGUUCUUCGCUCCUGAUAGGGUUUUUGUUUAUCUCGCCGUCGAUCGCCGGAACCCGAAGAUGGUACGUAUCGUUAUUCGACUCUGAACUUUUUCUCUACGUAAAUCUGGUGCUAUUCGUUGUUCUCUAAUUGAUGAUUGUUGAACUUCUGCGAGUUUGUAAUUCGAUUUUUCUCUUCUAUUCCAAUACACAGCCGUCUCACAAGACUUUUAGAAUCAAGAAGAAGCUCGCGAAGAAGAUGAGGCAGAAUAGGCCGAUCCCGCACUGGAUCCGCCUAAGAACCGACAACACGAUCAGGUAUUAAGCCUAAAUGAUAUUUGAAUCUGCAUAUUUUUAUUUGAAUCUCUCCCUCUCGUAUUCAUUUUGACGUUGUAAUUUGUUCGAUCGUGUUAUAGAUACAACGCAAAGCGCAGGCACUGGCGUCGCACCAAGCUAGGGUUCUGAGGUGCUUUCGAUUCCUAACUUCAAUGUUCAUUUAGCUUGAUUUUGUUAAGUUUCAGAACUUGAACUUUCUUAAGGAUCUACAUUUGUAUUUCCGCAACUGAAAUUUAGUUUAUCGGAAACUUUUGUUUAAUCAUCGUUACACUCAAGAUUGAAGUGCUUUGGAAUAGAGUGAAUUUUCCAUCAACUUUUAUGUCUUUAGAGUAGCAUUUUUGGCGAACCUUUACGGCAUUUACUUCUUCAUUUCUACGACAUUUAUCAAAGUUGGUGAUUCUUGACAAAAUUCCAUUUAAAUUUACAUAUCACAAUUCUCAUCUUUUUAGGAAUAGAUAUAAUCAUAUUUUGAUUUAGCUUUAUAUAUAUUUAAUCAGUGAAAUCUGUUCAUAAAAGUGUGUAGCCAAAGUAUACUUGAACAUUCACAAUUAACCUUCACAUACAUUGGAAGAUUAUCAAGAAAUUCCAAUUAGCUUCUCCUAGAACUUAGAAAAGACUUUAAAUAUACAUUCAUAUGAUAAUCAUCCUAUACACCUACAACCUUUGCUACUUCUGAAAGAAAGACUUUAUGAGAUACCCUUCUAUAGAGUACUCAUAUUUCUAUAUAUUCUCUAGGUUCUAUAUUUCUAUCAUUGAAUUCUUAGUACUUUCAUCUGUAGUUGAUCUAAACAGACUAGUCUUUACGUAACGCCAAAGAACAAGGUUCUACAUGUGUGUCCGUGAGUUCUGAGUACUUCCAUCUAUAGUUGAUCUAAACAGACCAGUCUUCAUUACAAAAGUGGGUAGAGGUAUAGAACUUGGUGGUGGUGAGAUACCAAAGGUAGAGGUUCCGGCGUAGAAAAUUCGCUCUUUUGUAUUACAGAGUGAACUUGUCACUUGAAACUUAACCACCUUGGCCUUGUUUAGGCUUUGUUUUUGUUUGUUUGGAGGUCUGCAAGGUAUGGCGUUCUUAGAACCAUCUUGAGGACAACGAAGAACGUGGAUAGAUGAAUCCUUUGAGUUAAUUUCCAUGGUGUGGAGUGUAAAGCAAAUAAUGAAUGCUUCAAUAGAAAGGAAGAGAAUAAUUUGUUUCAUUAAAGAAGAAUUAGUCUCUUGGCUUUAUAGGGGGAUAUGAGAAUUGGAUUUGGAUUGUUGAAGGCGGUUUUAUUUAAAAUAUAAAUUAUAAGUUAUUUAUAGAUAAAUCGAUUUGGUAUUUCUAAUAGGAAAAAGAAAUUUAUAUUUGGAAUUUUUAAUAGGAAAAUAUGUAUGUGUAAUAGGUUUUUUAAUGAUUUGAUUUGCUAUAAAAAUUAAUUUCGUAUUUUAAACCGCAUGCAUUGUGAAAAUUAAUAGGUUUAAUUAAUCGCUAAAUUUUGAAGUUGUUUUUUGGUAUUUGAAUUUUCGUAUGUGUCGAAUAAGUAUUUAAAUAUUCAAAUAUGUUGAUUUGGAUAGCCAUUUUUUUUAAUUUCUUAAUUUUUAAUGAAAUUUUUUAUAAAGUUAUUACAAAAAUAUAUUUAUGGUUUAGUUUUGAAUGGUUUAGGGUUAUUUUUUUGAAUAAAACUUUAACGAUUUUAUCCAAGUGAUAGUAUUUUUAAAUCAUUUUGAAACUAAGUUUAGGAAUAUUUUUUACACAAAUCAGUGUUUAGAGGUAAUUUUUUAAAAUUUAGCCAAAACUAAGCUCUUGAACAUAUUAAAUCAAAAUCUUAAGGUAUUAUUUUUGCGUUGUAAGGGUCUCUCUCCCUGUAGUUAAAUGAUAAGAAUAUAAUUCGAAUUCCAAUUUCUAAUCCUAAAAUUCUCCACUUCGAAAAGUCUUCCCUUUUCGAAUUUCAUUAAACUCAAGAUUGGGUGGCGAUGAGUCCAAUGAUUUGAUGAAUCUUGAUAGGUUGGAGAGAUACUUACAAAUUUAGUUAUUAGAUUUAAAAUAAUAAAGUAUAUAGUAAUCUUUUAAAAAUUUAUAAAUAUAACAAAAUUUAUUAAAUAGUGAUCUAUUAUCGAUAGAUUAUGUUAGAUUAUGUUGCAAAUAUUAGUAGUUAGGUGUGAAUUUUUAAAAUAUUAUUAUAUUUUUAAUUAUUAUUUUUAAAAUAUUUAGCAAUUUCAAUUUUCCUUGUUUUGAAAUUAGCAUAUAUUCUAUGCUACCACGCUAUGCUUGUGUGUGCUUCAUUAUCUUUCUCACGGACUCCAAUUUGUGUUGUACUUUGAUGGUUAAAUUUGGAAGGUGCGUUAGAUUUAGUGCAAACUCACCAUGUUUAAGUAUUUUUUUUUGGUAAACACGUUGAUGGUUGAAUGUGAUGUACGGUUUAUUUUAUUUUAUUUUGCUUAGUUUAAAAUCAACAAGUGGACUUGAAUAAAAUUAUUUUCAACAAAAGCAAAGUAAAGAAGAAACCAAGAAGGGGAGAAUUGAAAUUAAAAAAGUAGAGAGAAACAGAUACAUGUAUAUUUAUUUAAUUUACAUUGACAAUUCCAUUUGAAAGGGAGAAAAAGAAUGAUCAUUGUGGUGGUGGGUUUAAUCUUAGGGUACCUCCAAGCUCUAUGGGAACAAGGGCAAUUAGAGAGUGUAGAACAUCUUUUAUUAAAGGUCUGUAGCUUGCUUCUCCUUGUACACACAAUACAGCCAUUGCAGCAACCUAAAUCAUAAAACGUUAAUUUCAUACUAAGUUUAGGGAUUAAAUUCAAAGUUUUUAAAACCACGGAAUCCAAAAAAGAAAGAAACGAACCUGAUACAAGUGUUUGAGAUCCAUAGUAUUUCUAAUAACAGGAUCUACUAUGUUUGGCAACUUCGAUCUAUCUGUCAGUUGAGGCAUUGCCUGGCAUUGCCCAUUCCCAAUAUAUCCCAUCAUUUUACUAUAUCAUUCAUAUUCAUCUAUAUAUAUAUAUGUGUGUAUAUAUAUAUAUAUAUAUAUAUAUAUAUAUAUCAUUCAUAUAGAGAGAUUAAACAUUAAAUUUUAUAAAAAAGUUUAAGGAAAAUGGUUGAUUGCAAAAAACCAUCACAUUUACCUUUGAACUAUCACAAUAAUGGUAGAAAUUGGACUCUAGAACUUGUACAAUUGACUACUUUUAAAAACUGCUAUAAAAUUUGAAGGUUUAAUAUUCUUAUUCAAAACUCAACUUCAUAAUUUGAUUAGUGAAAAAAAUGUAAAUAAAUAAGUAAAAACUUUACCCACGUGACGAUAGAGUGGGAUUGUGGUGUUGGCCGUUUCUCCACCGGCCUUCUUCCUAGCAGAAGCUCUAGUACCACAAUUCCAUAAGCAUACACAUCACUUUUCUCUGUUAAUUUUCCUGUUAACAAAACAUCCAUUCUACAUCAUCACCACACAAAACAUAUACCAUAGUUGGAUUAGAUUGUGUUAUUCAAGUCAUGGAUGAGUUAUUCAAGUCAUGGAUUCUUUUUAACACCUUAGUUAAAGUUCUGACUAUAAUUAAUGAGAUAAAAAAAUAAAUAGAAUAAAACAAUCCCAACCAUCACCUAUGAGUAGAUGAACUAUAGUAAAUGUUUCUAGUCGUGCAUUUAUGAAACAGAUGGCCUUCAAUUGUAGCACACGCCCCCACAAGAUAAAUCAUUUACGUAUCAGCAUUCAAUUUCAUAAAAUAUCCUACGAGUCAUUAUUAAUCACACGUCCUUCAAUCGAAAAAUUAUUAAAUGAUACCAUUAAUUAUGCUACAGCGGUCUCUUUUAGGAGUGUUUAGUUUUUGAGCUAAUCAAAGAACUAAAUCAAGCAUAAAGAAUCUAAAUCAAUGUCCAAUAAAGAACAAAAUGAAUGGACUGACUUUAUCUAGAUCGAUUAUUAUUGGUUUGGUUUUCGGUUUUUAACAUCUUUUUUUCUUUCUUAUUUUUCACUUUGCUUUGAAUGGGUCUUUGUUGCUAACUUUAAAUUAAAUUUUGGUCUAUUUCUUGCCCUAUAAAUUGUAAUUUGACACAAGUUUAUCUUUUUGGUACUUUUCUAAAUAAAAACCGUGUACAUAACAUAAAGAAUUUUAGACUUUUAUUCUAAUUAAACCAUUGGAUUAGUUUGGUUUUUCAUUUUUUUUUAUCACUCUUAGUCUCGUCUAAUAAGUUGUUUUUAGUAGAUGUUGAGUGUCCUUAUCAUAGUAUAGGAAUUCAAUUUCUUAGAUUGAACAAGAAUAUGAAAAUAUGAAACUAAACAAAUUCUUAAAGAAAACUAAAUGUGUAGUCUAAGAUGUAUAGAAUACUAUAAGAACCAAUAUUGAACGAAGUAUGUUCAAUCCUAAUUAUAAUAGAAUUUAUGUGGGAGUAAUAAAGUAAAGUGAAUGUGGGUUACCAUGUAAUAGAUACUCUGGAGCUACAUAUCCCAAGGUCCCAGAAAGCUUAAUUUUGUUAUUGUUUUGGGUUCCAUCAGUGAUUGCAAUCCCAAAGUCAGCCAACUGAAUUGCAUUCAACAACCACAACAAAACUUUUGUUUAGGCUAAAUUCUACAGACUACUCUAAAACCUUUGUUUUUUCCCCUCAAAACUAUCAUUUAACUUUUAAUAAGUCUUCCAAAACUAUUACUGAAGUAAAAAAUUUAAACUUCAAAUGAAUGUUGUGGUGGCCGGCCAUUAUGGGUCAUGAGCACGCUGUCCAAGAAUCUAAUUUUCUAUCCAAAAUUUUAUAGGGUUUGUAUAACUUAAAUGGGUGGGGCUGACAGGUAAAGCGAGAUCCAAAAAUUAAUGAUGGUGUUUAUGACUAUUUCUAGUCUACAGUUAAUUAUAAUAAUACUCAUGAUUCGAAGGUUUCUUAAAGAAUUCACAGUUCAAGAAUAGUAUUGAAAUAUUUAUAUGACAGUUGAAUGGGUAAUUCUAAAGAACAGAAACAGGAAGUGAGAGAAGUAUACCUUAGCGUUGAAGUUGGCAUCAAGAAGGAUGUUGGAAGUCUUCAAAUCUCUAUGAAUAACUGCAGGGUGGCAAUGCUCGUGAAGGUAUUCUAAUCCUCUGCGAGUUCAUUAGCUUUCCAUUAUUCUAUUUAAAUGCAUAAAAAUAUUGAAUGCUUAUUUAAAGAAAAAACAAGUAAAUUUCCUGCAAAGCUUUUAAAAAGGCAAACAAGUAAUAUAAAUCAGAGCGUCCCAAUUAUUUGAAAACAAGGUUUUCUUUUUUCCAUUUUGAAAACCGGUUUUUCAAACGAAGAAAACCGAGAUUUUAUUUAUUUAAAGGGACAUCUUAUGUUUGAUUGGAUUUCUUUUACUUUUCUUAUUUCUAAAAGUUAAGCUAUUGAUAUUAAUAAUAAAGCAUCUGAAAAUAAAAAUUUUAAAACUUAAGAGCUAAAUGAAAACCCCAACUUAAAGUUAAAACUAAAAAAGUAAUUUAUUCCAAUAAUUCCAUCGGAUUUCAUUUAUUUUAAAAUAUCUUUUUAUAUAUAAAAAUGUCAUUUGGAAAACAAGCUAACAAUAGUAUAACAUUGAAGAACUGCAUAUUAAUAAAUCAAGACAGAGAUCUGUUAUUAGAUAAGUGACGUUUUCAAGAAUUGCAUGUCAAAUACAAAAUCAAAGAAGUUAAUUUUUUUUCAAAGAAAAUCUAAUAAUAUCAAUAUAGACCCUUAAGAUUUUUAAACUUAUCAAUUUAAAUUUUCUAUUUAUGUUUUACUUGUACUUUAAUAAAAGUUAAAUAAAAUUAAUAAUAUAAUUAUUAAUUUAAGAUUUAAAUGGAUACAACUCUCAAAUCCAUGAUUUGAAUUUGCCUAUAAUUUUAAAAUGAUGAUUAGAGGCUCUUAAAAAACAAGUCAAGUUUUAUAACUUUUUUUUGUCACAGAACUAUGAAAAGUGCAGAUGAUUAUUUUAUUUAUCAAAGGGGAAGAGAAUAAAAAGAAAGCAAGAGACAUGCCUUGCAACAUCGAGAGCAAUCUUCAUACGCAUGUGCCAAUUUAAGGCAGAACCACGAGAGGGCCCUGCAUCAUCAUUUUCAACUUACAACAAUAAAAUAUGCAUCACAUGGACAUAGCAACUCUUGUUUUAAUCUGGUAAAAAUAAAUAAAUAAAUGAUUUGGUUUAUUUAGUCCUAAUAUUUUAUCUUUUCUUCUGUUGAUGCUAAAAUUGAGAUUAAAGUACUUAAUAUCUCUUCGUUGUUUGAAAGUAAGAAAAGAAAAGAAUUACCAUGGAGUUGAGUUUCUAGAGAUCCAUUCUCCAUGAGCUCAUAAACAAUCAACUUUGAAUCUCCCUCACUGCUACAUCCCAAUUGGCAAAUAAUAUUCGGAUGAUGAAUUCCGCUCAAUAUAUUCACUUCAUUCUGCAUUAGAAGUCAAAGCAAAUAUUCCAUUUCAAGAAAAAACAAACAAACAAAUAAUAAAUAAUAAUAACAAUCAUCAUCAAUAUCGUUAAAUACUUUUCAAACGUGUCUAACAUAUGAUUGAAUUGCUAUCGAAUUGGUGUCCAUAUCCAUUAGCUAUCUCUUUUGUUUUCAAUAUGUCAAAUUUUGAAGUUUUAAAAAUUUUAUGUCAUAGAAAUUUAAAUUUUAUAUUAUGAACCGGUAUACUUUUGAUUUUGUAUAUGUAAAUUAUAAGAAAACAAACCUAUACUUUUAAAAUUACACCAGUAUCAAGCUUUUGUUGACAUUGAAAUCUUAUAAAAUUUCGAAUAGAAACGAGACUGAAAAUGAUGCAUGCAGUGUUCAAAUUUUCUUUUAGGUGGUUGCCACCCCAUUUGACACUCAAUUCUCAUCCGAAGUUUGAAAGAAUUUCUACCCUAACAAUGUUUUUGAACCAUUAUGCAAUCAAACUAUAUGAAUAUUUUGUAAUCAAAAGAACAGCGUUUGGAAGACAUAUUUUAUAAUGAAACGGCAAAGAAAAAGGAAUCACCUCAAAUUCUGUGUCAGCUUGAAAGCCACUGCAAUCAAGCUUCUUCACAGCCACAACCAAAUUAUCAUCCAACAAAGCCUUGUAAACUCUCCCAAAUCCACCUUCGCCCAAUACAUUACUCUCCCCAAAAUUCCCAGUAGCUUUCUCCAAUACUUUGAAAUCAAUCACUGAUACACAUCCCUUCUUCCCAGUCACAAAUGGAGCUAAUCCAAUCCCUUUCUCGGCAUCUUAUGAUCCACACAAUAACACACUUCCUUUCAGAAAUUUCUAAAUAACUCCAUUUCAACGGAUGAUCUUAACACAGGUAUAUUUCAGAUUCUAGGCUUACCUUUCCGUUUGCUUUUACCAGCAUUUCUCCUCUGCCGGUGAAUCCACAACCAGAGCAAUGAAAACAAAGCAGCGAUAAGCACGGCAGAACAAAAUCCAGCCACAGCCAGUACUCCUAUUCUCGUCCGAGCUUCCAUCUAACGAUUACGCUGUUGAUGACGUUCUUCACCUCGAAAUUUAAAUGGAGAAGUUAAUGUGCUAUUCGGAAAAAAGAAAUAACGUAUUAAUCAGAGAAAUUUCAGUUUAGAGGGAUUAUGGAUUUGAGAAUGGGAUGUUUCUUUAUGCGGAAGAUAAAAUACAAGAUUGCAAUGUGUAAUUAAUGUACCUACCGAGUGAAUGAGCAGCGGUUGAAGAAGAAAUGGGAGAGAGUGAUGGAGAUAAAAUGGGGGACCGAUGGCUGUAUAACACCAACCAAAAUGGGGCAUCGCCAUUGAUUAGUGCUCUAUUCUUCUUCUUCCUCUUCUUGGCUAGGGUUCAGAAGAAGCUUGAAAAUUGGAGAAAAAUCUGAUGAGCUUCUAAGAUGCGGGAAAUGGUUUUGGUAAAAGGAGUGAGUGUUUGUUUAGCUCUUCAUGUUUCCUAAUUGAAAAAACCCGCUAAUAACAUAUUUAUAUCUAAUCAUAACCUAAGCUUAAUGUUAAUGAAUAAUUGAUAUUAGUUUUAAAUAUAUGCAUAAAAUUGUUCGAAAAAACAUGUAAAACAUAUUAGAGUCGUGGGCUAGUAACAACUAUGAACUAUGUCACGAGAUCAUAGUUCUUGAAUAUGCACCAACUCCAUUAUGAGAUAAAUCUUUCAUAUUAUUCUCGAGUUGAAUUGGUCUUGCCUCCCAUAGACUCGUUAGAGAUAUAAGGAUAACUCCCAACUCAUUGAAUGCUAAGGUGUUAUGCACUGUUGUGUUCAUCAAGUCUUAGACCAGUGACAAGCUCUCCAGCUUACUUUAGUCAAUUUGCUUAACUCAAGAGUAGGCAUGCACCUCUAGCCAAUAUUCAGUUUGGUCGCUAUCUCAAAUGCCCCAUUUUGGAUUAACCAACCCAUUCAUGCCAUGAUCUUUGAUCCAUAAUAACUAACUAAAUAACCAAAAUGAAAUUCCUGAAUUUACUUUCAAUGGUGGGUGUGUCAAUCCAUCACAUACAUGUAAUUUUUUUACUAAAAUAUAAAAGUAGACAUUUAACCAUUCAAAAUUGAACAAAAAUGAAAUGUUAACUCAAAUAUAUGUAAUAAUUUAGGUCUAAUUUGAUUUUUCUAUUUUCCUAAACAUAACUUAGAGCCUUAGACAAUAAUAGUUGUCAGCCAUCAAUUCCUUUAUUGGAGCAAACGUGGGCCUCAACUUCUUUUUUGUUUCUAGCCCAACCUUUUCCCAUGGGCUCCAUUGGGCCGUAGUUCAUUUGCAUGUAAUUUUACCAACAAAAAUAUACAAAAAGUCAAACUUUCAAAAGCUUAUUUAUUUAAAUACUAAUUAUAGUUUAUACCAUUGAUUUCAGAAUGGAUUUUCUUUUAGAAUAGUAAAAAAACAAAAAAAAUGUACGCUUCAUUUUAUCAUGAAACGUAAAUAUUUUGUCAAUUAUACAAAUUUUUUAGUAAAGAUGAUAUAUAUAUAUAUAUAUAUAUAUAUAUAUUUAAUAUAGGUGAUACAUGUCGUGAAAUAAUGUUAUAAAGAUUAUAAAAUUAUCAAAAGACAAAGGUUAUGAAAAUCACGAAAUUCAAAAUAUUGUAAAGAUUAUAAAAACAAUACUACAAAUUAACGAUAAAAUUUAAGAUUUUCAAAAGAAAAAUGGAGAGUUUGAUCAAUGUAGAGGAUAAAGGGGAAUAGAAAAAUUAAUACUCAAAAAUAAAAUGCAAAAGAACAAAUAAUAACCAAAUAAAUUCUCAUGCUGUUAUAUGAAUUGCAAUAUUCUAAAAUAACUAAUCAUUAAAUGACCAAAGCAUAUCUGAAUGAAAAAAGAAAAAGAAAGGCUACCAUGUUAGCUGUUUAGUUUUGUUCUAAUUUAGUUCAUAAGUUUUAAAACGAUUUAACUUUAUCUCUAAAACUUAUGUUACUUUUGAUAAGAAUUACAAAAUAAAAGUUUCUUUUUUAUAUGGUGAAAAAGUAGGUAAAUAUUUUUACAUUUGUUAUCUCGUUUUUUUUAACUAAAUUCUCAAUUUGUAUGAAUCAAAAAUCAUAUCAAUUAUCGUUAUGUUAGGUUUACUUUCUAAGUUAAGCAAUAAUUAAUAUACAUUUCAUUACUUGGUUUGAAAUAAUUUAUAAUUACUCUACCUUUUCAAAAAAUUUCUUAUAUGGAAUUGUAAAUUUUAAAUUUUAACCUAUUUUUAGGGUAACAAAUCACUUAAAUUUUUAUCCUUUUUUUCUUAUGGGAAUGGUUAGAAGGAAAGUGGGAAAAUAAAUUCCAAUCUUGAAAUUCGAAUGAUCCACCAAAAUUUGUGGCAGUUUCCUUCGAAUUUUUCGGAAAUUUUCCAUUCUUCCUUUCUCUCCAAGAAAUCACAAUGGUCAAGUUUAGGAGGAAAUCAACUUUGGUUGUUUACAAAAAUACAACAUUCAUUUUUUUUUGCAUAAUUUUAGAUUCAUCCAUUUCUUUUUUAAUCUCUCGUAAUCAAAAUUGACUUCGAAAGUUUGCGAAUCAAGAUGGGUCUAAUUUCUAAAAACCACGUAGAAUAGCGAGAAGACAACUGUGUAUCAAUAGAUGACAAUCAAGUUUCACUCAAUCUAACACCGUGUAACCACAUAUUAUGCAUCAUAGUGCGGUCGGCUCGAUGUCAUACUAAUGUGAAGACUUAAGUAAAUUUUUAUAGAGCAAGAUCGAACUAAUAGAAAUAUAUUGGAGGUCGAGUAUGACAAGCAAACACAUACAAGCACCAACAAAUUCUAAAAGCAAACUUGUAUUUGGAUAUAUAUUUUUUUUUCUAACUUUAUUUGACAACCAAUGAAGAUUUUGUCAAAGUCACCUUAUAAAAUUAGUGUCAAACUCAACCUAAUUAAAUUUUGAAUUGGUGGAUAUAUACCCAAGUUGGAAUCCAUAUCACUUUGAGUUAUUAUAUCAUAUUACACUAACAUCUUUUCCAUCCCUAAUAAGAUUUUUAACUUUCGAUCUCUUACACGUUCUUAACAUUUAACUGACGAUUUAUUCAUUUGAUAUAUAUUCAACAUUUUACAAAACUCACAUGCAACACCAUACACGUAAUUCAAUUACAUCUAUAUAUUAAAAAAGUUAUCUACCAUUAACACUACUGUUGAAUAAGAAAUUUUGAGACCAAUCACAAGUUGUAACAUCAUUUAUUAAGUUAAUGAUGAAAAGUACAAAUAAUUAAAUUUGAGACUAAUUAAAAUUGACACAUGCUCCAAAUUAAAGAGUUAAAAUAAAUAAAUUGGUCAUUCUAAUAAUGCCACAUGUUUUCAUAUUAAUAGUUGGAUUAAGUUAAUCAUUUUAGUUCAAUUAAAUAUUAUUUAUUUGGACUAAGUUCAAUUAAGCCAAAAAAUAAGCUUAAUUGAGCCCAAAGACUAAAUAUAACCUAAGUCUAUAUGGUUGAGCCCAUGGGUCUGGUCCAUGGACCAACCAGGUUCAAACCCAUAAAGCCCACCAGUGAACUCUAUAAAUAGAGGAAUUCUCCUCAUUUGUAGGGGUUGGAAAAUUUUGACUCUAGAAGAUCGAGAGAGAAUUCUUCAAAGAGCUAGAAGACUCCCUAACUCCGAAGUCGACCAUCCUCGAAGAUUGAAGCUUCUUUAAAGAUACAAGCUUUCUUCCAAGGCUCAAACUUCAAAAAACAUCACGUGUCAAAAAACAUCACGUGUUUCGCUUCCUCCAAAUCAAGCUGAAGCAUCCAGUUGAGAGAGAAUCAGAGGAUCAAAUUCUAGAGAUUGAACCGCAUCGCAUCAAAUCAACAAAAAUACAAAAAGUUCAAGUCCACGAAUUAAAUUUCUCCGGAAAUCUCGUACGAACAACUACUAACAACUUUAAAUCUUAUAUAAGAUUAAAAAAAUAUCUUGCUACAGUAAAUUGGAUCUAAGAACUAUAAAAACCGCUUUUAAAAGUUUCAUUUUAAAAUAUUAUAUUUACUAUAUGAUAUUCAUCAUUUUGUUAGUUGCUCUAGUAUUUACUAUUCAUUUAUCAAACUAAAAUAGUUAAGACAUCAAACACAUACUAUUAUAAGUUAAACUAAAUUAAUAUACAUAUCGAACACAAACGAUUUUAAUCAAAUUAUAAUAACCUACCGAAGAUAAUACUCACGGUCCAAUAUACACACUUAAAAGUUUACGGAUUAAACAUAUAAUUUUAAAAUAAUAAUAAUUAAAAGUAAAAAAAAAAUGAAGAAGUACUUUAUAGUUGAGUCAAUGAAGACUAAAAAUGGUUGCAAGAAUGAUAGAAAUGGGACAGAGAAGUCAAGGUGAUAUGAGUGAUGAUGAUUCCUUUCUCUAAAAUCCAACAAAGCAUUUUAGCAUCUUCUUUUCUUUUCUUUUCUUUAUUUUAUGCAUAUUUCUUUUUUAAUUUGUACUUUCUUAUUUCUUUUUUGGGGACCCCUUUUAUUGUAAUUGUCUUUAUUUGGAUGUGGAAUUUUCUAUACUACAUCUUAUCAAUUGGCAUUUAUAUAUACAUACACAUAUACAUAUAUACAUAUAAUAUUUUUAGAAUAAUUAUAAAAAAUAGUAAAUUUGACAAAAUAUUUACAAUAUAUAAUAAAAUUUUUAAAUUCUAUAAAUAAUAUACAUUGAUAACCACACUUCUAUGAGUGACAUUGAUAGCAAGUGAUAGAAGCCUAUCAGUUUCUAUUAUUGAUAAAAUCCAAAAUUUUGAUAUAACUUGUAAAUAUUUUAAUUUAUUUUGUUAUUUUUAAAAAUACAUAUUAUUUUUAUGUGAGAGAUUUAUUUAUUGUUGUAAUUUUGUCAAGUUGUAUCGUAAUUUGACCUAAUUUUAGCAAUAUCGCACAUAUGUUCUUGUAAAUAGUUGAAUAUAUAUAUAAUUAUUAUAACUACGUUGAAAAUAUUUACAAAAUAUAAUAAAAUUUUGGAUUAUAUAAGUGACACUUUUAUAUUUUGUUUUCCUGAAAAGAAACAUUUAAAUUUGAAUUUUUAAAUUAAGAAUAAAAACUGGACGUGUUUUAAAAGUUCGAGGUUAAAAUGGUAAUAUUUACGUCAAUUUAAAUUUAAAUUUGAUUAAAUUGAAUUAUAAGACGGAUGUUAAUAUUAACAAUUAUGUAUUUGAAUUGACUUUUCAAGUAUUUAGCUUUUAAAAUAAAUCACUUUUGAAAGAAACAAAAUUGAAAUAUUUGACGGUUACUCAAAGUUUGAAAUUCUUCGCACCAAGGUGGUCGUGGAGGUUGCUUUUAAUCGGAGUCCAAAAUUGAUUGUUAGAGUUGGUUAUGGCAAAGGUGGUUGUCGAAGAUAUUUGUCGGAGUUUGUCAUCGGAUGUGGUUACUAGAUGAACGUUAAAAACUUAAGAAAAAGAGAGACUUGAGGUAAGUUUUCACCAAUAUGUAAAUCCAAUGGACCAAACAAUGAGUUGAUAAUACUAUACUAACUCAACUCGUCUCGUAUUAGUGUGUCAAACACCUCGUGAAGUUUUAGCAUUAAAAUAAUUUAAAACAAAAUUUUCUCCAAAAUGGAUCCCAACAAAUCUCUAAUUUUUUUUUAUUGAAAGUUGACUUUUAUCCCAUGAGUGAGAAUGAUUUAUUUUAAGACCAUACAUUAAUCUAGUUCAUCUUUUGAGGCCAAAAGAAAGAAAGCAAUGACCUUAGUUAUUCUUUAUAAUAAAAUAUCCCAUUUUUAGUUUUGUAAAGUAAAAGUUUUUUAAAAUGUAUUUAUUCACUAAAAGACAAUACAUUUUUUAUAAUAAACCCUUUACCAUCAAUAAAAAAAAUGACUACAAGUAAAAUUGAUUGUUACCGAUAUAACUAAUAGAUUCAAAAUAAUUAACUAUAUAUAGCAAAACCGGUCAAAGUCUUUCACUUAUAGAUUAUGUUGCAAAUAUUGAUCUAUGACUAAUAAUCUAUAGGAGUAUAACGGAUAGAUUUGGCUAUAUUUACAAUUUUUUUAAAAAUGUUAUUGUUAUUUUUAAAAAUGGUAUCUAAUUAAAAAAAGAUAAAAAAAAUGAGCACACAAUUUGUUUUUUUAUUUUAGCGGCAACUCUAAAAAAAAUUCAAAGAAAAAUGGUUAUUUAUUAACUCGACCCCCUUUAAAAUUACUAUCAUUUUGUGAAUUUUAUUUUUAAAUUACAAAUAUGACCGUCUAUUUUAAUAGAAUUUCAUGGUCGAUUUUUUUUUAAAGAUUUUACUAUAUUUUCCUUUUUAAAUAAAAUUCUCACUAUGUAUAUAGUAUAAUAUUUUGAUUGAAAUUGAUAUAUUCACGAUCUUUCCAUAUUUUAUUAAAAUCAAUCAUAAUAUUUAGUUAUAUAUAUAUUAACAACACUUCUUUUUAAAAAAAUCUAUCGAUAAUAUAAUCAUCAGACAGACAACGGCAUUCGAGUGUGCCCAAAUGGUUUAGUGGUUUAGCGUUAAGAACAUCUCUCUUUGAAGAAGAUGAAUUUGACUUUCCCUAGAGGUGAACUCCUAGGAAAGAGAAAGAAAAAGAAAGUUGAUGAUAGAUUAUGGAUAAAUUUAGAAUUGAUUUUGAUGAAGUAAAUGGAUAUAUGUAAACAAAAUCAAAGAAAGAAAGAAUUUAAUUGCGUUAAAAAUGGUAUUAUCUAAAUUAAAUUCAGCAAUCAAUUGGAUUGAAUUAAAGAAUACGAUUUUUUAGGGAAGAAAAUAUUGGGAUGUUAGUUGCUGGGAAUAUUGAUAUCCUCAUAAAUGUAACGGUCCGAUGCUCGUGACAAGCGAAAUUGUAUACAAUAAUGGACAGCCAAAUACUUUACGGAAUAUCAAUACAAUGUUUUUAUUUAUGUACUCCUAAAUAAUGAUAGUAAAUUAAUUAAACCAUUAAUAUCUUUUUAUUAAAUUAUUUAUAAAUAUAAUAAAAUAACAUCAUCUAUUUUAUAGCGUGAGUAUUAAAAGUGGCAUUUGUAAAAAUAGCAGAAAAAAAAUUAUAAUAAUAAAUUACAUGUUUCUAUAUUUUUAAAUUGCAAAAGUAGCAAAUUUAAAAACGUUUUUUUUGGCUACUUUUUAAUUAAAAACUAUUAUAAAUAUAUAUAUAUAUAUAUAAUAUAUAUAUAUAUAUAUAUAUAUAUAUAUAUAUAUAUAUAUAUAUAUAUAUAUAUAUAUAUAUAUAAUCAUACUCUCCUUAACUUUAUAUUAUUUUGCUUUUUAUUAAAUUGUCCACGUCUAAAAAUAUAUUUUAUGUUUUCUAUUUAAAUGCCAUAGAGUUAAUAUCAAUUUGUUUUUUUUUCUUUUAUAUUUAAUAUAAGAUGUGUUUAAUUUCAAUCUAUAUGUUAAAAGUGUAUCAUGAUCCACUAAAUAAUAAUAAUAACAUUUAUAUGUGAUGAAGUAAUAUGAGAAUGUGCUUUCAAAAUUUAUAAGGAAAAUGUUUGUAAGUAAUUUUUUUGAAAAACUAAUAAUAAAUAAACAUAAAUUAAAUUUGACAUUAAAAAGUUUAGAGACUAAAAUACGUCACAAACGACCAAAUUUAUAUUAAAAUAAAACAAAUAACUAAAACAAAUUUUUAUCUCGUAGAUAAACUUCAGUUAUUGUUGAAAAUUUAUUAAAUGAAGUGAAUUAUAAUAUGAAUAGAUAAAGUGGAUACAAAUCGCGGGAUAAAAUUGCCACAAAUUAAAGUUGAUAAAGACAUCUCUACAACCUUUGCCCACUCUAAUAAUCAUAUGUGAAUUUCAGCAUUUAAAAAUCAUUUGAAAUAUUUUUUUUUCCUCUUUAGCUAUACAUAUACAUUACAUGGACCAAAAAAUAUUCAAAUAAUUAUACUUACAGAAGACAUUAGCAAAAUCUCAUUAAAUUUUAUAGUUCACUGUAUUAUUCAAUGGUUUGAUUUUCUAAAUGUUUAUUAACAUUUUUUUUCACUUUUAAACAAGUAUUUAAAUAUCUAAAAAGUACGUCAAAGUCCCAUUUAGUAGUUAGAAUAAUUUUUAUUGAAAUUGAUUCAACAACAAUAAUAAUUUUCAUGCAAUAAAAUACAAUAAUUAAAUGUAUUUUCAAAAUUUAAAAUAUAAAUGAAAAUAAAUAAUAAUAAUAAUAAAAUAGUAGUAAGUGAGAACGCUGUAAAUAAGAGAGAAAAUGUAAUUAUUUAUAAAAUAUAGGGGUAAGUAAUUUGAUUAAUUUUGCUAAAUUUUAUAAUUAAUUUCGACGUUUUGCUAUUGUUGAGAGUAAAGAGAGUUGAGUGAAUUUUACUAUAUCUCAUAUUAUUAGUUUAACGUUAUAUUAUUGAAAAUGUCCCUUAUAAUAUCUAAAAUAUUGAUAUAUUUUAUAAAUAUUUUGAUUAAUUUAUUGUAUUCAAAAUGCUUCAAAUAUUUAGUAUUUAAAACUAUUACAAGGUAAACAAAAUAUAUAUGAACUUCCAUAAAAAUAACAAAAAGAAGUUAUGAUAAUAGAACACAUGUCACAACAUUUUAUAAAUUUGCAAAAGUGACAAAUUUAAAAGAGCCGUUUGAUAUCACUAAAUUUGUCAUAUUUGCAAUAUAUAAGAAAAUUAAUGCUAUGAAUAUUUUUUUAUAAAUAUUUUAGUCAUUUAUAUAAUUUUUUAAAUAUAUAAUAAUAAUGUUUGUUCCAUUGGAAAAUUAACACAUUGACUUAGGGAAUGGCGGAGAGUGCAAAAGUGGAAAUAUUUGACAAUUACGUUGGGAAGAAUUGGAAAUAAAUUAAUUAGGAAGAAUUUUGGGGAAGAAUUGAAAUUAGUUGUUUGUUCGGUACUUUUGCCCAAUUUUUAGGCUGAUUCCUAAAAGGGAACUGCUGAUUGGCCAAUUAACUUCCGAGUAACCAAGCUGACAUGCGUUUCCUUCUACCAUAAACGUGGCACUUUUCUAUUGGACAACUUUGAUGAUAUGUACAACUACGAUGUACGUUUGUUUAGUCGAAGUUUUGAGUAAAUAUCAAUCCAUCUGAGAAAUAUAAAUACACAAAAAGGUUUGUUUAAAAAAUAUUAAAAUUAAUAGUUUUUUUUUAAUUUUAAUAAAAACAAAAUGUUUUUUAGAAAUAAAAUAGGAAAGCUAGGACAAAUUAUGUUAGUUUUAUAAUUUAAAUAAACCAAAUAAAACUAAAUCAUAUUUUUUAGUUUUGAAAAGGGUGUGAGCAUACAAAAACAAGUCCAAAUCUUAGACAUCAUAUAGUCCAAAGUGUUUAUUUAUUAAUAUAAAACACAUUUUAAACUUUGAUUGUUGUGAUAUAGUAUAUGUCUUUUUUAAUCUAUUGAAAUCAUAAAACGAAAAAAAAUAUUUAAAUUAGUAAAUAAAUAUUGUAUAAUUACUUGUUUAUUAUUUAUAUUAUAUUUACAUCGGUGAUCUUAUAUACCUUUGUUUUUGUAUUUAUGUUUUUUUCGAUGUAUGAUGAAAAUAAGACUUUACCACAAAGUCGAAUCCAAGUAAAUAAAAAGUAAUGCAACUAGGGUUGAUCAUCGGUUGAUCGAAGUCAGUUUAGUAAAUGUUCAAACUGAUCUCGACAUCCAUGAAUAACAUCGAUGAGUAAGGGUCGAUUACGUCAAUUUAGUUUAGCACUCAUAAUUACUUCUUGAAAAUUCUCAAAUUAAGACUUUUCAAAACCAACCCUACUGUUUUCAGUUUGACGGACCUCAGAUGGGUUGGUCGACUCGAUUUUUCAAUAUUUCGCUCACUCUUAAAUACAAUGAUUAAAACCAACACUUUCUUUAAACAUUUUAAAUUGUACACUAAUUCAUUUAAUUUGGUAGCAAUUCAACUUUAUACUUGCAAAAUUGGAACAACAGUCCAACAAGAAAAAAAAUGAAGUAGAGAAAAUUGAACCAAAAACAUAUCGCAACUAACAUCAAAAUUAAGGCAUUGCAUUUUCUAACCUCAAAAACAUUAUCGGACAAAUUUCGGUUAAAAAAAAUCAACAUAAAAUUCAAUUAUAAUACUAAAAUAAAAAAAUCGAACAUGGUUUAAUUUUUUUUAAAAAUUAUAUAUAUAUAUAUAUAUAUAUAUAUAUAUAUAUAUAUAUAUAUAUAUAUAUAUUUUGAAAAAAAUGGUAUUUAGGCAACUACUCAAAAUAAUUAUUAAAUAUAUUUAAAACAAAUUUUAUUAAAUUGAAUUUUAAAAAACAUUUUAUGAAUCCAAAGAUCUUAAAAUUAAAAUUAUAAAUAUAAUGGAGAAUUAAAAAAUGACAUUGGUAAUUUAGUCACUUUUUAAUUGAGUAAAAUGAAAACUGGACCCUAACCGAAAACCCGUGUAGUUAAACACAAAUGAGAGUUGAGAAGAGGAAGGAGGAAAAAGCGGUGAAUGAAAUGGGAAAUUAGGGUCCGUCCGGAUUUAAACCCGAAAACAAGAAUGGAAGCUGUCGCUUUUACGUCUAACGGACCCACAUAUCCAAGAGCUAAUUAAAUUUUUAAAAAGUGAUGAAAAAUGAAAUGAAAUUAAAGAAAGGGAAAAAAAAAGAGUGAGAGUGGAAGGCCCACGCCGAAGCUGACAAAGAAGUGGAACAAAGAAGGGAAACCUGAACAACCACCACAUAGCAAAGCCAAACCCCACUCCCUCUCUCUCUCCUUCCCUAUUCCCUCUUCCCUCUCUCUCUUUCCUUUUUUUUCUCUAUCUAAUCUUUUUUCCCCCAAUAUUUAUACCCUUUCUUUACUCUCUCCGCCACCCUCUUUCCCUUUUCUCUUCUUCUUUCUUUUUUUUUUCUUCCCUCAUUUCCUCAUCAUGCUGAACCACGACCAAUGGCUUUCAGCGGCCAUGGCGGACGAAACCCUUGUUGCUGACUUAUUGUUGAGGUUGAAGCAGUCUCAGGCUGUUUUACCUUCCAAAUCUCCUCUUCCGAUGUCUGUUCCGUUUACCUGGGGUAUUAAGCAACCAAGGUCCAGGAUGUCUACAGCUACGGCUACGGCUACGGUGCCUGUUAGAUGUGGUGAUGUUGUAUUGAAGAGGAAUAAUAAGGAUGUUGAUUCAACUAGAUGUAGUCCUACCACGCCGCUUUCAUGGAGUGGUGGAGCUUCUCCUUCUGCAACGCUUGAUGGUUUUGAGGAGUCCAGUCGUCCCGCUACGCUCUCUCAGGCUGCAUCCAGAUUUAAGGUUCUUGAGGUUUUUUUUUUUUUUUUGUUUGUUUAUUAUCUUCUCAUUCUCUGUUGUGAUUUAUGCCGUCUGUUUUGGAUUUUUGUAGUUUCGUCUCUUUUCUCGCGUCUGUGUGCUUUGAGUUCCCGAUCUUUCUGAUUUUUUUUUUUGUUUUUUUGGAUAUUAUUUUUUACGAGUUCUCUCGAUUCUUGACGACGGCGUUCUUAAUUAUGGUUUUUUUUAUCGGCGGUGGUGUCUCGUCGGCUGCGGAUUUUAAGCCGCUGGUGGCGGCGUGGAUUCUCAGAUGAAACAUUCUUAUCUCGGAGAAGCUUUAGAUAUUUUGUAUCGUCACCGUUUUUUUCUUUUUUCAUUUGCUUUUUCAAGAAUCUGAUUCUGUUUCGAGAAAUCUCUUCUGAUUUUCUUCUUCUCAUUUUGUUCGUCAGUUAGUCGAAAAGAACUUCCUCUCUCAGAACUCACACACCUGCAAAUCUCUCAAUUCCACAAUCGCCGUACUUCACCUAACAGUUUCCAAUUCUCUCCAUCAAUGGCGGACAACCCUCACAAAUCACCGUCGAGAAAACCGCUCUUUAAUUCCAUUAAUCCACAAAUAAACUCCUAGAUUUUCCUAAAAUUUCACUUCUCGGGUCAGCGAAAGGACGCGUGUUGAAAAAUACUUAGCGUUUUCUUCUCGCCUCUUUUCGAGCUCCGUCUGUCGACUCGAAAUCCAUUAUUUCUUCGAAAUUGACCAAAACACCCUUCGAAUCCCUCGCUAGAUUCCAAACAUUUCCAAAUCGUACAUCGAGUCGCUGUUUCCUCACGCACGCGAUUUUGCCAAUAUAAACUCUCUUCCAUCGCCGACGGUCCGUCUACCCAAGGACCAUUCACCAUAGUAAGGGCCUCGAAACUUCCCUACAUCCAAUCGUCCUUUCCUUUUCCUCUCUUUUUUGACCCUACUACCACUCGACGCGUAGAAGAUUCAUCACCAAACCGCGAGGCUAUUCUUGUAAUUUCCCCCACAUUCCGAACCGGUCUGCUCGAACCGGCGGCCAGAUUCGACCGUCGACGAAGCUACUAAAUGAGGUCCCAAAUCGGAUCAGGUAAGAGAUGAAACGCUCCCAAGAGAAUAGAUAGGUGUGCGUUAGGUUUGAUGCAGACUUGGUUGUUUGGGGAGGGAGCAAUUAUCAGGUGUGGCGAUGGUACACCGUUUGUUCCUGUGUUGGCUUUCUGAAAUAUAUAUAUAUAUAUAUUAAUAAUAAAAUGGAAUCUUCCCAAUUGUUCAUGAUUGAUGGAUAGGAGUAGAAUAACAAAAAAAUAUACGAUAACGAAUUUGAAUUUGGAUCGUGAGUAUGGUUGGGGGAAAAGAUAUAAUUAUACAUAGAAUUGUUUUAUAAGUUGUUGAGGUGAGAAAAGGAAAAGGAUGAUCCACGUGACCAAGUCACGCGAGGUGGGAAAGCAAGACAUGAGAUGGUACGGGGUGUGGUCGCAAUCUUAAAGUGACCACGUGGAGUUCAUGAUGUGGCGUGAGAUUCUGGUAAAUGUGUAUUUGGGUCACAUUUGUUUCCCAAAUAAUACUUCCAUUCAUUCCGGUUCUGGACAAUACUUAUUUUGUUUGUUGUCUAAUAAUAAUUUAUCUUAAUAAGGGUAAGAUAAGAUGGAUGCAUAUUCCCCAUCUCUUCUUAGUGGGAGGAGAGAGAAGAGGUAAUUGCUGUUGUUUCCGUUUCAAAUUUUGUGCCACUUUGCUUUUUUUCCUUUCUUGUUCAUAUGUCUAUAUGUUUGCAAUUUUGAUUCUUAUUAAUGGGUUUGAUAAUUGGAGUUGAUAAUGAUGAUCCUCAUCAAUAUGUUUGGAGUUGAAUUUAAAGCCUGUGUUAUUUGUUUUGCAAUACUGAUUCGAAUUAAUGGGCUUGAAAAUGGGGUUGAUUUAAACUUUUUUGUGAUAAUGAUUCUUAUCAAUAUGUUUUGGGGCUGGUUAUACUUUUUUUGUUAGUUGUUUUGUUGGUGAUAUUGGUUCUUCUUCUUAUUGAUAGACUUUAUGUUAGUGAUUUUUAUAAUAUGUUUGGUGUAUGUUUUUCAGGGUGCUGCUGGAAAUGAGUCGGCGGCUGGUAAUACUACAAAGAGGUUAAGACGAAAGAAGGUAAUUUCUUGUAGGGAAAAUCAAUUUUGGAUUUGUUGGGGUCUGGCCGUAUAAGUCAAGCAUUUGUUUAUUGCUGACUUUAAUUGAGUUGUUGGCUUGCAUUGUUCUUGAUGAAUGAAUUGUUCAACAACCAACUGUAUAUCUAACUUAUUUCUUUUUAUGCUCUUAUUUGAUGACGUAUUCUCUUUGUUUGUUUUCUAGACAUUUGCUGAACUUAAGGAAGAGGAAAGCAUCCUUUUGAAGGAGAAAAUUCAUCUCAAAAUGGUAUGAAUAUGAUCUUCUUUUGUUAUAGGAGUGGAUAUGUAUAUGCUAUAUAUUAUUUUGUUUAUAAAUUAUAAUUGGGAUAAAGAACUUUAAAUUUAUAAUUUAUUUUGUAUUUUCUUGAUGUUUUGUUCUAUAUAGACAAAUUAGGGGCUGUUGCCUUUUUCUUUCUUGUUGGCACUGGCACCAUCUUUUGUUUUUGAGGACCUAACUUACUUUUUGAACAGGAACUGGCCACUUUAAGGGCAAACUUAGAAGAACAAAGAGCCAAGAAUGAGAGUCUGAAGAAAAUGAAGGUAAUUUCUACCUCUCUCUCUCUCUUUUUUUAAUCAACAUGUCUGCUGCUUUCUUUUUCCAUGAACAUUUGAGUUAUACUGUCUUUUUGUCAUUGUAAAGUUAUGAAAAGAUUGAUAGAAAAAAAAAGUGUUCGAAAGAUGUUGACAUUUCACAACCAAUAUUCUCUUUCUUUAUCAAACAAAUCACUUGAUUUUCCUACCAAGGCUCUUCUGAGAACAAUAAAUCUCACUUCAUGCAGGUAGAUCUCAACUUCAAAUACACAGAGAAAUUCAUUACAAACUCCAAUAUGAUGAUGACGACGACGACGAUGAUGCCAGAAGAAUCUUCAUCCACACUAACCCAUCAAAGGGAAAGCUCUUCACCCACAUUGCCAUUCACAACAUCAGGAUCAGGUUCUUCCGAGGCUCAAUCGCAAAAGAACUUGAAAUCAACCGAAGAAGAUUGUGUCUUUCUCUUGCCAGAUUUAAAUAUGAUACCCUCAGAAGAUUAACUAAGAUCAAAAUACAUUGACUCUCUCUCUCUCUCUCGUUCUUGUUUUUCGUUCUUGCUAAUAUGAUGACAUGGACAGGCACUGAUUGUGAAGCCAUGAGAGCUCCAAUGGCUUUACAAUUUGUUGAUGGCAAAAAAAGUUUGCCGUCUUGUAGAAGAACAUUCAAUUCAGUCUGUUAGCAUUUGUUAAUUCCUGUGUUUCUUACCAUAUUUUUUUAAGGAUGUAACUCUGUGGGUUAAACAAAUUGUUGAAUCCCUCUAGAAGAAUGGUGUAGGGUUGAUUCAUUCGUUGUAGCGUUUAUUAUAUAGGUACAUAGUUACUUAAUUUGAUUGUCAUGACUUUGUUGUUAUAAAAGUUGUUAUUUUUUUACCAUUUUUACUCUUUUUGUGCUUUCUUACUCAUUAUGUUCACUCACAAGUGCUUUGAUGCAAAGCAUUAGCACGACUUGGUUUGAAUUAGUGUGUUAAAUCAAUGAUAAAGUUUUAGUUCUAACAAUGAGAGAGACCCACUCAUGAGAAAGUGUGUUUGAUGUAUUGAUGAGGCACUAUACGAUGAACAGAAUAUAGUUUAAAUAUUAGGCACUAUUCGAUUUUGAUUUUUUCAAAAUGUUGAUUGUGGUCAUUGUUUUGUUGUAAAGAUUAUUUUCAUCUCUAUUUCCAAAAUUGACAAUUUCACAAGUAACGAAGACUUGCAAUUUUUUGAAUACACUUCGAAAUUUAAUUUAAUGAGUUUGAUGCAAAAUUUUCAAUUGAAAAGAAAGAUGAAGUGAUUGAAAUGAUCUCAUUCAAAGGUCAUUGAAAGUACACAAGGAAGUAAAAUGAGGUUAAAAAUCCAAGAAUUGAAUAAAUCAAAGUUGCUAAUGCGAGUUGACUUAGCGAUAUUGGGCAUGCAUUGCAAGUGGGACGGGUGAGUAAUGCGUAAGAACCUGCCCUUGGGAGGGGAACAACAGCUGGAAACAGCUGCUAAUACCUCGUACGCUGAGGAGCAAAAGGAGGAAUCCGCCCGAGGAGGGGCUCGCGUCUGAUUAGCUAGUUGGUGAGGCAAUAGCUUACCAAGGCGAUGAUGAGUAGCUGGUCCGAGAGGAUGAUCAGCCACACUGGGACUGACUUAGCGAUAUUGGGCAUGCAUUUUUUGUCGUACUAAAAAAUAAUUCAAGGUUUUUUAUUUGUUGGUUGUAAUAAAAAAACCAAUAUCUAAAAUUAUCAUUGUUUGCAUAAAAUUUCCAAGAAAAAGUAUGUGAUUCGAUCUAAUACAAUCUUUUGAUUCUCUCUUGAUUGAAAAAUAUGUAGAAGAAUGCUUACACUUGAUAUACGAAAACCGUUCUUAAAGUUGGAAGUUUAGAAUAAUAUUUGUAUCUCUAAAGAACCUAAAAGGAGCUUGAGGUUGAAGGAAUGAAUCAAGUCUUACAAAAUUACGUGUCGAUUUGUACUUGAUCCAAAAUUUCUCAUUCAGCUGUAAUUGUCCUAGGCUGAGUUUCUCAUAAAGUCAAUUCAAGAAAGAGUAGGUUGAGCAAAUAUAAAUGAAACAGCAACACGUUUCAGAACUGGGAAACCGACUUUCCAAAUGACACUAUCCAUUGUUCCAUUGUUUUCCUUUUGACUCAUUACAUGAAAUCAUCUUAUGUAUACAUAAGACUUUUGGCACUUCCAUUUUUUCACUGGAAGCAUGAAUCAUGUAGUGUAGAAGAAAUGGAGACUUUUGGUCACCAUUUCUCUCACCAAUCUCCACCAAUUUCUAAGAUUCAUCUCAACUUCUCUUCGACAAGAUCGAUGCAACGAUAUAAUACAAGCUCUACUGGGUUUAAGGCACACUCUAUGUCCACCGUAAUCUGAUCAUAAUCGGCCUUGUUCUCCGACAUUAUCCCCGUCACUAACGUCCGAAGAGGGAGAAGCCAUUCGUUAUAGGAUUUCUGCAAAUUGCUCUUCAGCAAAACCCCAGUAUAGUUUGUGUUUCCUGUUCCGUGGAUUUUGAUUAUGAUUCACAAUCAUCAAUAAUAAUUAAACAUUAAGAGUCCAUAUGUUCAAGCAGAUUCUGUUUGGCUAGCCCUUUCUAGGCCUUAGGAAGUGACAAAUUCUAAAUUAUCUAAUGUCAAUACCAAAAGGCACUAAUAUUUAACAUUCACCAGCGAUUUACCUGUUGCCUCGGUUAUCAGCACGUACCGGUAUAGAUUGAGGGCCGAAAGAACCUGUAGUAAUACAUAAAAAGUUUUUAACUGAAUAAUAUAGAACCAAGAUGAAGAAAGCCAAAAACUUCAUUUGUAAUUUCUAGCCCAGAUCUCAAAUACAUGACACCCUUCUACAAGCUCCCUUUUCUUGUCUAUUGGUUCAUGACAGACACGAUGUAAAGCAUAUAUGUACUUUCCAUCUAUUAUUUUGCAUUUUAAAGACCCAUGACUGCAAUUAUACGUAAGCAUAGGCAUCAGUAUCCAUUAAAACUCAGUUUUAAGAAUUGCAUCAAUAAUAGAGACGUCAAUAUGGGUGUACUUAGAUGGGAAGAAUCGAUGAACAAGGGUGAAACUAGUAAAAAUGAUAACAAAUCACAGGAGAUAUGGUUUUAGAAAGUGAAAUGAAGAAAGUUUUGUUAUAUAGUUGUUUAAAUACCGCAUCACUCUGCUCUGGAAGCACUGGAGGCCCCCCUUUCGAAGGCCUCAAAAUGAGCUCCACCAAUUCUAGGAUACUUGCAGUCCAAAAUGAUGGUUCUGGACGUGCUUUGGUAUCAACUUGCAAACUGCCAGCUGCUCUUUUCUGGCAAAGCUCCGCAUGCAUUUCUCCUUUGACAAGAUCUAAAAGAAGUCCAACCUAUUUUAAUGUUUUAACCAUAAGAUCAGAGAUGUUAUAACCUGGAUGAUCAAUAAUAUUUAACUGAAAAGGCAGGCUAGAUUGGGUUUACCAUAGAGGGAGAGUCACUAUUCACAAUUAGAGCUCUAAACAUGUCGAACCUUUGAGAAUAAGGAAUAUCAGCAAGCAACUGGUUAUGGUAGUUAGACAUAAAUAAGUUGAUAUUCUCAUAGAAAAAUUGAACCGUGUAAAAAAAAAUUAAAUUAUUGAACUUAAGAAACUCACCUUUUUAAAUAAAUCAAACCCAUUCCUCCGUAGUGUUGCAUCUGGUGCAUACAUGAUAAUUAUCUGAACAGCCUGAAAUGUAACUUGACCAACAAAGAAGAGUUUAGACAAUCUUCACCACCCUAAUCUAUACAUAGUAAUAAAAGAUAAUAAAAAUAAAAGUUGAGUGCUCAAUAUGGGAUCUGAAGAACAUGAUAUACUACCUGCAAAGCAGCAAAUAAACUAGGCAUGUACGAUAUGUAGUCACUUUCUUUGUCAUCAAAACUUUCAGAUCCAUUAAUGCAGAGCAAGAAAUCAAUGGCAUGUUUCUUUAGUUUCCAAGAUAGAGCGGGAAAAGAGAGUAUAUGCCUGAACAUGCCUAUAGCUUUCCAUCUUUCAGUUUGUUUGGACGUCAGUUCAUCUUUAAGAACAUUCAGUUUUUCAUCUGCAGCCUGAACAACCUCUUCAGAAAUAAAUCCCCAAAGAACUGCAUGUAUAAAGCAAUAGAAAAAAGAUUGGGAAACAAAAAAGAAGCCAACGAUUUAGAACCUGACAUUUAAGCGUGCAAGGACUCCUUUGAAAUUAAUGAACACAAACCUGAAAGACAUGCACCGUGCUUGAUGUAGGAAAAACAGGCCGUAUAAUCAUCUUCAUCCUCUAAGUACAAAAAAUGAACAAGGAAUGAUAAAUGGAUUUGUUAAAAAAUACAAACUUGCUAGGAAAAGUAGCAUGGCUUACCUCCAAUAAUGUUUUUAGAAAUUUUGUCGAUAUCAAAUCCAGUGAUAAGACCAGCGUAUGACAACCCACAGAAGGGGAGAAAGGAUGACAACUUCGAGAUGAAAGGAAGACAGCUUGAAACUUCAUGACUCAUGCUGACUGAAAAGAGAGCCUGCAUUUCAAUCAUGCAUUUGACAUUUGAGAGACUAACCCAAUCAGCACCCCCAACUCUGAACACAAGGAGAAUUAUAAGAGAAGGUGGGGAAGAGAAGCCAGACGUGACUUGAUGAACAAACUCGGCAAAUUUUCAUUUGAAUGGACAAAAUACCAUGAUUUGCAAUACAUAGAGUCCAAGAAGAGAUUGGAGCUUCUCCUGUACUUUGCCAUCCUGUAUCAUAAAUUAGAAAACAAGAAUAAUUGAUGGGAAAAUCAUUGGAUGAAAGAACCAUAGCACAUCAAAACACCACUUACCACCAACUUUACACAAACUGACUGGAUGGAACUGGCAAUGUCCAUAGCUCUGGCAUAUAAAGUAUCACAGUUCACAUCCCCUUCACUUGUUUCAAAAUCCACGGCUUUAAGUGCAUUGAGAACAACAGGAACUGCUACUUUUAUUUGCUCAAAAUGACGCCUCUGAAUGGAACGAAUCACUGGAAAUCAAUUUGUCUUAGAAGAUGCUACUUAAAAAUAUAUUAAAAAGUUUGAAGAGAAGAUAAAUGUAUCUUAAAUUAAAAGGUAUCAUGAGCAAGCCCUAUGGACAAAUAAUGCCUCACUUUAAUACUACACCAAAAGUGUGGUAAGGUGGAGGAUAACUUUUAUUUAGUGUUACAUCAUGUAAACCAAAUUCAAGGAUCCUAAUGCCACUGUUCUCCCACAAUAGAUGAUAACCCAAAGAUGGUGUUGACCAUACUACAGGAGGGAUAGUAAGGGAGCUGGACAAGGGAACACUCGCCAGUGUGAUGUAGGAAUGUUGUUAGUAAGUUUGUUGAUCUGUUAGUAGUAUUAUAGUUGUCUGUGUUCUGGCUAUUCUUUUUCAAGCUUGUAUUUUGAAUAAACAGUAGUUCUGGGGUUGUGAGAGAUGAUGAGCCCUUUCAAAAUUGCUGGUUUUAUUGUGUUUGGGUUAUAUUUUCCAUUAUCGUUCUCAUUGGCAACUAAAAGAAUCGUGAGGAAGAAUGCUUAGCUUACAGCUAGCAAUCCAAUCACCCUGCCCAGAAAGAUACUUAAUGUGUAGUUAUUACCUUUAGAGAGCCCACUUAGAAAAGGGGCAGCACAAUUGGUUGCAUUGGUCGUCUGCAAAUCUAAUGCCUGAAGCAAUUGCAAUAAUUGUUAAAUCAAGAACUAUAAUAUGCAACCAUUUUAAGCAAAAACGAGUUUGAAAUGAACAUUAUCUCCUCCAAAGAAGCCUAUUAAAAAUAUCUACGAGCUGCAACUUACAGCCAUUACAUGGAGUUAUUCAGAAUUAAAAGUGCAGUUCACUUAUAAAGCACAAUGCCCCAAAUGCUUUCACUUGAAUGCCUUGUGUUAGAGGUAAACAAUUUAUUGUUUUGCAUCAACCUGCUAACUUGAGCAAGGUUUAGAUACAAGAGUGAAAAUUCUUUUCUAUUUUAUUUUAAUUAUUAGUAUUCACCUGUGAGUCUGUAAUUGUCUUGCAAAAUCUCACUGAACAAUUGCUCGAAUUUACUACUAGUGGAAGAUACAAUAGUAAUCUAAUUAUAUAGAUCAUUAUUUUAAAACAAAGUAACCGUUUUGGAAGAGCCGUACGCAGGUGGAAACAAGAAAACCCUACAGUUAUAGACGUCCACUGGUGAACUAAAAAGUUGAAUGCCAAAACAUUUUGUAACAGCAAAGAAACCACCCAGUUAUCACUAUGAAGAAUUUAAUACUGAUGUACCUCACAAAGAACCGACAGCAUAUCCCGUGGACUGCACAGAGUAACGAACCUAUCAAUAAUACUAUCGACAAUCUCCAGACAUCCACCUACCCUUAUAAACUUGGAAACUGCCUUUGGAAGAUCAAAUGAAAGAGUGUCAAUAGUACCCUGCAACGUUUGUGGGCAGUGGUGUCAGCUGGGAAAACAACUAAAGUGUAGCAAAACCCAUAAAGAUCAAAUGGCAGAUAUAUCGAUAUGAGCUUAAAAUAUAUGUAUAUAUAGGUAUGGAACCUGGUCUAAUGAAGGAGAAGAUAUAAAUUGAUAGAUCUCAUUGAGGACUUCAGAGGCAUCACUCUCUGUAUCUCCAUUGUCCAAUUCUGUUUCAGCAGCCUCUGAAAUACAAUCAAGGUAAUUCACCAGCUCAGACACCAAGGCUUCGGAUUGAUGGGUGUCUUCAUUUUCAGUCGACUUUAAAAGACAAACAGAUUGUUAAAAUCCAGCCAUUAUCAAAACUACUGAACGCAAAACAAGAUUAGUCAUGGACUCGUUCACCAUGUUUCAUUUGAAGAAAAUAAAUUAAUAGCACAUAAUCCUUGCCCCUGAAAACAUUUACAUCAUUCUUAUCUAUAAAAGUCACCAUCGCAUUAAACGAAAGAACUUGCAGCCAGGUAAGCCAACUACCUAAAAAUGACAGUUUUAUAAGCAUACACGUUCAACAACGAACCGAAAAAAUCCGGUCCCUGGUGUCACAUAGUUAAAUGGAGCAGCCAACAAUCCGGAGGGGGGAUGAAAUUUGAGCAGAAAAGUUCUUGGAGUGGAACUUCUAGGUCUUACCUUGGAGCAAGCCGCAAGUAAUUCACGGAGCCGAAGCACUGAAGGACGAUCAUCGGAAGGCACGGUGAGUUGAAGUUUAGACAAACAGUGAUGAUCGUCGGCCUUCUCCAUUGAAAUGGCUUUCCACCGCUGUAAGUGUGACCUUGAGAUCACUGCACAGAGUUCUGAUAACUAUACUGCUUCUUCCCUGUCGCCCACCGGCGGUUCAAAGUUUCGGUCCGCCCGUGUCUCUUCUCCGGCGGGGCGGAGUUUCGGUCGACUUGAUGGGCUAAUAGGUAAUCUCUUCCGGACGGAUCUUCCCGGUUCGAAUAUAUAGAUAUAUAUGUGCGCACGCAACUAAACGAAAUUUACAACAACAAAACAAAAAUUGUAAGAUUGAAAGCUUUUUUCUAUUUUUUAUAUUUUUCUAUGAAUAAAUUAAUUUGUAGGUAAACUGUGGAGUAAACAUAUAAACAAAAUCGAAAAUUUUAAAAAACGAGUACGACCGUCUUUCAUUUUGAGGAAUAUGUAAGAUUAUUUAUUUAUUUAACAUUUUUAGUUUGUGUCUUGAUUAUGAUCGUGUUCGUCGUUAUUUUGUUACUUUAAUACUUUCGAGUUCUAUCUAUAGAUAUCAGUGUUUCAAUUCAAUAUAAAACUAUCAUUGAAAUCGUGUGUGUUAUGCACAUGCUCACGUUUCUGGAAAAUUGUCUUCAACAUUAAGAGAACAUAACAAUUGAAUAUAUAUUUUGGUAGUGAUUUGCGUAAAAUGUGGGAUCUUACACAAAAGAAUGUGUGCAUGUAUGAAUUUCGAAAUGUAAAUUGGAUUUUAAGUUUUGAAAUUGUUAAAACCCCUGAAUUGUUGUACAAAUUGAGAAGUUCAGUUAAAGACUUAUUAAGCGUGGACAAAUUAAUUUUUAAACAUUUGAAAAUACAUUACCGAUAUGGUUAUUUGAACCUCUAUCAAUGACAAAAAUUAUUCGUUUUUAAACUAGCAUUUUGUUUAUGACAAAACCAAGUAGACUACGAUAUUUAAUAUGUCGAGCAGUGAAUUUCUUUUAAAUUCAAAGCAUAGAACCAUGGUUUCGAAAGUUUUUCACCUAAAGAAAUUUCAAACCAACAAAACGUCAAUGAUCCAAACAUAACAAUAAUACUAUAUGAAACAAUAUUUGAACUAAGAGCGUGUGCGGUUAAUUGAAAAACAAUGAAGAUUUUCACUUAAACCUAAUUGACACGAUCUUUUUCGUUUAAGAAGUUGAAGAUUAGAUAACCGUGGUUGUAUAAAAAAAAAAGUGAAAAUGAAUUUUUGGUGUGAUACGUUUGGAACUUGAGAUUGACAUUAUAGGUAAAAACAGAGGAGGGAGAGACAAUGGAAGAGGGAGAGUAUUCCACAUCAUAAGAAAAAAAUAAAUGUAAUAAUAUAUUCGUACGUGUAAAUUAGUUUUUAGACCCUUUAAAAUUUUAGAGAAUGAAUAAAUAUCAAACUAUUUACCCUAAGCAUAUAGUAGUAGAAAUAUAAUGAAUUUUGAGUGAACAAUAAUGUACACUUGGAGAGGAUAAUUACAUAACUUGGGAAGGGGCAGCAUAACGCCGAAUCCAAACAGACCUCUCCACUGUCCUCGAAGCUCAACCAACGAUCACACCAAAAUCUCGAUCGGCUUCUUCCCUUCCGUUCCAGUUUCGUCGAAGAUCCCACAAUGGAGCCCGAUGUGAGCAUCGAAACCAGCUCCAUGAUCAGAGUGGCGGUGCUUCCGAUCGGUUCAGUUCCGCCGACUCUAUUGCGGGACUACUUGUCCAUGCUUCUCCGCCAUCAAUUGAUUCCACUUUCCGCCAUAAGUUCUUUCUACACCGAGCAUCAGAAAUCCCCAUUCUCUCAUCAACCUUGGGACUCUGGUAGUCUUCGUUUCAAGUUUAUUCUCGGUGGAGAUCCGCCUAACCCUUGGGAAGACUUCCAGUCCAACCGCAAGAUCCUUGCUGUUAUUGGUAUCUGUCACUGUCCUUCUUCUCCUGAUCUUGAUUCUGUUAUUGACCAGUUUAAUGCCUCCUGUAAGAGUUACCCUUCCGCGCUUGUUGAACGAUGUUUCGCCUUUUGUCCCGAUGAUUCUCAGGCAGGGAGUUACUUUCUGCUGUUUCUUAACUUCGAUUUAUCCAUGUUCAUCUGAAAAAAGAAUGUAUAUCUAUGAUAUUCAUAGAGUUAUUUAUGAUUAAUUAAACGUUUUGAGGAUCUAAUUCUCUGUUGGAAUUUCCUGCAGCUUGAAGAAGGCUGCAAAAAAGGAGGGAAUUUGAGGUUGUUUCCUCCAGCUGACCGGCAAACUCAGGAAUUUCAUUUGAACACAAUGAUGCAAGAUAUUGCAGCUUCUUUGUUGAUGGAAUUUGAGAAAUGGGUCCUUCAAGCAGAGUCUGCUGGAACUAUUUUGAAAACGCCUUUAGAUUCUCAAGCAAGUCUCAGCUCAGAGGAGGUUUAUGUUUAGGUGUCCUAAUUAAUUGAUUUCUUUUUCAUGUUACAAUUGUUGCUGGAGAAGCUAUUUCUUAUCUUGAUACGACUCUCAUCUUCACUUUCAAUUAGCAUUGUAGGUACAUGUGAAAGGAUGUUCUAAAUGCUGCAACUUAAUCAUGUUUAUUUAAUGAAAUUGCAGGUUAUUAAAGCCAAAAAGAGAAGGCUUGGUCGUGCUCAGAAGACAAUUGGUGACUAUUGUUUGCUGGCAGGAUCUCCAGUUGAUGCUAAUGCUCACUAUUCUACUGCAAUCGAUCUUGCUAGGUUAACUGGGGACUAUUUUUGGUACGCGGGGGCUUUGGAGGGAAGUGUCUGCGCCUUACUGGUACCUUCCUCUCACUAGCAUUUCUUUCCUUGUUUUUUCUCCAAGAUGACGCAACAUUAUUUUCGUUUCUAAAAUAAUUAGCUUCCAGAAAUAGAAUGCAGGGAAUUCAAUGUAUGAGGAAAUUUCAUUAGUGAUUUCCGGUUUUGCCCACAUAGUUUUAGCAGCUAUUUUCUAUGAUCGAAGUACAAACAUGACUUCCAAGUUUGAGGCGGUUUAGAAUAUGUGUACCUAUGAGCUUUUUUUUUCCUCUGAUCUCUUUGAUGGAUGUUUUAUUUUACCGGAGUGUAGGAGGGUGGAGUGCUACCUAUGGCCAUCUUUCUUAUGAGUUUAGAAGUCACUUCAAUGACAGUUAGGAUCACUAGUUUGUAAUUAGUUGAUUACACGCUGAAGGAUAAUCCAUCUAUUGGACUUCAAAGAUUCUUACAGGAACUCCAUGUCAAAGGCAUAGUGCAUGAAUCUAUCGUAUUAUGGAUCGUUUCAAAAUUGGGAUAUUAUCAUGGGAUUCACUUCAUUGUUGAUGUCAAGUGUUAUUAUGGCAUUUGUUUUGCCAAUUGACCGAAUUUGGCAGAACUUAAUUCAGUCAAAUUGACCGCCACGGAGAAGGAUGGUAGGAGUAAUCCCAUAAAUGCUCUAAUUGUUGAUAGGCCUCCCCUUGUAUUUUACUUGUGGCCAGAGGUGAAGAGGCUGGUAGUUGAGAAAUAUGUAGAAAUACCAACCCAUGUCAAAAUACAAGAGAGACGGCUUAAAUUUUGUUGAUUUGAGAGCAAGAGGUUUUCUUAAUACCCCCAUCUACUGGACUUAUUUUGAGUCAACAUAGAAUGUGUUUGACAGAAAAUUUGUUUAAGUUUCUAACCGUCAUACAUGUAGGUAGUGAAGUCCCUUAUUUUGUCAUUCGUUUCAAGAGUAAAUUAGUUUAAAUGAUGUGUGAGUUUUUAAACCCUGUUGGUAGUCAUGGGAUGCUUCUAAAAGUUUGGCGUGCCUGUGUUUUUAUGACAUCUUUUUGUGACAAUGGUUUACUUUAUACAUGUGAUUUCAGAUUGAUCGAAUGGGUCAAAAGGAUUCAGUUCUGGAGGAAGAAGUCAGAUACAGAUACAGUAGUGUUAUUUUGCAUUACAGGAAGUCAUUUAUACAAGAUAACACCCAAAGGUAGUUUUGGGUUUUCUUUUUAAUAAAUAGAAAAAUAUAUUUUGGCAAUCAAUUAAGGAUUGAAGUACUAAAUUGGGUAUUGUUAAAAACAUUCUCUGCUCGAAUAAUUUAUUCAGACAGUUUUAAGCAAUUGGGCUAAAUAUUGACGUAUCUAGUUUUUAAGAACUACAGAAAAAUUCAAUUUCCCACAAUUGAGAUUGCCUAAUGGCAUUAGGGCCUGUGCAGAAAUCAAUGGUUUUUGAGAGAAUUAAAUUUUAGCAUGGUAGGCACCUAUGAUUUUUGUGUUUCUUUGUGAAAAUCUUUUUUGGUUCUUGUUCUGGUUCAAAAUUCACUUUUUGCAAUUCAAUUAACAUAUACGAAUAUUUUUAUGUGCUGUUCAUUUUACUAAUCUCUGACUUUUCCUUUCAUAUAUGCCCUUUAACAUUCUUUGAUUUUUUUCCCUCUUCAUCAGGGUUUCACCACUAAGUUUUGAACUUGAGGCUACUUUGAAGUUGGCUCGAUUUCUUUGCAGGUAUAUUUUAUGAUUUGUGCACUUGAAUACUGAACAAUAUACCGUGUAUAGCUGACAUCAUGGUUGACCUGAAGGAAAAGAAACAAGAUAAAAUGUUAUCUGAUUACAAAUAAUACUUUGGCCUCAGUUUAUUUGUGUGAAUCUGUGUGUGUGGAUCUCUUCCAGAACACGCAUUUCCGUAUGUUUUGAAAGUUAGUUGCCCACUAAAAUAAAAUUACAGUAAAAAUUAUUAGUUCGCAUUUUAACAUAGAAUUAGCUUUUUUCAGUGAUAACUACUUGCAUACUAGUUCAUAUCUUUUACUUUACUUAUGCAAUAAAUAACUUUAUCUACUCUUUCGAGGGGUUUGAUUUACAGGAGUGAGUUGGCUAAAGAGGUUGCAGAGUUAUUAACCAAUGCAGCAGAUGGUGCUAAAUCUUUGAUUGAUGCCAGUGAUAGAUUAAUAUUAUAUGUUGAAAUAGCUCGUUUAUUUGGUUCUCUUGGUUACCAGCGGAAAGCUGCUUUCUUUUCAAGGCAGGUUGCUCAGUUAUAUUUGCAACAGGAAAAUAGACAUGCUGCUGUUAGCGCCUUGCAAGUCUUGGCCCUGACAACAAAAGCUUAUCGUGUACAAAGUAGAUCAUCUGAAACGGACCAUUCUUUCUCCCUUGUGAGUAUUACAAGAGUUAUGUAACAACGAUCUAAUUUGUUUUUCCAUUUUUUGUUCUUUUUGUUUUUGAUAAGGACAUUUCAUUGAUAAAUGAAAUAGGAGAAAUCCCCACACCUAUAGGACAGUGAUCUAGUUUGGUAACUCCUUGGGCUUUUGUGGGGAGGCUUUUGCCUUGUGUUCAACUUUUUUAGUGGAAGUUUCUCUCAUGUUUUAGAAGGUAAAAAGAGAAAAGGGACGUGUUGCUGUGUGUAUUUGUCUGUAUUUUUCUAUCUUCUCAAUAAUGCUAUGAAUUUAGUACAAACACAAUCUGAUUGUUUGACUCACGACGCAUAUAAACCCUACCUUUUGCUUUGAUGGCUGAUUGUGAUGUAGGUUUGUUUCUAGCUGCUGCAAGUCCUGUCUCUUAAUGCUGCAAUCAAAUUGUUCUCUGAAAUUCUCAUUUCCAACUUCAAACUCUAGGAAGUUUUUUUUUUUUGUCAAUUUAAUUUACCAUGUAUAUGGUCUUAUUAUUCUCAAUCUUCAAUUCGAUUGUCAUUCACUUGUUGCUCAUCUUAUACUAAAAAUACUUUAGCAGGUCUAGUCAGUUCCUCUUGUUUGAAGUCCAGCGUCAGUUUUCAUAUUGGUUUAAUUAAUCUUUCUAGUUUCUUUUUUCUUCUAUAUCUUGAUUUAAAUGUUUUGUUCCUAACUGACUUGUUUAACUACAUUUUUCUUCUUUUCUAUGCUUAAAGAAUAAGGUAGGCCUGAGUAAUUCUGAUUCUGGAAAAAUGCACCAUCAGUCAUUAGUAUCUUUAUUUGAGUCUCAAUGGAGUACUUUGCAAAUGGUUGUACUAAGGGAGAUUCUACUGUCUGCUGUCCGUGCUGGAGAUCCUCUUGCUGCAUGGAGUGCUGCAGCACGGCUACUCAGAUCUUAUUAUCCUUUAAUAACACCAGCAGGACAAAAUGGCCUAGCAAGUGCCCUUUCGAAUUCAGCGGAUAGGUUACCAUCAGGCGUUCGCUGUGUCGAUCCUGCCUUACCUUUCAUAAGGUGAUUAGCCAUUUUAAUACUUAUACGGUAGGAGGAAUAACCAUCUAAUCUGUUAUAUCUCAGAUUAACCAUUGUGAUAAUCACACAGACACAUACACAAAGUUUGAUAAGUUACCAUCAAAUAUGAGUGCUUAUCUGAAAACGUUUAUACCACCUGAACGGCCACCUAAACUGUACUCAAUUAUGCACAACCUUGAAUUUAUUGUGAGUUAAUUAAUGAUUAACUGGUUGUUCUAGGUUGCAUUCCUUCCCUCACCAUCCUUCACAAUUAGACAUUGUAAAACGCAAUCCAGAUAAGGAAGACUGGUGGGCAGGAUCUGCCCCUUCUGGACCUUUCAUUUAUACUCCAUUCAGCAAAGGAGACGCGUCAAAUAAUAACAAGCAGGAAAUGGUUUGGGUUGUUGGCGAACCAGUGCAGGUCCUGGUGGAAUUAGCUAACCCAUGCGGCUUUGAGUUGAAGGUCGAUAGUAUAUACCUCUCCGUGCAUUCGGGAAAUUUUGAUGCUUUUCCGGUUUCUGUGAAUCUUCCUUCCAAUUCAUCGAAGGUGGUUACUUUAUCUGGUAUUCCAACUUCAGUGGGGCCAGUGAGAAUUCCCGGGUGCAUAGUACAUUGCUUUGGUGCAAUAACUGAACACCUUUUCAAGGAUGUUGACAAUCUACUCAAUGGAGUAGCUCAAGGACUUGUUCUUUCUGACCCAUUCCGGAGCUGUGGGUCCAUGAAGUUGAGGAAUGUAUUGGUUCCAAAUAUAUCUGUGAUAUCACCAUUGCCGUUGCUAGUUUCACACGUUGUUGGUGGUAAUGGUGCCAUUAUUCUGUAUGAAGGUGAAAUUCGUGAUGUAUGGAUACAUCUGGCUAAUGCAGGUACAAUUCCAGUUGAGCAGGCACACAUAUCAUUAUCUGGAAAACACCAAGAUUCCGUUAUUUCAAUUGCUUUCGAAACUUUAAAAUCUGCUCUUCCUUUGAAGCCUGGUGCUGAAGUGAUCAUACCUGUGACCUUAAAAGCUUGGCAGCUUGGGGUGGUUGAUUCGGAUAUGGUUAGUGGCAAGAAUGCAUCUGCAAGCAUGUUAAGGCAUUCCAAGGAUGGCAGCAGCCCUACUUUCUUAAUACAUUAUGCAGGUAUUUGCUUCUGAUAGUUCUUUCUUUCCUUUAUUAAUCACAACUCAUAUUUCAUAAAAUUGUACUAUUCGGAUAUUAACUUGUACUUUGUUGACCACGUCACCCAUGCCUUCCUUGUACUUUUUGUGCAUUUAAUCCAGGUGAACCAUCUACAUUAUACUCCUCUGCAUAUUUUAUAUCCAUGGUUUACGCGUGCCCUUGUCUGUCGUUAAUUCCUUUAGUCAAGUUCAUUAUCAAGUUAAAUUCUAUGCAUUGCAUGACACUCAUUCUCAUGAAUAUCAGUUCAAACAUUGGUUGUUUACCUGUUCUUCUGUUGUGUGAGAAAUGAGAAUGAACCGUCAAAAUGGUUUAACGACACCCAAUGAUCCAUUUCUUAGAAGAUUUCCUGUUUAUGUUGAUGGUAUAUAAUAAUUAUUUUGCUUUCUAGGGCCUGUGGCGAAUCCUGGAGAUCACCCCAAUGAUUCUGCUAUACCCCCUGGUCGACGCCUGGUUAUUCCGCUGCAAAUCUGUGUUUUACAGGGAUUGUCUUUCGUGAAAGCUCGAUUGCUUUCAAUGGAAAUUCCAGCACAUGUGGGUGAAAACCUUCCUAAACUAGCUGAAAUUGAUAAUAACUCUACAGAGCAACCUGUUGAUACUAAAAGCAAGAUUGACAGAUUGGUGAAGAUUGAUCCAUUCCGGGGAAGUUGGGGUCUUCGGUUUCUUGAACUCGAGUUGUCUAAUCCAACCGACGUAUUGUUUGAAAUUAGUGUUUCUGUCCAGGUUGAAAAUUCAUGCCAUGGGGAAAACACAUCUGGUGAUCAAAACGUUACUGAAUAUAGUUAUCAUAAAACAAGAAUAGACAGAGAUUUCUCUGCAAGAGUGCUAAUACCCUUAGAACACUUCAAAUUGCCUGUUCUUGAUGGUUCAUUCUUUGGGAAAGAUAUUAGAACAGACGGAGUGGCCAAUGCCAGAAAUUUAAGCUUCUCAGAAAAGAAUACAAAAGCUGAACUAAAUGCUUCGAUCAAGAAUCUAACAUCUAGAAUAAAGGUCAAGUGGCAAUCGGGACGUAAUAGCUUUGGAGAACUAAACAUCAAGGAUGCUAUACUCGCAGCCUUGCAGUCGUCAAUGAUGGAUGUAUUAUUGCCAGAUCCAUUAACUUUUGGGUUCAGGACAGUUACCAAUAGUUUGGAUAGGAAAGAAUCUUAUCAGAAUCUUCACACCGUAUCUUCCCAGAGCUCUUUGGAAGCACAUGAAAUGACUCCUUUAGAAGUUAUCGUUCGUAACAACACCAAGGAAAUGAUCAAAAUGAGUCUUAACAUAACAUGCAGAGACGUAGCUGGUGAGAGUUGCGUUGAGGGUGCAAAAUCAACUGUCUUAUGGAAUGGUAAGUUACUUCUCUUAAAUCACCAAUAAAUCUAUUUACGUUGUUACUCUAUAUCUUCAUUCAUAAUGAAUUGCAUUUAGAUUUUAUUAAAUUGUAUUUAGCCUAUUUUCUUUGAACAAAAGCUUCUGCUACUUGCUCCAUUGAGUCUAAUAAUGUAAAACUUCCUUCUCUAUGUCUCUCCCUCUCUCUUUUUGACCUUUCAUUGUUACUUUUCUUGUAGGUGUAUUAAGUGGGAUCACCCUGGAAGUGCCUCCGCUUGAAGAAACUGCACAUUCUUUCUCAUUGUAUUUCCUUAUUCCUGGCGAGUAUACAUUGUCCGCUGCCGCUAUUAUCGAUGAUGCUACCGACAUACUCCGAGCUCGUGCGAGAACAAGUUCACCCGAUGAACCAAUUUUCUGCUGUGGACCUCCAUACCACCUUUGCGUUAAUGGUACAGUGUGAGUUCAUUCUUCUUUCAUCUGUAUCAACUGUUUAUGUCGUUAUAGUGGUUUUUCGAGGGAAUUAUUUAUCUCCCAAAGUUCAGGAGCCAAGCUUUUAUUCGGUAAGGCACGAGUAAAUCGUCAAAUCUUUUUCCAUUCUUCUGUUUGUAACCUUUGUGUCUUGCAAAAAGAGGGGGAAAAGACCCUGUCCAAUCUUCUUGAGUUGUUGGAUGGGGUUGUGAUUAGUUACACACUUUCUUUGCACAUGAAUUUCUCGAUCUCCAAAAAGAAACUGAGUUGCCAUUCUGCUUUAAUAUUGUUCAAUUUCACACCUUUUGAUUUCUUUUGAUGUACAAAUUGUUGUUGAUUUCUAUCCUUUCAUGGUCCGUUUGGAUUGACUUAAGAAAAAAUUGUUUUUUCAAUAAAUUCAUUUUUGCUUAAACUGAGAGGAAAUCAUUUAAUAUACACUUAAAAAAAUGGUUUUAAGUAAUUUUAAAAAAUGACUUAUUUUUUAAAUUAAACACAAAUGUAAUCCAAACACACUAUUAAUAGAAUAGAAAUAGAAAUGAUUUUGUAACUAGUAAAGAUAAAUUUAUUAUUAUUUUUUUAGGAAAACUAACAUUAUUGUUACAAAUUUUCUUGCAAUGGAUGUCAACCACUUGAAAUGGGAUUUUGUUUAUUGUCUCUCAAAUUUGUCAAGUAAUGAUCACUACUGUAUUACACCCAAUAGUUCACCUUGUCCUACCGUCACAAGGAACAAUAUUAAUAGAACAAAAUUGGAAAAUUGCGACCAAACCUCUUCCAAAAUCUAAUAUUUUUCAAAGCAAAUGUCAAAUCAUACCUCAAAUGGUGAGCCAUAAGUUUAUAAUCAUAGUUGAUUUUUUAGCAUAUCUGAUCUUCUCAAAGAUCGUUACAAGCCCUUUUUGUCAAUGUUUUUGUAGAUAUCAAAAACCUUGAUAGAUCAGUACAACAAUGAAUUCGAGAAUUCAAGAUGUACUCAUCUUCAAGCUUUUGCUGUUCGUUGGAAAAUAAAUUUUAUAUUUCAAGAGGUAAGUCAAGGGUAUUCUCCACUCGUCUCAUUUUUCAAAACCAAAGGAAGAUCUCUCAUUUAAUAGAUAAAAACAUCAAUUAUCAUUUAUAAAAUUCGAUCUUCAAUCUCACAUUCAGUUAACAACAGAAUAGGAACGCCAUAAACUAAGCAAACCAUUGGAUAUGAACUUAAAAAAAAGGAUUAUUAUUCUUUUUACUUGUUUUAUACUCUCUUUACAUGCAUGUCAAGAUUGACAUAAAGUACAUUGAAGUGAAGUGAAGAGGAAUUAUUCCAACUAUCAAUUCAUGACUUAAAAAAAUUAUCUGUGUAUUGAAAUUAUCAUCAUCAUUUUUAUUAUUCUUUUUUAAAAAAACUUUAAAUCAAAUUAAUGAAAUAUUCUUCACAUUUUUUAUAUUAAUCUUUUAUUUUUCUUUUGAUGUAUCUCUCUCUCUCUCUAUUCUCCAAAAUAGAAUUAUGACAUUUUAUCAUCCUAAGGAAGGUAUGCACUUUUUCUUUGAUAGGGAUACUCCAUAACCUUUUAACUCCAAAAGAUGUUGAUUCCAAUGGAUGAUCAUUAUUUGAGUGAAUCUUUGUAUUCUAUUCUUGCAAAUUGCGCUCUUUCAUUUCUCGAGUGGUUCUUUUUUUUUUCUUUUUGUUACUUUAAAAGAUGCAUCCUUAUUGUUUUCUUCUUUUUCUUUUCUACCCUCAAAAGAAAUUUUCUUUUUCUUUUUUAAGAUAAACCGUAGGUUAAUUAGUUAUGGUGAUCUCGAGUUCAAGUUGAUUAAGAAAGUGGAUCGUUAAAAAGAAGAAAAAAAUGUCUUGAAAAUUUAAAAGUUUUUGUUCAUGUAGUACGUUUAGUCAAAAAUAUUAUUAAAAAUCAUAAAAUUGGAUUUUUUUUCUAUUCAUUAUUACGAUAAGUUUGUGAGUAAUUUUGUAAUAUUAUAAAGUACUUUUGGUGGUGUAGAAGUUAUUAAGAGACUAGAGACAUAUUCUAAAGUGAUUUUAAACUUGACUAACUUUAUGUCACGUCCCGUCCUAACUUUUCAUGCGGUACGCAGUGUAACCCUAAGCAAUUUUAAGCGUCUUUAAACAAAACGCCAAAAUGCUCACUUAGUUGCUUAAUCGCUUGAUAAAUUCAAACUUAAACUGAAAUUCAAACUCUAGACGAUGUAAAAUAAGUUACCCCUACAUGAUAAGAUACGCCAAAAUGCUCAAGAUAUGCAACUGCGUGCGGAACGGGGUGUGACACUUUACACCUUUGGUAAACUGUACCAUUCUUCUUUAAUCUCAACUCAACACACUAGUUUUCUCAAACUAGCACAAAAGAUAGUAAAGUUAAAGUUUGGCAUGCAUGACUUUAGAUACGAUUGAGUCCUUUUAGCCCAUCAAAAGCAUUUCUCAAUGCUUACACGAUGUUUUGAUGUACAGUUCAAAAGUACUUUCAAUUACUUUUUACUUUUUUUUUUCUUCCAAACUAUACCUCAAUUAAAAAUGCUACUUUCAAAAGGUCAUAUCAAACUCCAAAUUUUUUAAAAAAUAGUAAUAAAGUUGAAGAUUAAAUUGUCACAAUAUUGUAAGAAUAAUAAUUAAAUAUAUACCAACUUUUUAAAAAAUAUAGCAAAUGUAGCAAAGUUUGUAGGUUAUAAACCAAUACCUCCAAUAUGAUUUAUCAAAUAGAUUUUGUUAUAUUUGUAAUUAUUUUUUUUGUAAAGUAGUUAUAUAGGUUAAUAUUUUGAAUCUAAUCGUUAUAUUUUUUUCAAAAUUUAUUAAUGAUAGAUUAUAUCUCUAAUAUAUAUUAAAGUUUGUUUGAUAUUUUGAUAUAUCUACGAUAUUUUUAUAUUUAAAAAAAUUAGGAAUAGUUGUAAAUAUAACACUUAGAUUUAAAAAAUAAUUAAUUAUACAACAACAUUUUUAAAAGAUUACAAAAUUCAUCAAAUUCUAUCAAUGAUACGAGUGUUUGACUGAUAAACUAUAUUAUAAAUGUUUGUUUAUUACUAAUAUAACUGGGACAAAUUUUAGUAUAUUUGUAAGUUUUAAAAAUAUUGCUAUAUCAUUUUUAUUCAUUGCAAUUACUCAAAUUUAGGAGGGAAGGGAGGAAGAGUAAUGGGCUUUGGUUUUUAAUUGGGCCGGAAAACACAAAAGGAAGAGGCCUUUUUAUUCGAAAGGAAUCGUUGGUUAGUUCAUGUUGAAAAAAAUCAAAAUUUCCCUCGAAAAAUCAAUCAGAUUCCAUUGAUAUUUUUCUCUCCAUGGCUCUGCAGAUCUGCUCUGCCAAGGUACGCUCGCCAGAUGCUCCAAAUAUUAUUUCUUCUAAAAGUUUUGACAUUCUUUUAAUUUUCUGAAUUGGACGAAUUGAGUGAUGAGCAAUGCAAGCAUUUUCCUUAUAAUUAUCCAAAACCUGGGAAUAAAUAAACUGCUUUAUGUUUAUCCAUCAAUAAUUGACCUCUUGAUGUUGCCAUAUUUCAUCUCUACUCAUAUUUCCUACUUUAGAUAUGAUAGUUGGUUUUUUUUUUUUUCAAAUCCUUCUUGUUUGUUUCCCUGUUCAUUGGACGAUUGUACUUUGAGAGUCAUGUCGGUGGAUUGAUUUUUCUCUUUUGGGGGCCCUUUUUAGGGUAUGGAAAUAAUCAACAGAGAUAAGAAGGCAUUUGGGAAUUAGGUUCUUAAAAUUGCGACAUAUGAAAACGAUUCUUUGUUAUUCCGACCAAUAAUUUAAUUUGGUCUACUGUUUUUCAAUUCCUUUGGGUUCACCAAUUUGAUACUAAGACAUCACUUAAUGUAGACAGCAUGUGAGUAUGAUAAAAAGAAAGUACCUAGGUUUUUAUUUAUUUAUUUCUUGCCUUUUUUUUCUUUCUUUUUUGUCUCCUAAUAUUCUUCUCUACUUAAUACUGUAUUUGGCUUGAAGUCAAGUGGGUAUUUCUUGAAAAACAAAGAAGAGGGUUAGAGUUAUAAUGGGUGGUGGUGGGGUAGUAGCAGUAGAAGUAGUUGGAAAGGUUUGGGACAUGGUCGCUCUCUGAUUACAGAGUCAGGAAUGGAAAGAAUGGAAACAAUUCACUGUUUUGAAAAUGAAAUGGGAAUGAAAUUGGACUGAAAUUGUAGGAAAAUGUAAGGCUCCAACCACAUCUGUGACAAUGAUUGUAGAUACCCACCUUCUUCUUUUUCUUUUUCCUUUCUCGAAUUUAACGAGUGAUGAUUUGGACUUUUGAUCUCUUAGUUAGUUGCAUUUCAUUAAGUUUAAGUUCAAAAGUUGCAAUAUUACUCUAUAACUUUUCGUAAAUAUUUCCAAACUCUCAUUGAGUGAGAUCCUUAAGCAUAUUAGAUGGAAAUUAAGACCUAUUAUCACACCAUUCUAGGUUACUACCACACCAUUCUUUGUCCCAACUUUUGUCUAAAAUUCUAAAGGAUGUCUAUUCCAAUGUUAAUUUUGAAACCUUCUGUAAAAGGUCAAGUGUAAUUAUACAACUUGAAACUUAAAAUGUUUUUAAGUAUCUAAAAAAUACAUUGUUUUGUGUAUCUCAUCUUUUCUGAUCUUACAAAUUACUUGAAGAUUAUAAAAAGAGUAUGGAACAAAUAAGAGUAAGAUAUGAGGUUCAAACAAGUUUAUUUCCUCUGUUUAGAACAUGCUUUAGGCAUUCUACUUUGACGAUGCAAUGAUGUGGUCCUUAUCCUCUUUUGAUAUUUGGUUUCUACAGUAGAUGCACACGGGGUUCUCUGUAUAAUGAUGUGAAGUCCUUUCACAAUCAACACUUUUUUUUUAACCUCAUCAAUAUUUUAAUGGUCUAUUUUAUUUUCUUUUGUUAUUGAGGAUUUAAGAACUAUGAAUAUAAAUAAAUUGGUGUUAUUUUUCUGCCCUUUGGUUACGUUAGAUCAUUCCCAUCCAAGAAUUCCUUAUUCAUCUCACCUUGUUCACAACUCCCAAAACAUUUGUACACUGAAUCUUUGCAAAGUUAUAAAAACACUUUGGACCAAUAUUCUCCGUUUGCCUUAAAUUAUUGAACAGUUCUGUCCCAUAGUGAAUUGAGUUUAUGGCCUUGGAGGCUGCUAACCCAAACUUCAUAGAAUGAUGCCAACAUCCUUCUUAGUUCUUUUUCUAUGUCUAGUGCAAUCUAUGUCAUGCAAAGGGGAAAUAUGCUUCUUCUUGUAGUGUUUGUCUUUAUAAAAUUCUUAAUUUCAAAUGUUAAGAUGGUCCCACCAAUAAUAAGGGGGAAUUUUUUUUAAUUACUAUUACUAUUGUUAUUUUAUUAUUAUUUUUUUUAUUUUUUUUUGGGGGGGGGGGGGAGCAGAAUGGUUUGACACCGCAUAAGAAUAGCAAUGAAAACACAACAUCAAGGCCAUGUUUGUUCAUAGCAUACGUCCUUUAUUGCCCUUUUUUCCUCAUCUAUCUUAUCACCUACAUUAAAUGGUGGGGCAGCUGGAAAGAAUGGACUACUUUUUACCCAUUUUGGCCCUUUUUUCCUCUGUCUCUUUUUUUUUUUAACUGUUCUUCCAGCUUUAGAUCUGCCACUGAGGGUCUUUGUUCAACAGUUUUUAGCGACAUCCAAAUGAGGAUCUGUUUUGUGUAUCAUCUUGUUUUCUCCAUGUCAAGCUAGACGUCUGUCUGUCCUUGUCUCUCUCUAUUUGAAGACCUACAGUAUCAACAAUUGUGAUGAAACGACUUUUAUUAUAGGCAUUACCAUUAUUCAAGGAAAAUUUAUUUGCAUUUGCACUAGUAGUAUGAAACACACUUUUCCUUGUUCUGGAAAUCACAUUUCUCUUAUGACAAAACAUUUUAUUGAAGAAAAAUGAUCAGUCUAAGACUUCCUAGCUCUUACUUUUUAACUACCAAAUUGGAAAAAGAAGAGUAGGCAAGCAUGGUUAUAAUUACAAAUGAUGCUUUGCCACAAGGAUCAUUCUCUAGUUUUUAUUUUGUUUUCCAGCUAAUCCCAUGCUCCUUCUUUUGGUUCAGCAAAGACUUUGGUUGCUAACUUCCAAAGUAAAAUAGAAAAGUAGUUCAUCUUGUUUUAGAGUCUUCUAGCUAAAAAUAUCUAAUAAUUUGACUAACAAUAGAUGAAACUACUGUUGAAGUUCCUCAGAGACAUCAUUUUUCCUCUCCUAAGUUUGAUUUAUUUAUUUCUGAAUAUAUGUGGUGUAGAAUCAUAAAGAGUGAUAGAUAAGUGGGUUGUGUGGUCCAUUGCAAAAAUGGUGCCUUUUGUGCAAGUGAUGUAGUGGUCCAUGGAGCAAAAGCCUAAUUUGGAGCGCAAAGGGAACAUAUGUGUGGAAGACAUGGAAGGAUGAAUGGAUGUGGGCUAUAAAGACAAACUCAUCAAAGAAAAACCCAAAACACAACAGUACAGUUCAUGCAGAAGACCAAUUGAUAUGACUUCCUUUACUCUCCCAUCUUUUCAAUCAAUCUUCUUAACCCCUCCUUUCUCUUUUCCCACCAUUCUUCAUCAUCAUCCUAAUCAUCUUGUCAUUUACCUUAUAAAAACUCUCCCUAAACUCUCCCUCUUCCUUUACUUUCUUUUUUUAAAAAAAAAAAAAAUCUAAAUUCUUUCAUGUGUAACUUUUAAAAACAACUACUAUUGAAAUCAAAAUUCUUUAGCUUUUUUAUUCAAUGGAAAAUGAAAAUUUGGAUUGUCAUCCAUUCUAGGCGACAACCAUCUCCUUCUAGUUCUCGAGAAUAGUAGUUUUGAAACGUGUAUAAAAAGGCAAGUGUUUUUGUUUAUCAUGUAGACUAGAUUUUUCACAGCACACAAAGGCUUGUAAUUAAAUAUUGUACUCUACUGAGGCUUUUCUCCUUUAGGUGUGUGUAGGGAAUGAGAUAGGGAAGUAUAGGGUUUUGUAGCCUUUUGAUUUAAAUUUCUAAUCCAUACCAUGAGACAAGUGCCGGCUCAAAAGCAAAUAUAUAAACAGUCCUACACCGAAAAGGGUACCUUCUUCCUUUCUAUUCUAUACAUAAACGUUAUGUCAAAUAUGGAUAAGGGCCACAGGUUUUUCUUUGUGGGGGCACUCUCAUUCCCACUAGUCAACACCAUUUUCACGCGCAAUUCCAACCCAAACCUAUGACACAAAAACACUUACCCUCCCUCCAAUUCAUUCAUUCCAUCCAUCUAUUUUUUUCCAUUGCCAUAUCCUUUUAUCCAAAAACUUCUACCACCAUGUUUCUUUUCUUCUAGUUUUGAUUGAUAGACAUACGUUCAAUCUAUGUAUAUUUUAAUAUUUUACAAUAAAGUUUCAUUUUUCAUCUUUUGAUAUAUGUCAGUUCGAAUGACACCAAUUAUUCUUCACACUCUUUAAACUAGAGAUGAAACAAAGUUCAAUCUAUGGUUGUCACUCAUCUAGAUUUAAAUUUCUUGUAAAUUUUAUUUACAUUUCCUGUUUCAAAAGACAUCAGUUAUUCUUCAUGCUCUUUGAACUAGAGAAGAAAUGGUAAAAUAGAAGGCUUUGGAUGGAAUAAUAUUUCAAUCCAUUGAAUAUAUAUUGUAUAAUAAUCUUACAAGUCCACACACUAGUUAUUCAUAUGUAUAUGUGUUGUAACAAACAUAGAUCUACAUUUGUGAGGGUGAGGGCCACGAAGAAAGGAGAAAAGCUUGGGAGAGCUUUGGUUUGGUCAAAGUUGAAAAGAAAGGAUUAUCAAUAAUAAUGCAAUGGUUGAAUAUUGAUGAGAUGUGAAUUCAAAGAAGUGUGCUUUGAAGCAUUGGUGAGAGCCCCUUGGCGAUAUCUUUUCUAAAAAGGUCUCUUCCAUAUGAAAUGCUACCCCACUUCUUGUCCUUGCAAAAUUAUGACACUUAAGAAAAACCAAAUCUAUACGUUCUUCUUUCAUAUUUAUCCAUGCUUGUGUGACUCUUAUAGUUACCAUAUUUUCCUCUCCAUUUUCUUUUUUCUAUUACUUCCAAUUUUGAGUCAUUUAAUUUCUAUCAAGUUUGAAAACAUAGUUAAAUGAUCUUUGACCAAAGCUAUAUCUACUUGUUAUGAGUGACAUCUUUGGUUAUUAUUCAUAGAUUACCCAUAGUUUAUAUCACCAAUAGUGUACUUAAAAGUUACACACCAACUAUCGCGAAUAUACCAUUAUUAAUGGACUAAGCAAUAAAGACAAUUCAAUCAUCGCACCAACUUUUGUGGAAUUAUAGUUGGAGUCGUAAAAAAAUUGUACAUCCCAACAAAACUCAUUUCAUGUGCCAUACGAUAAUGAUUUUUCUUUUCCUUUUUGUACAAGUGGGUUGACGAGGAUAGAUUUAUGCUUCCGAUAAGGGGUGCCCCCAUGUUCAAAAAACAAACCAAAGUUGUCCACUCAAAAAAAAUCCCUUCUAAUCUCUUGUAUAUAUCACAUAAUAUUCGCAUGCAAUUCAAACAGUAAUCCUAAUAAAUUCGAGAGUAGUUCUUUGAGAGUGAUUUGAAGGAACCGUAUAAAAUUCUAUUAAACUUGAAAAGUAUAGAAUAGGGUUAAAAGGGUGAUGAUGGAAAGAGGCAUAUAAAUUGCAUUAGAUCAUAACCCCUAAAAUCCAAGAUAGUUUUGUAGAUUAGGGUUUGUUGUUUGGUGAGACAAUGAAAAGUAUACCCCUAAAUAGUUUGUUUCUUUCUUUUAGAAAAAUAGUUCAUAGUUUUAGUUAUGUUGGUACGUGUGAAGCGUGUGGGGGCCAAUAGUGGCGUGGGAGGGACAAUAGGUGGAAGAGAUUGAUUGGUAGAGCGUUUAGAGAGAGAGACUUAGAUUUUUUUCUUUCUUUCUUAUGUAUAAUUUUACCAAAGCCAAAAGGGUGGCGGAUGCCCCACGAAACCCUUUCCUUCCUCUUUUUUCUUUCUUCUUCUUUCUCCUUUUUUUUUUUUUUCUUAUUUAGUGUUCUAUUUUCACACGUCAUUCUCUCCCCUUAAAUUUAAAAAAACAAAAAACAAAAAAAUUAGCUACUACUUUUAUUGGAUAUUUAUUUGUUUUCUUAUUUUGGUUUCAUUAGUGUUUUUUUUUUUAAAAAUUGUAUAGUUAAAAGUUCAAAUUUUAUUGUAUUUUCAAAUAGUUAUCUUUAUCCAUAAUUGACUUGUAUCCACUCGAUUCUAAUUUUUUCCAUCACACUUGUUUUGCUUUGGAUUGUUGUAGAAGAAAUGAUUUUUUUUGUGAUUUAUCUUUUUUGAGUACAAAAAUAAAAAAAAAUUAAUAGCGCAUGUGUAGGGUUGGAGGAAUUUAAAUUCUUUGUGAGGUAUAUAUUUAAAUUAGUUCCUUUAAUUUAUAUUCAUUUUGUCAUUAUAAUAUCUGAUUUUUUUUUUUUUUGUCUUUUUGUCUUUUCUAAUAUUCUGUGAUUGUUAAUACGGUUCUUUUGCUUUAUUUUCUUCUCUCAUUUGUAAUGGUAUCUCUAGCUAUUAUGUUGUUUGUAGAAUUUGUGUUGUGAUUUUGCAAAAUUAGAUCUAAGUGGGUUUUGAAAGUAUAAUCCUAAAAAUCAAAAAAAUAAAAAUCUUAAAUUUUGAGACUAAACACAUACUUUAAAAUGUACUUGUACCGAUUGUGUCAGACUAUCAAAACAUAUGAAUCAAAAAUGUUUUUUUUCUAAUAAUAAUAAUAACAACUAACUAACUAAACCAAGAUGGAAUAUUAUAAUAUUUUGAAGGGUGAAACAUGAUAGACCGAAAAUCAAGUCGACCAAUCGAAUCAUAGUCAAUCGGACGAGUGGUUGGUGUCAAUUUGGAAAAACCAAAAUAAAACUUUUUUAUUGAAAUAUUUUAAAGAGUUAAACCAACUAACCUAUAAACUUUGGACCAUAGUGGGUUCCAUAACGAUUUUAAUGGAAAAAUCGACUUGUUGACUGACUCUUGCAUAAAAUAUGAAUAGUGAGAGUGUUGAGACUUAUACAGUAACUCAUUCUAUCUAUCCCCCUGAAGUGAGGAUUCAAAAACUGCUUUAAUAUACUUAUCUUUUUUGUUGGAUAAAAUAUAUAAUUAUAAUAAAAAAAAUGGAAGAGAGAAGGUCAGAGACUGACAGAUUGACAGAAGAAAAAAAAAAAGAGAAAGGAAAAGAAAAGAAUUAAUCUCCAAAACCAAAUCCCAAACCCAAUCCCGAAAAGAGUAUCAGAAACUCUUAAAAAAACAAUGUCCCAUCGCCCUCUUCUUCUUUUCUUCUAUUUUUCUUCAUUAAUUUUUUCAAAAUUCCCACUUCCAAAUCUGCUCUCCCUUCUGCCUUCUGCCUUCUGCCUUCUGCCUUCUGCCCCUCUCUUCUGCCUUCCUUUUUGUACUCUUCUUUCAUCCCUUCUACUUUUGAAAAAAAUAUUAUACUUAGCCAUCACACCUUCAAACCCUUCAUUCACUACAAUUUCACUUCUAAAAGUGUUUUAAAUUUGUGUUUUCAAACUUACCAUCAUUCCAAAUUUAUUCAAUUAGGUAAGUUUGAGGAUCGGAUUUUCAAAUUUGCAUAAGUUUUAAGACUUGAUUUUUAAUUUUGAAAGUUGAAGGGUACAUUUACAAUUUGCUCUAAAUUCUAAUAUCAUUUUUCUCUUUUAUUCUUUUGUCUUUUUUUUUUUAACUCUUUCUCUAGAGAAUAUGUACACAUAUUUACUAAUUUAUAUCAUCAAUUACAUUCCACUUUAAUAAAAUAUAUUACAAGUCUUACAAUUUUUUCAAAUACGACAAAAUGAAUAAAAUAGUUAUAAAUGAUAGACUUGUUAAUAUCUAAAGCAGUAAUAUUUUACAAUAUUUAAGAAUAUUUCAAUACACAGUUGCUCUAAUUAUAACAAUUAAUAUUUUCAACGUUAAUAAGCAUCUGUUUUAAUAGUAUUUAUUUGAUAUUGGAAGAAAUUUUCAACAAAAACUUUGAUCAAUAUUUAUAUUUAUAUUGUUAUUUUCUAAAAUUUAAUUGAUAUUUUUUAAAUGGUGAAAUGUUUUACACGAGUAUUUAAUUAUCGUUAUCCCAAUUGUACGUGGAGAUAUCUCAAAUUGACGUAUUUUAUAUGGCUAGAGAAAGUUCCACCCUUAUUGGCAUUAUAUAUAUAUAUAUAUAUAUAUAUUAAUUAGAGGAAUUUUCCAAAUUUCUAAUAGAAAAGACAUUAGAAAGAAAUGGUUUUGUAUAUUCAUAUUCCCCACCAUCUCAAAGACUUUGAAAAUUAUUAUAUUACAAUUAAAAUCCUUGCCGGCAAUAUUCCUCUAAACCCCGCGGAAAAUUCAACGUCAAUUUUAUUAAAUAAUCCUCAUUGAAAAUUUCAAACCCUACGGUUAAAAUAUGGGAGGGAAUCUAGAUGCCCUAUAAUAGUGUGAGGAAUCUUCGGUUAAAAGAAAAUUUUACCGCACAUUAAAUUCAACUGAUGCUAAGGACCACUUUGCAUCUCUCCCUCUCUCUCUCUCUAGGGUGCCCUGGGUUUGGCCCAACUCUACUACCUGAAUACAGUGGUAAAAGGAGAAAAAAAGGUUUACUUUUUCAGUCCUAGGUCUUGGAUUAUUUAGUCAUCCUCAUGACUUUCUUCUACAAAUUUACUAUUUUACUCUUCGGUUUAUUUUUUAUUUUGUUUUUAGGGUUUCGGUUUUUAUAUUUUCAUUUUUUUCUGACUUCUAAUAGGAGUUGGUUUUUUCCACUAAAACAAUUCAGAUGUUUGAGUUUGUUUAAGCCUUCAAAAUUUUUAAAAAUGUGUUGUCCAUGGCUCACCCUUCUGUGCUUAUCUUUAAUGUUUAGUAUUCAUUUGGUACUUAAAUUGAUAUAUAUUUGUCUUUUACUUUUGAGUUUUCAGCGAUGUUUAGUUUGAUAUUUGAUGUUAAAAAUAACUAUGAAUUAAAAUUUACAAUUAAUUUUAAUAAUGUUUUGGGAAAUUAGUGAAAAUGGAUUAGUUAUGAUUUAAAUUAAUUAAUAGAUAUUGAGAUUCAUAAUCAAAAUGGUGUGUAUUUAGUGGGGGGAAAUAUAGAGAAAGAAAGGUUAUCUCCCCCUUAAAAUAAAAUAAUAUAAAUAAAAAAUUAGUUGAAUUAGAGGUUUAAUAUUGAGUUUUGAUACCUAAAUAAUAGGUUUGUAAGCUUUGUCUAAUGAAUAGUUGUAUUGACUUUUCAUUUUUGAACAAUGCGUAGUUUGUAUGAUUAUAAUAUUAAAAGAAAAAAAAAACAAUAAUAUUUUCCUAACAAAUCGAAAAUUUAUUAUAAUAAUUUAUCUCACUCUUGAAUCUUAAAAAAUCUCCUAGUGUGUUAUCUCUAAAUUUUUAAUAAAUAUUAAAAUUAAUCAAAAAAAAUUCUUAUCGUUAACUUUUCCACACAAAACUCUACUAAUUUAAUCCGCAAAAUAUAUUAUAAUCUUAAACGUCAAAUAUAGCCAAAACAUCUAAAAAACACAAGCAAAAUUUUAGAUUCUUAGACUACUAUCAUCAAAUUGUUGAAUAUUUUGUAAAUAUUUUUUUCAUUUUUAAUAAUAUUUAUUUAUUUGGAUAUGUAUUUAAUAUAUAUAUAUAUAUAUAUAUAAAAAUAGAUGGAUGAUAAUUAAGUAAAAGAGAAUAAUUAUUAAGUAAAAGAAAAUAGCUUGAACUCGAAAAAAGAAAAAACAGACAAUAAUUAAAGAAAUAACGAAAGGAGGGAGAUGAUGUGGGUAAACGGAGUAGUAGGGGACCAAUGGCUUUCUCGCGGAGACCGGCAUUUAAACCAAAACAGUUUCACUAUUUUUUUCUUUUUUUCCUUUGCCAAAAUAAUAAUAAUAAUAUUAUUAUUAUUAUUUAGAAGGGGGCUAGUUAGUGGACCCCGCCUAUUGUUUGUGCCUCCAAUCUUCACGCAUGGGUCCCGCGGAAGCAGAGCGUCCCAUUGUGCGGACCACCCCGCGGGUUCGCAUUCAUUUCAGCCGGCGGCUGUCAGAUUAUUGAUCAAGGGGAAUUCCCCCUCUUUCGUGGUCCCCAGUUCUCCUUCCUCCACGUGUUCCCUUCCCAUUCGCUUAUUCCAAGCGUGCUUCCUCCCCGGUCCCCACUUUUGUGGUCCAAACGCCUUCCUCUCGACGCGUGUCGACCCGUCCUUGUCCCGCGAGUGGCGGAGAGAGAACCGACGUAAUCAAUGGUCCCCUACACUUUCUCCUUUUCUUUCCUUUCCUUUCCUUUCCUUUCCUUUCCUCUUCCUUUGCCACCGGCUCACCCGGUCACUACGUCAAACCCUCUUAACCGGUGGAAGGUAAAAAUUAGGUCAAUGGACAAUUAAUAAAUAAUAAUGUAUUCGUUAAUUUGUAAUUGGUUGAUUGGGUCACCCACGCAAGAGUGGAUGACGUGGAGGCCACGCUCCAAGACUUAGGGGGGGGACAUUAACGAACUUCCACUAACCUCCUCUCUUUUCUUUCUAUAUCACUAUCUACUUUUAUUAUACAAUGGGAAUUAUUAUUACUUUUAUUAAAGCUUUUUUUUCUUCUUCUUAUCAUUAUUAACUUAAUUUAAUCUUAAAUCAUUAUGUUUAACCCAUGAUUUCCCCAUAACAUAACAAUUUGGCUUUAAACCUUCUCCACGUGUUGUCUCCUCGUUUCCUUUCAUUAUAUAAUCAACUUCUAAUUAUAAACCUUUCCUUACUAAUUCCAAUACAAUAUUGUCUUUCCCCUUUUCUUUUGUUCCUUAUUUAUCCAAUUUUCUUUCAAAGAUAAUACAUGAGUAAAAAUCGGACUAUGUACUCGAUUCUCACUUGCAAAAUGUAUAUAAUGACCAAUUCCUAACGUCAUGCACGUAGGCGUCGGGGAUAUCCUAAAUUUUAAUAAUAAUUUCAACUUUUUCUUAUGUCAUCCACUUCCAUGUUGCUCGUAGCUGGAUGCAUCUCUAAUAUGUGCUUUCAUGACAUCGAGAAAAGUGGAAAUUCUCAUUUAAAUGAAACGUUUUCUUGACGUCUUAGUGCAUUGCGUUGGGGAAAUGUUUAGUUGUCUCGAUGUUUACAAGGCUACAUCGGUACAUAAGACCAUUGUCGACACAUGUUUUAUGGCGUCAAGGCAAGUUUUGUUUUUCAACGAUGUCUAUCCCUACGCUUUUUUGUGCGUCAGGAUAGCUCCGUUUUCUUUAGUGUAUAUAUUACAAGCUAGAGUUAUAUAUAUGUGUGUUAGUUAUCUCUUAAUUGUUAAAACAUUUGUGUGUUAGUUAUCUAUUGACUGUUUUGGCAAAAGUCACAUGAUCACGAUAACGUGGUUGAGGUAAUUCAAUUUUUUAGAAUUACAUAAAUUUAAAUGUUUACUUUUCACAAUUAUAAAAUAACGAAUAAUUUAAUAACAAUGACCACCACUUAAGAUCAAUUUGAACAAGUUGAAACAUUAUUUAUUAUCAUCAUAAGAGGCCAAAUGGUACGAUGUCUUACUUUACAGUUGUUGAGUAAAAAAAAUACGAUGAUUAAAUUUUUUUUUCUAGUACAACAAUCGAGUAACUCAAAUGGACAUUUAAAAAUAUAGUUUAUGUAAUUUAAUUUGAGUUGUAAACCCGUGGCAUAGAUCUGAUUAAAUAUCAUGUUGUAUUUUCCUUUGAAGAGACAAUUUUAAUAUGUAAAAUUGAGAGGAUGAUUUUGGAAGUUUUUGAUCUCUCAUUAAUGUGACUUCCAAAUAGACAACCACACAUAUAUAUAUACACCAAAUACACUGUCCAAAAAAAAAAAACAAAUAAUUAAAUAACUGCCAAUAUGUAUUAAUUUAAAACUAAAAUAUUAACCAAUAAAAGCUCUACAAAUAUAGCCUUUUUUCAUCAAAACAUUUGUUGUGUUUAUAAUGAUGCAACUUUUAGUUAAAUAAAGAAUAAGAAUGAGGUUUGAUUGGUGUGACAAGUUAAAAGGGGAGAUUAAUAGCUUGUAUUAAUGCAAAUUAAAUAAGUUUAAGACCAACCUAAACAAAGUAGGAAUAAAAGGUGGAUGCACCCAUUUGGAAAAAAUUAAAUAAAUAAAUCAAACCAAGAUUCCAAUGUACUUAAAAACUAUUAAUUAAUUUAUAUCCGUAGGUGGCUGUUGGGUAUCUUCAAAACACGUAGCACACACGAUUAUUUUACAAUUAUUAUUAAAUCAUACCCAAAAAUCUCCCCUUUCUUCAUCAACUUUUUCUUUAAUAACUUAAAAUUUGGAUUGAUUAAACUUAUUAAAUUUUGAGAUGAGAUUGUGAUCGCAUCAAUCUCAAAUAUUUGUAUACCUCUUAUACUUCUUUGUGUUUUGAUUUUACAAAAUGGACUACCAUCCUUAAAUAAUAUUUGAACUUAGAUACUUGCAGACCUUUAGAAGUUUAGUGUCUUCAGUCUAGGUAUUCGAUUGUUUUAUUUUAAAGUUAAUUCAUUUUUUUCAAUUAAGUUGAAGUAUUAUUCAAAUUUAAUUUAUUUUAAAGAGUAGUUCAAAUAUAAAUUAUGUUUUUAAAAAAUAUUAUCGAUAAAAAUUAAGAUAACUUUUGAGACAAAGAUUAUCUGUGACUAUAAUAAUCUUCGGUUCGAACUCUCAAAUUACUAUUUCUUUUACUAUUUGUACCGUUUUUACCGUAGACUUUUACACAUUAAAACAUAUUAUUAUAAUAUAUAACUAUAAUAACUCACUCAUGGAUUCAAACACUAACAUGAUUUUUUUCAAAUAAAUCGUAAUAAAAUAGCAGAAAACGAAAGUAAAGGUUUAAUAUUUAUUAUAAUUUUUUUAAAAAAGAUAUUUAAAUCAAUUCAUUAUUGAAAGUCUAUUGGAAUUAACCUAAGGAGAUAUUAUUUGUAAUUUUAAUUUUACAUUUGAUAUAAAAUAUUAAUUUCGAUGAACGACCAGAUGCUGCAGUGAGAAGCCGGAGAGGGUAUCGUAUUGUAUUCUUUGUUUUUUAAUUUAUUCAUUCAUUCAUUUGAUUUAAUUUCUUAAAAAAAUUAAAAAAAAAAGGUGACCGAAAGGAACAGUAAGUCACGCGCUUUUCUCCGUGGCCGUUCGGUUUCUCUUCCUCACGACUCACCUAAACAUAACGAUUUGUACGGCGGAAGAACGCCACAUAUACCACGCGCACCAACACGCCCCAUUUUCAUUCUCUCACGCGCUCGUUACUCUCUAUGAUCUUCUUCCCUUUGCAACGUUGACGACUUUACACCGUCCGAUUCCCUUCUAAUAAAACAUGAUUCUUAUUGGUCCACGUCAACAGAUUUGUUUUUUGUUUUGCUUAAACUAUUUUUAUUAUUAUUUUAUGGUUUUGUUUGAUUAUUACUUAUUUGUUAGUAUUUUCAAGUCAAUGGUUGUGAGUUGAUAAUCCCUAAGCUAAAGAUUUGAUAUUCCUCCUAAAUAUCACAAUUGUAUUUAGUAAGAAAAAUAGCAACACAAAAUGUUUAUAACAUAUAAUCAAAUUUUUAUUGAUAAAAGUUGAUGUGUUUCAUAGAAAUAUUUUAAUUUAUUUUACUAUUUUUAAAAAUAUUUUAAAUUUUUAUAAGUCACUUUACCUCAAUUAUAAUUGCUUAAAUUAAUAAAAAUAAAAAUUAUAUCCGAUGACAAAAAUAUUUUAAAAAAUAUUAUUUUUUGCAUAUUGUAAAUAUGAAAAAUAUGACAAGUAGUUAUGGACAUCAUACGACUAACAGUAUCGACUUUUUUUUUGUAAUUUAGAAAUUUGAGUGACAUAAAUUCUACUGUCAUAUAUAUAUUCAUUUGUUUGCUAUUUUUGUGAGUGUCUCAAUCAAAAAUUCUAAUUCCAUUUUCUUAACGCAAACAUUUUAAAAUGAUUUACAUAUAAUAAAUUUUGUUAGAAUUUUGAAUGGAAAAGGAAUUGAAAGGAUGUGGUUAUAAUUUGUCAUCAAAAUUUAGAACACAAUGUCAUCUUACUUCUUUUUACUACACUAUUUUGAACAUUUUUAUUUUUGGUUUAGUGUGUUCAUGAAAAAGCAAACAUAAUACUCCAAUUGGAAAGAAUAAUAAUACCUUACCAAUAAAUUUAAAAAAUUCAAAACAUUUUCUUGUAACUUAAAAUAUAAAUUAAAUUAUUCAUGUCAUAAAAUCCAUCAAAUUAUAGUUACUAAAAUUUAGAUUAGUACAAACAAACUAUGAUAUUAGUUGUGACGAUCUCAUUAAAUAAUAUAUAAUAUAUAUAUAGUUUGGAAGAAGAAAAAAAAGUGGAGGGUACCAUUUUUUUUGAUGUGCUAUAAUGUGUUAGAGUAGAAGAAGAAGAAGACUAGAAGUAGAGGUUGAUAAUCAUAAUUCAUAUCAUCUUCUUUCUUUCUCUCUCUCCUAUUCAAAACUUUCUGUUCCAAUCACCAUUGAAAAGCAUACGUACAAACCUUUCCCCCAUUUCUCUCUCUCUCUCCAUAUUAUUUGUUAUUACUGCAACAAAGAACUGUAAAUCUUCUCUUUCCUUUUAUUUCCACAGAUUUUUAUUGGUUUCUCGAAUUUGAUGAUCCCUUUUUGCUUACAGGAUCCACCGCCAUGGCUACAUAAUCACUGACCCAUUUCACAAAAUAAUUCCUUCUUCUUCCCUCCAUCUCCUUUUCUCCCAUGGCGUAUCACAAUCACCUCUCUCAAGACCUUCCUCUUCACUUCUCUGACCAUCACCACCAAAAUCAACCUCUGUCUGAUUCUUCUUCUCUCCGUAACAUUUUGCCGGACCAACUUCCCGCCGGCCACACCUCGCCGGACCCCAAGUCUCAACAACCCCAUCAUCACCACCAUCAUCAACACCCUCUUCAGACUGCCCCCAAUUGGCUCAACAACGCACUCCUGCGUAACCAAAACCCCCAUUCUCACUUCUCUACCGACACCGCCACCACCGCCGCUGCUGCUAAUACUAAUUUCCUCAACCUUCAUACAACUGCAUCUGAUUCUACCGUUUCUCACUCCUCUAACCAAUGGCUUUCCCGUCCGAUUCUUCACCGAAACCAUAGCGAUGUUAUAGAUGAUGUCGCCGCCGGUGAUGCUAUGAUCGGUGCUGCCACUGCUGCGCUGUCUCAUGAUUCUGGUGACUUGAAGAACGAUGCUAAUAGUGGUGAUGGAUUGAAUAAAAGUGAAGGUAUGGUGAUGGAACCUGGUGCGGGUGGAGAAGGGGUUUUGAAUUGGCAACAUGCUCGUUAUAAAGCUGAGAUUCUUGCUCAUCCUCUUUAUGAGCAGCUUCUCUCCGCUCAUGUUGCUUGUCUUCGUAUCGCGACCCCGGUCGAUCAAUUACCGAGGAUCGACGCUCAGCUCGCUCAGUCUCAGAAUGUCGUCGCCAAGUACUCCGCCUUGGGUCACUCGGCUCCGCCGUCCAUGGUUGGUGAUGAUAAAGAGCUCGAUCAAUUCAUGGUAUAUUCCCACACAUAAUCCUUCCAAUUUUCUUCCUCUUUUUACCAUAUUCACAAAUCUGCUCCUAUUGGGAAUUGCUAAAUUGAUGCUGAAACUUCAUUUGCUAUUGCUGUUUAUGUAUACGAAUGUCUUCCUUUUCAGCUAUAAUCCAUUGGGUUUCUCUCUUUGUCAGAAAUUGUUCCAUUUUUCUGGCUUGCUUCAAUUAAUUGGGAAAUGAAAUGUUUGUGUAUUCCUGGGUAAUUUGAGUUGGGUAUUGAGUAUUGGGUAAUGGGUAAAUUCUUUGGUUGUUAAAUUAAUGUUUUUAUGAUCAUUUUCACUAGUGGAUAGACAUUUUAUGUAUUUGCUUGCAACUUGGAGUACUGCCAUAAUUAGUAAGCCAGAUGUGGUGAUAAUAAAUAAACUGAAAUCUCCAUUUAAUUAUGUUACCUGGCUUUUUACAAUGUAUGGACAAAUUUUCAAGACAGUAACCAUAAAUUAUAUUUUUAUGUCGGUUGUCACUUGGUCAAUUCUUUUUUUUUUUCAGUUGUACUCUCCUGCUGCUUGGGUGGAGAAAAUUUAUGUUUUUGCAUUGCAGCUGAUAAAAGGCUGUCCUGCCUAGUUUAAGGACUCUCUUGGAAUGAUUCACUCAGCCAUAGAUUAAUUUUUUUUUUUUUUUGGUUCUAACAAUCUCUUCAUAUCUUGUAACAUAUAUAUAAUAUAUAUUGAUUUAUUGACAUUUAUUUGGACAUUUAAUUGAGUGACUGAUUAUCAGAACCAAGAUUUGGGACAAACUGUACUGUACACAUCAUGCCAACUUAAAUGAAUCUUAUUUAAAAAUUUGAAAAAUAUGUCUUCUUUUUCAUUUGUGAUGCUUUUUGUUUCUGUAGUAAAUUCCUAAAAGCAUUUAGAAAAUAGAUAAAGUCGCAUUAAAAGGAUUAUGAUUUGGGGCAAUCUGAUUAAUCUUUGUUGUUCUUUAACACUCUGCAUCCGUUUUUUCUCUCUUUCUAUCAAUUAGGAAUGGAAAUCUGUCUUAGUCCUUUAUAUACAUAUUCUCUUGUUGCAGACACAUUAUGUUCUUUUGCUUUGUUCAUUCAAAGAACAACUCCAACAACAUGUUCGAGUCCAUGCUAUGGAAGCAGUAAUGGCUUGCUGGGACAUUGAGCAGUCCCUACAAAGUUUAACAGGUAUUCUUGUUGUACCCUUUUGUGUUUUGCUAUUACUUGCUUCUAUGAGAUCCUUAUCUCUGGUUAGUCACUCUUCGAUGGAACUUUAGCUUUAUCCAUUUCUUAUCAAGGAACCAAUGGUUUCUUACUGGUCUUUUCAAAAUCCAAUUCAAGUUUCUGAAAACUUUAGAAAGUUCUUUUUUAGAAAUUGAGUAAAAAUUAGGCUAAAAUGCAAUCGAACCUCCUACAAGACCGUCGGAGAAUCAGUUGGAUGUCAAAUAUUUACUAAAAAAUUAUGAAAAACUACGGUUAAGACAUUGUGAAAAAAACGAGCCUGGUUUUCAAUUUCUUUCUAAUGUAAAGAGUGUCAUAUAUUAAGAACAACGUUAUAUUCUUUUUCCUAUAUCAGGAGUUUCACCUGGCGAAGGUACAGGAGCAACAAUGUCCGACGACGACGACGACCAGGUUGACAGUGAUGCAAAUGUGUUUGAUGGAAGUUUAGACGGUCCAGACACCAUGGGAUUUGGCCCUCUUAUUCCCACAGAGAGUGAGAGGUCCUUAAUGGAGAGGGUCAGGCAAGAACUGAAGCACGAAUUAAAAUCGGUAAUGGAUAUAAUAUUACAUUGAAUGUUUUGUUUCAUUAAUAUAUGUUCUGUUCCUGAAUCUCUCUCUCUUUUUCUUUUUCUUUUUUUUUUCUUUUUUUUUUUUUUUGUUGCCUACAGGGUUACAAGGAGAAAAUUGUUGAUAUAAGGGAAGAAAUUCUGAGAAAGAGAAGAGCUGGAAAACUCCCUGGUGACACCACCUCUGUCCUCAAACAAUGGUGGCAAUCACAUUCAAAGUGGCCUUAUCCUACGGUAAGUUGAGGGAUUUGGGCUUAAAAGCUAUGUCAAAUAACCUUAAGAAAAAAAGGUUAUGUCGAUCUAUCGUUAAGCUAAACUUACCUUGGCCUUGAAUAAAACAUUAACAUGGUUGAGAAUAAGAUGCUUGAAUCUAUAAAAAGAAAUCUACUCAUGUUAUUGAAUAGGGAAAAGUCCAGAUAGAUAAACGUUUUGUAUGCUUUUAAUUCAAUUCUUUACUUUUCUACUUUACUCAUCUUUCUCCCUGUCACAUCAUCUUUUAGUUAUAGCAUAAAUAAAACCUGUAAUGAUGAUUUAUGAGUUUGAAAAUGAAGUAUAAGAGCAGAAGAUGAUGCUUAGUUUGAGAAAACUUUUACAAUUUACUCUCCUCUAUAUUAUUCACGAACACUAGCAAUUGACUUGAAGUGCUUUACGAAAAAACUUUUAAGAAUUGCUUUAAUUAUGACCAAACUUCAAAGCUGGUCAAAACUUUAAUCUGUGUUUGGAUGUUUUGUUUUUGGUUACUUUAUCAGGAGGAAGACAAGGCAAGAUUAGUGCAAGAAACUGGUCUACAACUGAAACAGAUAAACAAUUGGUUCAUUAACCAAAGGAAGAGAAACUGGCACAGCAAUCCUUCAAGUUCUACAAACUUGAAAAGCAAACGCAAAAGGUAUAAUAUAAAUUCCUUAAAAUAAAAAUAUGUAUGUCUUUAAUUUCUCUUCUUUACGAUUUUAACUUAAAUGAAGAACUUGCACCAACCUUAAUUUGAAAGAAGUAAUGCAGGUGAAAACAGCAGCGACCGUUUCAAAUGACUUGUAAUUUCAACUUCAACAACCAACAAAAUCCCUGUUUUUCAACACUUUUUUGCUACAGCAAUAUAAACCCAACCCCCCAUACUAAUUAUUUGGAGGUUAUUCAUUUUAAGCCUUGCAAAACAAACAUAGUUAUCGCUUUGACCGAAGAAGUUAAGGAUGAAAUUAAGAGACGGUACGAUCGAGAACGGAGACGAAGAAAUAUGUGCAUGCUAUACGUGUCGUGGGGCGCAAGCGCGUAAAGAUCGAAAAGCUGCUGAUGAUCAACUAAAAGAUCAAUAUGAAGAAUGUCAAGGGUUUUUCUUUUUCUUCUAUGAUAUGGUGGUUAGAAGAAGUUGAUAUUUAGGAGUAUUUUAGUGGAAAUGAAUUGGAUACUCCACAUGGAAUGGAGUUAUGAUUUUUGUUUUAGCUUCUUCGUGUAUGUGAAUAAUUAAGAAAGGUGAUGGGUUAUAUGGGUGUACAGUUUUAAUAAUCUGUGCAUUGUUUCCUCACAGUACAAUACAUGUCAUUAAUAUAGCUCUUUUUUAAACAAAAAAAAUUAUAUACAUAUAUAUAUAUAUAUUAUACAAAAGUGGAGUAUUAUUAUAUAUACUUAUAUAUUGGUGAUAUCCUCUUUUUAAUUUUUUGGGUUUCUAUCUCUUUGAGUUUUCAUAUACUGUAAUAUAGAGAUUAUAACACAGUAAAUUGGGUGUGACAGAACAGAACUAUAUGGUUGCCUUAUCUAUAACCAUUAACCAACUAUGGAGUUUUUAAUUGGUAAAGUUUUCUUUUUCAUUUGCAACAUUUAAACUACGAUCACUAGAUCUUUCACACGCAUCGAUCUCAAUUGACAUGAAAAAUUACAAACUAAAGGAGAUAAUUAUUGUUUGAAAAAUUACAUUUUCGAUCAUCUAAGUUAACCGUUUUAUCAUAUGGUACGUCACUAUUGUUUGGUUAUUAUAAUUAUUAUAUUUAAAUUACAUUUAAAUGGUAAAAUAACGAAUAUGUUUAAAUUCAAACACUAACAUUUUCUGCACUAUAGUUAUCUUUAUGAAUAAUUUGAUUGAUAAUUAUUCUGUUUUAAUUAAUUUAAUUUAUAUUCAAACACUCAAUCUAACACUAGUCAUUUUGAUGAAUUUUUUUAGUGAAAACUAAUUCAUUAAUUUAAAAUUUAUAAAUAAUUUAUGUAAAUUAAUAGGUCUUUUUUUUCUUUUAAAAUAACAAAAUGGACGAUGAACUAUUGCAAGAACUUAGGACAUGGGGACAAGGAAGCUUGGCAAACAUUGCCUCCUAAAUGUAUAUAUGUAUUCAACAUAUAUCAAUAGUUGUCACUCGUUGAUUGCCUCCUAUGCAUAUCAACAAUGCAUGUAGUUUUUUUUCUCUUUAUUUACUUUCUCAUACCCCUCGUUCUCUCUUUCUCUUUCUUUUUUAUCUACUUCGACAUGCACGACUCCCUCUUCCGAAAUUCAUCAACCUACUAAACAAAAAAAUUAAAGUUUAGAGUUUAUGUUCAACUGUAUUAAUAACAAUGAUUAAGUUAAUAAUCCACUAUAUGAGCACUUUCUAAGUGUUUGUAAACUUUUUUGAACAAAUAUUGAUUAGUUGUAAAAGUUUGGAUUUUGUGAAUUUGGUGGAAAAAUGAAGAAACUAAUAGUUUGUACAUAUUUAUUAACAUUAUCAAAUUCAUCAAUUAAAGAGGUUUAAUUCAGUUAUAUGACUACUGCAUUGAUUAGUCCUCUUUUUCCAAAUCUUUUAGUUCAUCAUAACCAACAAUAAUCAGUACACAUAACAGUAAUUUAACUAAAUCUAAGGUUGAUUGAAAUUAAACGAAAUUAGAAGCAAACAUAAUCAGUAAAUUAGUAAUAACAAUAGAAGGAAUAUACAAUUAAUAAUUAAUUAGAGAGCUUUUUAGAUAUCUAUACAUUUAGCUCUACGAAUAACACCUUUAGCAAAUUGCAAAUUACAGUUAGAAUCAAUGGGUAGAGACUCCCUGAAGAUCCCCAACCCCAUGGUUUCAAAAUCGCAUGAGAUUUACGUGCGGUGGUGACGCCGGCAAUCUCGAAGUGAAAUCCCUAAUUGGGAACUCGUCGUCAUAUCGAAGUUGUUCGUCCUCGAAAUUAAGGGCAUAGCUGGAAGGGUCGUAUCGAAAAUCAGUGGAGUGAUGGUAGCGUCGGCGACUCGGCCAGCUGAUCCGAGCGACAAGACUCCGGCACAUUCCACGGAGCUCCGGGAGGUCAGAGGUCAUUGAUUUGAGAGCAGGAGAUGUUGGAGAAGAAGGGUUAUCGUGUAAUUCGGGAUCGUGAUCGGGGCGGAAACAAGAGAUUGGGGAUUUGAGCUUGUGGGUGAAGGAAAAUGGAUUGUAGUGGUUGAACAUGGUGACGAAGAUGGGAAGUUUUGUAAUGAAAAAUGGAUGAGAGGUGAGAGUUAAGCAGUGAUGAUGGAAAUGGGGGAGAGAAAUAGAAGAGAUAUUUAUAGAGAAUUAUUGGGAGAAAAAUAAGAAGAGGAGUGAAGAAGGGAAGGGGACAGAUAAGAGUGAGAGAGAGAGAGAGAGAAGAGAUAAUUGCGGCAGUUGGCUGUGGAAGGAGCGGGGAAAGCGUGGGAAAAGAGUAGCAUUGUUUUCAUUUUUAAUUUAACCCUUUUCUAAUAAAAGAUAAAUUAUUUUACAAACUAAUUUUAAAUAUAAUAAAAUAUGAUAGUUCCCGGACCAAGGUAAACUACUAUCUAUUUGAACGAAUUUAAUAUUUUUUCAUUUUUCAACUUUAUGCUUUUGUAAUAUAUUAAAAUAAUAUUUAUGUUAGUAUUUAGCCUAGCGGUCAAGUUAUCAUCCAAACUUUUUAGUUAAUGAUGUUUAGAAUAACUCGUAACUCAAUAUGUUGAGAAGUAAAACGAUUGCUAAUUAGUUAACAAGAAAAGAAAAUGACAUCAAUGUUCAUUAUUACUGUAGGUUAAUUUGACACGACACAUUACAAAGGUAAUACAAAAGCAUUGCUGGUUAACAUAAUUAGAAGUUUAAUUUUGAUUGAUUAAAAUUAUAAAAUAUAUGAAAUUUGGAAGAAUGUGUCAAUUGAUACAAUAUUUGAAUUACUAGUUAAAUUUUCAAAGUACUUUACCUUAUUUUAAUCCCACAUUUCAUUAAACCAUAGGCACAUUAUCUUUUCAAUUGAGAAUAUCAAUUAAGGGACAAUGGAUGCAGCCAAACACAGUUCCCAAUUCUUCAGCACAACCACAAGCUUUUUUCUUUGAAUAAUACAAAUACAAUGCAUCAAUGACCAAAAACCAAUUAAAUUUGGAAUUGAGAACUAUUCUUUGUUUCUCUGUACAGGAAAAAAAAAGCAUAGAUCCAUGUAAGUUUGAGAUAUGAUAAUUUAAACUUAAACUUAUAUCAACUUAAUUUUGAACAUUUAAAAGUAUAGUAAUUUAUGUCUCGUUUGGUUUGCACAAUUGGUUGUAUGAGAUUUUUAAUUUUAUCAAAUAUAUCGCAAUCUUUCGUAAACAAAAAUGGAUUAGAAUUUCAACGGAGAAUUCUUUCAUAAAUUAUCCAUGCAUUGAUUUCAUUUGCUCAUCAUGUUAUUUAAAAGAAGAUUGCCUACCUAUAAGAAUUGUUUCAUUAACAUCCAUUACAAUUCAAUAAUUGAUUCGCUCAUUACAAUUUAGAAGUUUAAUUGAAGUAAAGUUCUAACAAAAUUAAACGAAAGGUAAAUCAAUACAUUUAAGAAAGUUGAUAAUUAAAAUUAAUAGAAAAAACUAUCUUAUCGGUCCACAAGUUCUAAUAGAUAAGUGUUCUUUGACCAUCGAUUUUAAAAAUAGACAUUUUUAGUCACCAAAUUUACAACAAUAGACCCAUUUGGUUAUUUUGUUUUCAUCAUGUCCAUUUUUAUUCCAUGAAUUUUAAAAAAUAGGUUCAUAAGACUCAAACUAUUUUAUGUUUGAUUUUAAAAAAAUUAAUUACAUGAUAAUUAAAAAUUUAAAAAGUUACAGUUUCACACCUCAUAUGAAUUUUAGAAGCUAAUUUUUCUAAUUUAAUAUGUUAAAUAAUUAAAAUAAAAAUAUAAAGUUAUUUGAGGGGCUUUUAAACUUACUUUUAAAAUCUCAAUGACUAAAAAAUAGUACAUUUUGAAAAUUCAUAGAUUAAAUUAGUCUGUUCUUAUAAAACGCAAGCACCGAACUCACAUAUAACUUUUUCUAAUUAAAUUUAAUAAAGCUAAAUUUAUAUAUUUUUAUUAUAUAUAUAAAACACUUACAAAAAUGACAAAUAAAUUAUAAUAAUAAAGUGUAUAACACGAUUACUUGAUUAUUUGUGAAAAUGACAAAAACAAAGUCCAAACCGAACAUAUAAAAGCUUGAAUUUGAUUGAUUUUUUCAUAUAUGUACAAAAUACCUAAACUAAUUUGUUAUCGAGUACAAUUUUUCUAUAAAAAAAUAUAUAGAUACUUACAUUACUUUUGGAAUUGAAUGAGUGUAUGUGGCCUCCAGUGGUCACUUCCAUAGGGAUCUCUGCCACAGCCACCCGCCAUAGAAUCCAACGACUAUUUUCAAACUCUCCACCAAUUAGAAUAUGACACGACUUUCCUUUUCCUUUUUUCUUCUUUAAGUCUAUUUUAGUUGUUUAUUAAUUCUGUAGCGCACGUGACCAACACCACCUGCCGACCAUUUUGGUUCAUUCGCCACUUGACCACUUGAAGGUCCCUUCACCUUCAUCUCCGCAACUAACAAAAACACAUUUCUCAAUUUCUUUUAUUAUUUUACACUCACUGAAAUUUAUUUUAAUGUAUAGUAAUCGCAUUAAUGUCGCAAAAGGUUCGUGAAUCUAAAUUCAAGGAUCCUAUACUGACACACAGACUCGUGUGGUCUUUUUGAAAAUUUAGAACAAUGUAAUAUGUGGUCUAAACUCUUAACUAUACUCCAGAAGAGUGUUAAUGAAAUUAAGACUAACUCGUACUAUAGUACUCGUACUGUGUUAUAGUAAAUAUAUUUAAAAGUCCUCAACUAGUUAUAAUAUAUAUUGUUUACAAAACUAUCAUUUUUACUGUUUUACAUUCAUUGUUUUUUUUUCUAGUUGUUACUGAUGUUUACCAUUUCAUUAUCAAAAUAAAAACCGUGUGUAUCUCAAAUACAUGUUAUUCUAAUCCAAAUUGAAACAGUAACUUAUGAUUAUAAUAAUUCACUACUUGCCACAAAUGUCUUCUAAAACGUGAGCUUCAACAUAUAUAGUUUCGUUAUUCCACUUUUAGAGAUAUUUUAUUCACGUUUACGAAUCAAACAAUGUGCUAGUAAAUGGUAAGUUAAUAGUUAUAAAUUGGUUGAUGUUUUUGGAUUUUGUUUUGUUUUUGAAAGAGUAUGUCUUAGCUCAAGUGAGCAAUGUAGAUUAGGUACCCACUAUACACCAUUUUAUUAAUUCUUCCUUUUACUUUACUUUAGUUUGGAAUUUUGAACAACAAUGUGAUAAAAAAAAAAAAAGUAAAAGAAGAUAAAUCGCUAAUCCAAAUUGAAUUGGGUUGGGUUCCCUCGUUUAAAUUUUGAGUAAUACUAAACAAUAAUAAAGAACAUGUCUGCACUUUUUUUUUUUCCUUUUUUGUUUUCUUAAUAUAUAUAUAUUUUUAAAUUAGAUUUUUCUAACUCUUUUUUCUAAUUACUGCCUUAUCUGUUUUUGGAUAGUUGCAAAUUUAGUAACUACAUUCAAAAUAAUUAAGUAUAUAACAACAUUUUAAAAAAAUUGCAAAUAUAACAAUAUUUGUCAAAUUCUAUCAAUAAUAGAGUAUAUCACUGAUAGAUCAUGUUGUAAAAAUUGGUCUAUCACCGAUAGAUCAUACAGGUCUAUCAAUGAUAAUUUUGCUAUAUUUGCAAUUUUUUUAAAUGUUGCUAUAUAUUUAAUUAUUAUUCCUCAAAUAGUAAUUUACUAUAAUUAGAGAAAUCGCAAUGAAUGACUAUUUUAGCAAUAAUAAUGAAGGAUACAGUAACAUUUUAAAAAAAUUGCAAAUAUAGCAAAAUUAUCACUAACAGACUUGUAUCGCUGAUAGACUUCAUAUGAUAUAUCAGUGACAGACUUAUCGACUUAUAUCAUUGAUAGAUUUUGACAAAUUUUGCUAUAUUUGCAAUUUUUUCUUAUAAUUACCCUUUCUCUUUCUUUAUUUCUUUAUUUCUUUCCCUUUUUUUUCUUUUUUUUUAAUAUUCUGCGGUCCACUUUAUAUAACAGAUCGGCCCAAGUAUAAAUAAUUGGCCUUUGCAAUAGUCUGCUACUUCCUGGGCUUCUGAAUUGGAGGCGGGAAGGGGAGCCCUCUCGAAGCAUCCAUGGCCGAAUUUCAUUUCUCUUCUACAAUUUUAAACAAUGCUUGGAAGCCAUAACCUCAAACAAGCAUCAUCAGGAGCGAGAGAGAGAAGCAAGACGAAGCGAAGAAAAGCUUUCUGAAUCAUCUUCUUGGUUCGACUUUUCAAGUUCAUUCUCCUGUAUCCGCUUCUCCGAUUUCAUGGCGAGUAUCUUCCUCUUUUCUUUCUCUCUCUCUUUUUUUUUUUACUUGUACGAACUGCAUUUCGUAGCAUUCUCAUUGUAUGUAUAUUUCUUCUUGUUUUACUAUUUUGUAGGAGUUACAACAGGAGCAAACUCCGUCGGUAUCCAUAGAAGAUUGCUUGAAGCUCCUGAAGGGAGAGAAAGAUGAGCAGCGUCUUGCUGGCCUCUUCUUAGUUACUAAAAUUUGCAAGGUGGAUGACCUUGCCUCGCUUUCUAGAGUUUAUAAUGCCGUUGGAUCGAAGUUUCUUGAUCGACUUCUGAGAACUGGUAUGUUUCUUAAUACUUCGUGAUCACUUAAACUUGUUAGUUGAACUUGAACAGUUUGAGGCUUAUAUGCUUCUUUUGAUGUUUAGACUCUGAAACCGUGUUUAAAACUUCUAGGCAUGGGUAAAGGAACUGUUAGUGGACCUGGAGAAGAUAAUCGCGAUGCGUAUUUGCAACUGUCUGUUAGGAUUCUGGCAGCGUUUUGUCAUGUUCCUGAGAUCGCUGCUUCAGAAGAAAUGAUCUCGAAGACUCCACUGAUAUUGGAAACCCUAUCCAACCAGUGCGUUCGCUAUCAGUAAACUCUUUCUUGGUUACAUUUCUACUUUAGUCAGUUUAUUAUGAGUACGGUAUUAGAACGACGAGUAUCUCUGAGAGACCGAGGUGAUUUUGAACGACAAUGCGUCACAAUGGAAUUAGAAAAAGAAAAUCGUUUGUGCACUUGUUUUCUUUUCGUAUUCACCUGUAUUCUUCUUGUUCCUUUGAGUAUUGGUGUUUUGUUGAGGACGUUUAGAGAUUGAUCUUAAUGCAUACUUUAGAUUUGCUGUCCGAGUACCUACUCAACCAUCUUUCAGAUUUCAAUACAUAAAUUUAUUUAUAUUAUUAAUUCAUUCUUGAAUUUACUUGUGCUCUGGUAUUUAGGUUCUUACCAUCAAGAAAUGACUAAUUGCAUCAAGGACUGGAUUUUUUGAAUUGCUAUUUAGAUCAUGCUUUCUCUUCCUUUCCAAUCCCUUUCAUCGUUGUUUCUUUUGUUGUUUAUGCAAGGUCAGGAUUUUCUGUUUUGGAGGAGUGUCUUGAAUUUUUGUAUCUAGUAUCAACUGCAUCUGAUGCUGGAGUGACGACUCUGUAUGAAUCUGGUAGCCUGAAGAUUAUAGCUUCUUGGAUGUCGACAAUGCCAGAUGGUAACACUUCUCAUUGUUUGUUGAAUCUCAUUGAUGACCUUGUUGUGGGCUGUUGAUCACUCAAUAUCUCAGUAUAAGCUUUUGCAUACAGGUUCUCAGCUGAUGAAGAUUUCCAUACAGCUUGUUCAAUUGAUCAUUAGUAAGAUUUCUCUGGACACUAUCAUCAUCAACGCUUUGCCUGACCUAUCAGAUAUUGUGAGUUAAAUUUUAUGUAUGUUCUAGUUACUAUCUAUUAGGUUAGGACAUCUCACUCGUUUUGGUUCAUUUUCAGUCAAAUUCUUGUAGGGAGACACGAAAAUUCUAUUCCCCCCAUAAUUGAGUAAAUAUUAUCCAAUUAGGUUGUCGCUAUUGCGAGGCAAUUUGGAUUGGCACAUGAUGCUAUGAAGUUUGAAGCCCUUCGCCUGCUUUCUGCCAUCCUGUCUUCAAAUUUGGUAUGCAAUUAAUGGUUCUAAUAGGGAAUAUUACUUUAGUAGUUUUAUUGCCUAGCUUUGACUGAUGCAUAACUUUUUAGGUUGAUAUACAUUCUUUUUAGUUUUAUUGUCGUCCUUUCUACCUUUUAAGUCAUGUUAAUUCAUAAUCAUGUUUUGCAAAUGGCGUUUCAUUUUCAGACACCACUUUAUGAUACCCUUCGUCAAGUGCCCUCCAAUGUUUGGGCAAAACAUAUGCGUGAUGGAGUUUCAGCUAUUCUUCAUAACCGCACAGGUAUCCUAAGCUGCAAUUUCUUCAAUGUAAAACUCCUCCUUUUCCAUGUCUGGCAAUCAUUGUGUAGCUAUAUUGUUUUUCCUAUGUUGCUUGCUAUUAAUCAAUUUGGCUCUAAAAUGCCAUAUUAUCAAUCUUCUACUUAGCUUGACUAUAAUGUAUUUGACAUAUAGUCAAAUUGUUGGAUGUUGAUUAUUUUUGGUGUUUGCAAUCUACAAGUUUAUUUGAUUGAUUAUGAAAGCUGCAGCAAUCCUAUGUUCUUAGACUGGUGAAACUUGGUAUCUGAGUUGGUAUAGAAGGAGACAUGAAAUAUAGUUAAAGGAUAUUUGCAAUUUAGCCUUUUUCUAGUUUCUUUUGGGGUGAAGAUAAAAUGAAGUGUAUGUUAGGUCCUGGAUACUGUAUAUGUUGGAAGGCCACCCUUUUUUCUUUAAACUUAUUACAGUGCAUCAAUUUAGAUGAUCAUUCAUAUUUAGCACUUUAUAAGGUGAAAUUUUAUUUUCUUUCUAUUGGGAUUUAAAUGUUCAUUUGCUCUUGUAAUGGAAAAGUGAAAAAUUGGAGGCAAAUAUUUCAAGUAUAUUCUGUUUUUUGAAGCUUGUUUUGUAGUUGUGUCCAGGAAGAUGUUUGAGUUUCUAACUUAAUUGAAUCUCUUGCUUUGCUGUCCAAUGUUCAGCACCUGCUGAAAAGCUUCAGGCUCUUAUUUUGGCCGAGUCAAUGGUGUCUAUUGUAGGAGAAGGUUGGCUGAUAGGUGAAAUAGAAUUACCUGAUGUUCAAGACGCUAUUCCAUCGGACAGGUAUUCAGUGAUUGCUACCAGUAAUGAUGCUUUAUUUAUUAACUUCUCGUAUAUAAUUUUCAUUUUUCUCUUCUAUCUUGAUCUCAGAUGUCUAAUACUUGUCUUAGAGCAGUCAAGGGUUGAGAUUGCUGUGAUGCUGAAUGAACUGGCCUAUAUGAAAUAUGAAGCUUCCAAGAAUUCCUCCUUGAAGGAAGAUAUCAUCUUAAAGCAGCGCAAUGUAGCUACUGCCUUCUCUUUGGUGGAAAAGAUAAUUAAGUUAAUAUCAAAUGUCGAAGAAGACCAAGGUAAAUGACUAAUUUGAUGUCAAUUAUUUGCUAGGUCUUGAAUUUUAUUUAUUGGCAUUGAGAUUGGUAGGCCCAGAUUUCAAAAGUUUAGAAGGAUCAAUCCUGAUGAUUGGGGGGGGUGGUGAAGUAUAGUUUCGACUCAUUAUUUUUUGUUAGUUAGAGAAAGGGUGCGAUGGUGCUCGAUGAUAUGAGAAAGGAUAAAUCCGUAGGCAUUCUCUAUGUUUCUAAUCGUUGGUUUAAGAUUUUUUUCCCCAUUUAUAGCUUACUUCAUAGAAUAUAUUGGAUAAUUAAUUAAUUGUGAUGAUAAAUGUAUAGCUAGAUGAUUACUUUAAGGGUGUAUAAAGGAAAUUGGUGACUUAACUAACCAACUAUACAAAUGAGUUUUAUAUUUUCUUAAAAUUUUACAGUUAUCAAUUUUAUAUUAUUCUUGAGUUAAGUUAGAUUAUGUACAAGAUUGAAGUUUGCUCUAGAAAAGAAGAGAGUUCGGAAAUGUCUUGGUAGAUCUUUUUUGACACAAAAUUAUUAUUAUUAUUAUUAUUAUUUUUCAAAAUAUGAUCAAUCAAAUAGAAUUACAUAAAACUUGAAGAUGGUUGAAGCUUGGAGUCAUGGACAUAAAUGUUGCUUGAUGUGUUUGUGAAAUAGUUGGUCUUUCUGUGACCCUUUUGGGGCUUUACAUGGUUGAAUUACUAACCUCUUGAUAUUGCUAUUGCUUUGUGGCUUGUCUUAUCUUGUUUGGACUGAUUUUAAGAUCCGUCCAUUUGAAACAGACAUUUUUAUUAACGUUGUUAUGAUGUUGUAAUCCAAUGUUGACCUUUCGCUAAUAUGUUCGGCAAUGCCAAGUUAUUUUCUUUUUAAUUAUUUCACAAUCUAAUAAUUUCCUGAAUACCUGGAGAAUUUAUUUGUAGGGGAUCUUAUCAGUGAAAACACACUGAUGAAAGUGAUUAGAGGCCUUAAUGAGACUACUGGGGUUGUGCUAGAAUAUUUGCAAGAUGCAAAGGUAAUUAUGGAAAAAAUUAUAGUUGUAGUAGGAUAUGGGGAUACUGUUCCUUAUUUAAGAUUGUGAUUUAUGAUUAUUCAGGAGCAUGGACAAAGAAAAGGAGAUGACAUUUUAGCAUCUGUACGGGUUAUUGGGAGGUAAUAUAUUCUAUAUUUGUUUGAAAUCCUUUGUGAGAGUAGAGUAUUUCCAAUUUUUAAAACAACAAGAAAACGGUUUUGAAUGAAUUUCUUUUAACUGUUUAAUAUAUUGAAAUGCCCCUUGUUUAUCCUUUUUAUGAAUAUCUAUUUUGUAAGAAGCAUAGAACGGAAAAUUUGAGCUAGUCUGCAUAUUCUUUGAUCCUAGAUAUAUAGAAGAAAAAGAAUGUAGCAAAUCUUCAAGGUCUUUUGCCUUUGCUGUGUAAUUGCUUGAUAAUUGAGGAGUGUCUAGGUGCAAUGGUACCAACUAUCUAAGACUGUCGAAGUAAUAUGAAAUGUGAAUUUUCUUCUUUCAGUUAGUAUAACAUGUGGGUACUCAAACUAGACUAGGAUUCUAUUUGUACAUGGAUUGCCUCUGGUUAACAUUAUUUUCUCUUUUAUUUCAGUUUUCUUGCACAAACCCCUGAUGCAUGGGCAGAAAGAGUUACGGAACUCUUGGACUAUAUGCUCUCUGUUGAAGGUGAAGAUGAACAGAGGUUUGUCAGUGCCUUUAUUGUACGAAUUCAGUAUUUAUUGUACGAAUCUAAAGAACCUGAAUUCCAUUUCUAUAUUUACAAACGGCAGCCCCUUCAACUCUGUGUGCUUCUUGCUUCCCAUGCUAUGCCAAAUUACGAUGAAUGUUGAAGGAUGUAAGACGUUGGUUUCUUCCAGAGGUCUUGCAGCUGUAAGUGAUUGCCAUAUGGAAUUGGCUUUUAUAUAAGUGGUCUUGUGAACUCUGAAACUUUCUAUUUAUUACUUUUGCCAGACUGAAGUUCUUAAUCAUUGAGCAUUUGGGUCUGCACACAGGUUGUGAAAUGCCUUGUAAAUUUGAUUGACCAACACGGUGGCUGGAUUGACAAUGAUGGAUCCAUCUUCUUGGCUUGUGAUACAAUCUUGAAUGUGCUUCUGAAGGUACUCAUCUAGCCAUUUACUGUAGUAUGAAAUUCGGUUUAUAUUGUUUGUUUAAGAUUUUGAUUGGUUACCAUUUGAGUUUCUAUUUUUGGUUUUUGAAAAUUGAUCUUAUAAUCACUAAUUCCAUCCUUUAAGUUUAUUUGUUUUCUUGUCCACUUUCUACCAAUGUUAUUACUACAUGUUCAAUUUUUUACGUUGUAACAAGUCUAUUUCGUAUGUUGUCCACUUUCUAGAAAGAGCUUGGUGGGCUUCUAUGUGGCGAAUCAUCUUUUAUUCACCUGUUGGAAGCAAUUGCAAAUUCGACUGGUAUUUUUCUUGAUUUUUAUUCUUUACAUGUUGGGAAUGUGCGUUAAAUAAAUAAAUAAGUAAAUUUAGAUUAUUUAUUGUUAUUGUUUAUGAUGGUUGUAGAGGAUUCGAGAGAGCUAUCUGUUAUCAUGAUGGGUGGCAGUAUAUGUGCCUUGAUAUUUGAUUUCACAUCGGAGAAUGCUCUUCUAAGCAAUCCUAAUUUUGCCGAUAAAUCUCUGGAUAAGUUAUGCAGACUCUUUUCAAGAAUCUUCAUUUUGUCUCAACAGGUAUGCUAAACAUUAUUACAAGUAUUGUCGUUAAACUUUCAAAUUUACAAGUCUAUAGAAGGCCCAAGUUUUUUUUAUUUUAUUUUAUAUCUAAAAGGUUGUUAACGUUCCACAUUUUCAUUUAACUACAAGAUAUCAAUUUGAAGGAAAAUGUAGUGAACUUAUAAUUUAACAACACUGCCGCUGAAGCUGAAUAUAUAAAAUUUUGAAUUUCUCUGUUUUUUCAGAAGAGCAUGAACGACGAUGAAAUGGCACAGAUGGAUCUUCUCGAGAUUAUAACAGCAGGUUCCUGCUUUUCUAUUUGAAUCUCAGUAUUGUACCAUUUAAAUCUUUUUCCCUCCUAAGCUAAAGCCUUUUUCUCUUUUAAUUAUUAAAACUUUGUUUUCUUCUUCUUUGCAAAUUGCAACCAUUGAAAGGAUGCUUUAAAUUUGAUUUCAGGAUAUUCUCGUUGGGGAGACAGAUUCCCGCGUGUUCAAAAGGCAAUUAGCAGGUUACGAUAGUAUUCAUCAGCAUUUUGCAUCCAUCCUUAUGAUUAUUGCUAAAUGGUAAUUAAUAAGGAAAUCAUAUGUUUGAUUGUUAAUUAUUAAUUAGUAUAGUUUAUGAAAUUAAAGUUUAAGUUAAAAGAUGAUGGGGAUGGGUUGAUUUUAGUAGAUGACAAAGCAUGCACCAACAUCGUUUACUAAAUAUUUGAGAGAGGAUUAUAAAAUAGGAAGGAAAAAACAUACUUUUGAGUGGCAAAAAGAUAAAAUUUAGUUUAGAAAGAAUUUCGGUCUUUUCUUUGGUAAUCUAAAAUUUACUUGUUAAAUCAAAUGUGUUUUGAAAGAAAAGUUUUUGGGCUCGUGAGCAUAGAUAUUUGAUUGUCUAGGGUAACAUAUCGUUUGUGCAAGUCUAGGAUAGAAGUAAUGAAUUAUUUAGAAAUAAUCUAGUCAUAAAUAGAUUUUAAUUAUUAACAUAAUACAACAUUAUUUAAAUCAUCGAUAACAAGUAGUUUGAUUAAUUGAGUUAGAAUAACAGAUUCAUAUUUAUUAAAAUUGUUCCUAAAUUAUAAAGAAAUUUAUGCGUGGUAUUUAUGCUGUAUGAUGGAAACAUAAUCUUUAAUUUAUCAGUUGAAUUUUAUUCAUCUUCUACUAUUAUUAAGGGUAUUUAUAAACUCAUUAUCUAAAGUAGACUAUAUUUCAAAUGCAUAAAGAAACAUUAAUUUUUUAGUUCUUAAGUCUUAAUAAAUAGGUGUUUUUAGAUUUUGAGUUUUAAAAGUGUUUUUUUAGUUACUAAAUUUAUAAAAACAGACUUUGUUUGGUACCUGAAUUUUUUAAAAGUAAAGUUUUUAAAAAUAGGCUCUUUUGAUUUUUUGGAAAUGUCGUAUAAUAUUUAAAAUAGAAGAAUAAAGUUAAUUAAAAUACCAUUUAAAAUAUUUGUUAUAUUUUGAAACUUGAAAACUAGACAUUUAUGACUUAAAAAAUGUAUCUAUUCGAAAUUCAGGAACUAAAUUUUGGAUUAAGGUGUCUAAACUGAUUUUGUUUAGUUAUGAUUAGUUGGUCUGUGUUUCGGUCUACCUUGUCCUACUUAAAAGUGCACUUAUUUAUGAUAAAUCUAUCUUCGUGGUUCAAAUAACGAAAUCUAUUUUAAAGUAUGUUUACCUUAUCUGAGGUGAAAAGCAACAAUCGAUCUGCUUCAAGUAUAGAAAAAGCCAUACGCAACAGAAAGCUCAAAAGAACUUCUCGUAAAGAAAUGAACAAAUGAAUUUACUAUUUAAGCAUAUUGUAGAUAUCAAGAGCAAAUUUCAUAAAAAUGGAUCGGGCGUAAAUUUACAUUACAAAUUCAAAUUAUCUUUUACGCCACUUAAAUAUCUAAUAAAAGUUUAGUGAAACAGUUGCUAAUAGCUUUAUACGUAACAAUAUCUUUUUAUCUUUUAGACAUUCCAUUGUAUGUUUAAUUGGAUGUUUAAAAUCUCAAUUUUCUCAGUUUUAAAAUACAUUGUAUUUUUUAAAAAUUGGAUUAGGGACGUUUGGCAAAACCUUUAUUUAUCGUGAAAAGAUAAUAAUGAAAUAUUCACGCAAGAAAUAUACCUUCUUAGGGCUGCUUCUAUGAACAAGUAUUCUAUUGCUCAAAAGUUGCAUAUGUAUUAUUCACAUCCAAGUAAUUUGUAAGUUCCUGCAGCUGCUGUAAAAAGAGUACAAAUUUUAAAAGUAGUAUAAUUAAAACAUCCAACAUUCAGCAUUCUUGUUUCUUGGGAGGGUAUAAAAUAAAAUAAAACUAAUCUAUUGGAUAAUAUAAAAAUAACUUUAUUUUUAUAAGUUCUAAAAACGAGGAUAGGGAAAAACUUAGAAACAAGCAAAAUUUGGAAAACUUGGUUUGGACCCGAGCCAGUCAGUUAUCUCCUAAGUUCUAAUAUUGAUUAGCCAAACAAAUUUUAGAUUGAAAGCUCUUAACGCCUAACUGUAACAUAAUCAUAUUCAAAUUUCAGUAUAUAUUUACCUCGAUGAAUUACUUCUACUUUUUCGGAAGAAGAAACAAGUGUAUAGAAAUUAUUAGUAUUUCAUGCUUUACAAAAAUUAGAAAAACUAAAAAACACAGAAGCUACAGUGAAUAGAGAGUUACUCGGAAGACGGGGCAUCACCUCAGUCCAUCUAAAAAGAGACGAGAAGCUACAAGAAGAAACCCGCAUUUUAUAAGCACCAACCUGAGGUUAUAUGCUGCAGCUGCACAGCUACCAAAAUGCAGGGAUGGAAGAUUGAACCGUGCAUUGAACAUUAGAAUGGUGAUGGAUGUGUCAUCCGCUAACGGAGUACUGCAAAGAGAGGGGGAAGGGGAAGAUUUUUUCUUUAUUCUAAAAGGAUUAAUAGGUGUAAAAUUUUUUAAGGAUGGUUGGGAAAGAUACAACUAAUAAUAGCUAAGUAUUACUCUCAAAAGAUGUAUGAUAAAACAAACUAGAAACUCAGGAGGAUGCAAGAAAGUUACAUAAAUUUUGAAACAUUAUACCCAGUUAAAGUACAAGAAAGUUCAACCAACCAUCCAGUAGUACAUUUGCAUAAUUGUAAGUUUAGCUUCCAGCCAAACAAUUACAUGUAUGAAUGCAUUCAACCUAAUUCAAACAUGCUCAUGCAACUAUGCAACAAAAAUUCUUUCACGGACUGUAAUUCGAAAUGUACAAUGACAGCAAAACAUGUCAUGUCUUCUUAAAAAAAGAAAAGGAAAAAGAAAAAAAGACAUGCCUGGUCUGUAUGAACAGUGUUAAAUGAACGUAAACCUAAACCCUAAACAAUUUUGUUUUAAAAAAUUAAGCACCUAAAUCCUCUUGUAUGAGCCAAAUUCUAAAUUCGAAAAAACAGAUUUUAAAAACUAUAUUUUAGUUGGUUUUUGAAAACAUAGGUAGAAGGUAGAUUAUAUAAAUAGAAAUUUAGAGGUGGACAAAAUGUCUAUGAGCUAAAAACUAAAACUAAAAACGAAAAAAUCAAUUAGUUAUCACUUGAUUACUUAAAUGAUUACCAAACGGAGCAUAAAAUACAAGAAGCAAUAGUGACAAACAAGUGAACAAGAACAACCAACAACUUCCCUAAUCUACUCAAUAAUACUAAAGGAUAACACAAUCCAUAAAACAAACGCAAAGGAGCCAUAUAAUUCAUUCUCAGAAAUGCACAGGUUGUAGUACCAUAGAUUCCUCAAUUUGGAAAGCAAUCCAAAUCAAGAAGACGCAAAUAGACGCAGCAAAUAGCAAGGGAAGAAAAAACCAAAUGCAAACCUGUUUUCGCCGCUGGAGACUCGUAGAGGAGCCAUCACAACUGUACUGAUCUAGAGACAACAAUGCCAGUCAUAAUCCAUCACUUGAAAAGUCGACAGCAUCAUUCCACAGAAGAAGUGAAGCAAAACCUUCAGAUUCAAGCAACAAAAACAAAAAGAAUAGAAGGAAGAGACAUUAGGCGUAGAACACAAUCAACGAUUUCAGAAAUUUCAAAAACAGAACCCUAAAUAUAAAAGAACAUGGAGUUUAGUAGUUACAGAGCUCCUCGAGCAUUUUCCGGCAAUGUACACGAAGAAGAGUACCGUAAGCCGUAAGCAUAUUGAUCAACGCCGGAGAAGAAGAAGAGAGAGCAAAACCUUCGGAUUCAAGCACCAAAAACAAAAGGAAGAGAUGCAAGAGAGAUUAGGCGUAAAACACAACAAACGAUUUCAUAAAGUCCAAAAACGGAACCCUAAACGUAAAAUAAAAUGGAAUUAUGUACUUACAGAACUCCUCCAUGGAUUUCCAGCAAUGUAGACGAAGAAGAACAGUACCGUAAGCCGUAAGCAUAUCGAUCAACGCCGGAAAAGAAGAGAGAGCAUCCUUCGGAUUCAAGCACCAAAAACAAAAGGAAGAAGCAAGAGAGAUUAGGCGUAAAACACAACAAACAAUUUCAUAAAUUCCAAAAACGGAACCCUAAAUGUAAAAUAAAAUGGAAUUAAGUACUUACAGAUCUCCUCGAUCGAUUUCCAGCAAUGUACACGAAGAAGAACAGUACCGUAAGCCGUAAUUAGCAUAUCAAUCAACGCCGAAGAAGAAGAGAGAACAUCCGCACACAUUGAUUGAGAACGAUUUGAGAAAUUAAUUUUCAUUUAGAAUCAGCGAUCGGUUUCUUGGAGUCGACGAUGGAUCGGCUGAGAAAUUUGAUUAGAGGAAAAAGACAACUGAACUGUGGAGUAUUAUUUUGUAGCGUAUGAAAGAAAACUAACAGAGAGAGAAAUGCUUUUUGCGUUGCGCCCCCACCAACAAACCAUGACACGUGGUUUCCUUUUAUACGCGAUCUGUGUGCAGCCCACUAAAAUAAUUUUAUGUUUGGAAAAAUGGCCUACUUAGCGGUAAUACGACGCAUCCUUCGUAACAAUGACUCCUUAUCUAACCGUCGACAUGUGGCCCACCAUUUAUUUAUUACUUUCUUUUGCAUCACUAAUUCAAACUUUGAAGAAAAGCCAAAGAUUUGGGAUUUUAAUUUUUAAAUUGGAGCGUUUUGAAAUUUAGGUUAACCAAACAAUAUAUUUAUAAAAUAUAACAAACUUUCUUCCUUCCAUUCGUGUAUCUAUUAGAUAUCAAUGUCUUAUAGCCUUUUAUCUAUGCUUCUAGGAGAGACUUCUAUUUGAUAUUUUGUUAUAUUUUAUAAAUGUAGGAUGUACCUUUUAAAUGUAGCAAAAUGAACCAUAAUAAUUACAAAACAUAACAAACAUUCUAUAAUUAGAAACGAAUAGACUUCCAUUAGUAUAUAACAUUAGUUGUAAAUAUUUUCAAUCGUUUAUCAAAUAUCAAAAUAAUUGGAACUAAGUUCGAAUAAAAAGCAUAAAGAGAAUUUUCUACGUGGGAAUGUAACAAAAAAAUAAUUUGAUGUAGCUAUAUAAUUUCAUUACAAUCACUCUUCAAAUUCCAAAACAAUCAAUUUGACACUCUCUAUCAUAAACAACCUGCUCUUGAAAUUUCACAAACAACAAUUUCUCUCUAUUCAAUCUCAUAAAUCAAAUUCAAAAUUAAAGUUUCUUCCUCCACCCUAUAGAAUCGUUGAUGAAUAAUGAAUAGUUCUAUAACUAUAUCUUUGUUGCUGAAUCGCCAAUCUUCUCUUGAAUGAAAGUGCAAAUGAAUAAUACUAUAAACAAACUUACACUCUGACCAUGUAAACAGCAAAUCGAAAAACCAUAACGUCUGGCGUAAAACAUCUGCAACCACAGAAAGAAUACAACAUGAGUAACUUAGAAGAUGAGGAAUGAAACAUGUAACAGCCAUGCUGAGUUUAUUGGAAGAAAUUGUAUCGAAAUGUUCGAAUCCAGAACUCAAAGAAAACAUGAAAUAUAUAGUAGAAGUUACAAGAAUCGAGUUCUCGAUAAAUGAAUAACGCGUCUCUGCUGUGGUAUUGUAUGUAUAUAAAUUAAUAAACAACAGGGUCUAUGAAGAGGGCAGCACCACGAAACCAUAUGAAAGAUAACUUGAAAUAUAUCAAGAGAAUAAUUAAAGCUACCAAUUUACAUCAUAUCAUAAACAAAUUGCAUCAUAUAACAAUUCAGCAUGGUGUGGUUAAUAUAGAUUUGCAUUAACAACAUUAAGUUCUAUAAAGGUAACUUUCUGUGAAAAAUAAAUAAAUUUGGAAAGCUUCUAAAUGAGAUGCUCUUUUACCUUUUGUCUAUAUGGGAAGCAGAACACCAGAAAAUUUGAUGCAAAGAAAACUGAAAUAUUGCUUAUAAAGAAUGCCCCGAUUGACAACAACUCUCAAAAAUGUUCGAGAGUGAAGUGAAGUUUUGGAGCCCGACGUCGAAAUAAAGGCUCGAGGCGGAAAGAUGGAACGCCAAACUGCCAUCUUUUAGCAUCAUACAUUUCAUUCCAUGCCUGUACGAUCUCAUCGAUUUUGAAGCCGAAACCUGCAAGCCCAAAAUAAGAAGAUGCUCUAUUAACAACAGAAAAAGAUUGUGUGAAAAGAAAAGUUGAACAAUAUUGCAUUGCAUCAAACAGAAGCUCUAUUCUCUAAGGAGGACAGCUUGUGCUUUACCUUCCAGUGCUGUUUCAUUGGAACAAUGAUUCUUUAUCAUAACUGCAAUAUCUGUUUGGGAAGCCCCAGCAAGUUCGAACUUCUCUACCGACACUUCCAAACAUUCCUCCCAGGUUGGUAGCUCGAUCUUAUAUUCCACGACAGAACGCUCGUACAACAAGGUGCCCCAUAAAAGGUAUAUCUGUGAUCUCAUGUUUGAAGCCAACUCUGCAGCUUCAUCAGCAGGUAUCUCAGUGAAUAGUUUUUCCAAUCCCAAUUUUUCUAACUCAGAUCUGUAUUUUUCACUUUUGGAGAGUCCAUUCAGGCGUUGUUCCUCUAUUUCUUCCCACAUCAGCAUGCCCUUCUCCAUGCUGUCCUCGGCCUUGUUAUAAAGUUGUAAGACCUCUGUGGAGAAGCUCGAUUCCAAAUCGAUUUUGCUUCCACUAGCAAUAGCAUAAUACCAGCAAAGCUUAGCCUGCUCAAACUGCUGCUGCCCAAGUGCAAGGAAACCUUCAUAGAAGUCAGGUUUUACAUUUAGAGCUUCUUCGUAUCUCAUUUCGGCUUUUUUGUAUUCUUUUCGUGCCCAUUCAUAUGCAUCCUUAAUCCGUAGAAGUAGAGUUUCUCUCGAACAGUCUUCCGGAAAGAAAACCUGCUUCCUUGCCCUGGACAUGUGAACAUUGCCCCAGUUGAAGAAUGCCAGAGCUGCCAUUUCUUGAAACUUAUCAGCAGCAAUUUCAAAAAGUUCCUGUGCACUAUCUCCUGUUACAGAAUCCUCCAUCGCUUCCGAGUACAGCUUCAUUCCAAGCUCAUGAAGAUCCAGGUAUGAAUCAGAAUCAACCGCAACAUGGUUCUUGAACAAUCGUGCAAACUGGACUAUCCAAUCCUCAACCGUGGUCGUUCCCCUUACAAUCUCUUUGUCAUUUACGGAAUCCCCAUUCAUCACCACUGUAUUUUUUCUUUUAUCAAUAGCCUCUGGAUGCUUCUCCUCGCUCUCGAUUUCCUUGUAGGCAGGUUCCUGAUCAGGACUAACCUCUGUGAUGUAAAGUCUAAGUGAACCCUGCGAUUGACUAGAUGAUUCAACCGACCUUAACUCCUCUGUGGUAGUAAUUGUAACCAGAUCACCCUCUUGAUCUCUGUACUUCACAAGAACACCCUUCAAGCUUGGAAAUCUGUCGCGAACUAUCUCGCUCACCAAUUUUAUGCUGCAGUUUGUAGGUAACUGUGCCCAUCUUAUGUCUUCUCCAAAUACUAACUUCACUGUCCUUGAGACCGGUUUUUCCUCAAUCGGUUCAAUGAACAAUUUGUCUUCCUCAAUAGUAUUUUUUGUAACUUCCUUAUCUUCAACCUGAUCAACUUGAAUCACUUGAUCAAUCUUCUCCUCCACGAUCAACUUAUCAUCUGUCUUUUCAUCAACUUUCUUAUUCUUCUUCUUCCUUAGUUUCUCCCUAACUACCUUUCGCAAAUGCGCUCCGGGAGGUAGCUUUACGCUGGCCAAACCAAUUUCUUUUUCAUCAACAUCAACACCCUUUUCUCUCAUCGUCUUCUUGACACUAUCCAAAAUCUCUAACGCAGAGAAGUUGUUAGGCUCCAAGCUCAAAACAGUAUUGACAUCUCUCAACGCCAAAUCAAACCGAUUCAAAGCCUCGUAACACCUUGCUCUCUUCAACAACGCCUUGCUGUACCUUGGAUGAGCCUCCAGCGCCAAAUUACACUCGUUAAUCGCCCGUGGAUACUCGCCCAAUCCCAAUUGCAUAUAACACGCAGCCAUGUUGCUAUGAAGAUGAGCAACAUCAAUAUGAUUUUUCGGCAAAAGCUUAAGAGCUUUCUCAUAUUUCAACAUGGCGCCUUCAUGAUCUCGCUUCUGAAAUAGCCGGUUGCCUUCCUCCUUAAGCUCUUGGGACAUGUUUAUGAAAAUCGCCGUGUCUUCAUCGAACGCCUUCGAGUUCCGGUCAGAAGGCCGAGCAGUCUUUGAAUUAGCAUUCCCAGGCUUCUCCCCAACAUUUUCCUUCUUCUUUCCCGUUGGCUUCCCCAUUAAAAUAACACAGAAAUGACAAAGUUGCUGAUUCAAAUCUCAAAUCCAACCCUCCUCACUCUCCUUCCUUUCUAAUCCUCAAAUCAUACAAAACUCCAUCUAUUGAAAAUCCGUGGAAUAUAGAAUACAAACUACAGAGAGGCAAACGAAACAGGAAUAGAAGCUAGAGUAAUAAAAUUGAAAAAAAAAAAAAAAAAAACCCAAUCAAAUACGCUUCCCAACUUGAAGAUCGAAAUUACAAAACUCGUACAAAUCUUAGUUGAUGAACGAACAAAAGAAACGAAAAUCAAAGAAGCACGUCUGUAUACAUGUAUCUGGCUUCCUCUUAACUGCUCCGGACCUGAAAAUUCAGAUUCUGAAGACGAAAAUAGGGAGAGAAAUCAACAGAAUCGAAUGGAAUGGAAUGGAAAUGAAAUCGUUGAGGCGAGAAUUCCAGGAACCGAAGAAGGAGAUGAGGAAGCCAGAUGGAAAUGGAGAAGAAAAGGGCGCGUAGGAUAAUGGGAGAAAUGAAAUGAAACGGAAUAUUAUUAAUAUUAUUCUUUCUUCUAAUAGGCCUCUAGGGUUUCGGGAAUGGCAGGUCAACAUUUCAAAUGAUCUUGUCAAUCCCCAUUGUCAUUACCGCGCAUGUCGCUGCUUUUUCCUUUCUUUCCUAUUCAUAAAAAUUACAUACCUUUCACCCUUCCACCCAACAUAUUUGGAAACAUUUUUUUAUUUAUUUUGAAUUCAAAAUCUCCAACCUAAUUAAUUUAAAUAAAAACAUUGGCAUUUGCUUUUCGAGAUUUUUCAAUUAUAAUAAAUAAAUAAAAACUAUUUAUACUCAUAAUCAAUCAAACAUAAAAACUCCUUAUUAGUUUGUCUAUUUGGUCAUUUUUUACCAUUUUUCUUUGUUUUUAUUGCCACACAUUAGUUUAACGUCCUUCUUUUUGCAUCGAGAUGUUAUUUUAAUUUCUGACUUACCGUCUAACUUGUUAGUUUCAAAAAAAUUCAAUUUUAAUGUUGGGACAAAAGAUUGUUCUUUGUAGGUGGAUGUCGCGACGAAAAUACUUUAAAUUUUUAAAUUUAUUUAUAUCGAAGAAAAUGUUAAAAAUAAAAAAAAUUUACAAAAUAUUUACAAUAUAUAACAAAAUUUCAAAUUUUAUCAAUAAUAAAUAUUGAUAUGGCUUCUACCAAGAAUCCAAAAUUUUGCUAUAACAUGUAAAUAUUUUAGUUUAUUUUAAAAUAUUGAUGAAUAUUAAGUGAAUAAAAUAUACUCAACAAAAAAAUGGUUAAAAACUUUAGAGUAUAUUAACACUGUGAAUACAAUUUGAAUUUAAAAAGUUAUUGAAUAUAUUUUAAUGUUGGGAUUUAUCACAAAUAAUAAAGCUAACUAUUUAAAUUACAUAGAAAAAGCCUUAAAGAAAAAAAUUAUUAAUAAUUGAAUCAUAUGCUUAAAAACUUAUUUAUUAAAAGAAAUAAUAAGUAUUUCCUUCAUCGAAAUUAUACGAAAAAGGUUUUAUAUUUUUAAAAUGUGUGAAUUGAAAGAAAAAUAGUGUUAAUUAUCAUUUAAUUAUGUUUAUGUUGGCACAUUGAUAUUUGUUUAUACACUAAUAAAGUGGUUGAUUUUGAUUUAAGUACAUAGAAUAUCAUGAUUGAUGAAAGAUCAUGGAGUGUGGAUUUUCUUAAAUUAUAAUAUGGUUAUAAAUUUAGGUUUUAAAAGGCAAAUUCUUGAAAAGUAUACUGUUUUAUUAAAAAAUAAAACAACCUCUUUCUUGAAAAGGAAAAAAGAAAAAAUGGACAUACAGACUCACUGUUGUUUAUACACUAAUAAAGAUGUAGUGGAAUUGGUUGUACUCCAGCCCUAAUUACCUUACAAAGUCUCCUUCCAACAUGCUCAAUUUCAUACCUUAAAUAAAGAAAGAGGUAUUUUAAAGGUUUGUUUUUUAAAAUAGCAAAAUAAAUUAAAAUAUUUACAAACUAAGCAAAAUAAAUUAAAAUAUUUACAAACUAUACCAAAAUUUUGAAUUCUAUUACUGAAAAAUAGCAAAAUUUUGAAAUAUAUUACUAAAAGAGUCUUAUAUCACUCUAACACAUCAAUGACUAUCAAUGAUAGAAUGAUACUAGAUUUGAUAAAUGAAAUUCUGUCUCAAAAUUGGUAAUAAAUAGUUCUAUUUACCAUUUUAGAUAUGAAAAUUUGUAAGAUUACUUUUUUUUUUAACAUGAAUCCUCAACCUCAAUAUGUUAAAAACUAUAAUCACAUACGAUCUAGUUUUAAAAUUUUAAAAAUAAUAAAAUAAAAUACAAAUUUUCUAAACAAAGCAUUUCAAUCUUUUAAUUGCAUCGCCUAACAUUUCUUCCCAUGUUUUAUUUUCACUCUUGUUCUUGUUCAUACUUUCAUUUUUGAUCCUUGCUCGCCCUUCCUCUUGUUCUGCUCAUUUUUUCUGGUCAAAUAAGCUUUUUUGACCAAUUUUUUAAAAAGUAAAUCAUUAAUUUACUCUCCAUAUUUUGUGCACACAUAUAUUAUAUAAAAGCAACAAUAUAAAUUUAUGGGAGCUUAGGUGAGCUGUUUAGUAAAAUAUGGGAUCGGUUCAUACUACGGAUUAUGGAAGAAGGUGAAGAAUAUUUGUAAUUUGUGUAAAGGGAAUAUGAUCCUGGUUUGUCGUGCCUUGUCUGCCACACUUAUACUUGUGUGCUCUAAAAUUAUUAUAUAAUAACGGUGAAAACGUCAAUUUACAAAUGACAUAAUGUUCUACAAAGCAACAGGCCAUUCACAAAAAUGUCUCACAUUUAAAUAUUAGAAAGAAAGUGCUUGUAUUUCCUAAAACAUAUCAACCAUUUAAAAUCUAAUAAAUAUGCCAUUUCAAUAGGUUGCACCUUGAGUAUAGCUUACUUAACUUAUAUGUUAGUAAUCAAAAGUUUUGUGGUCUGAGUCUCUCUAACCAAAAACAACAUUUGUACUUUCCUUUGUUACAUUAAGAGAGAAUAUUAGACUUACUUAAAGAUACUCAGAGAACAUAAUCUCAAUCCCAAUAGUAACUAAAGAUAUCAAGAAACUAACAGAAUCUUAACAAUCAAAAAACAAACUUAAGUGUAUUCUAUCAUUACUAUCCACACAAGAGUUUUUUACCACUGAACCAUAUUCAACUAUAUUGGACAUGAUUUAGUCCCAACAGAGUAUGAACUACAUACACACAAAUGCUGCCAUAUAAGCUUAUCCAAGUUAGAAGCACUUGUGAAGAUUUUCUUUUAAAGAACAUUAAUCAAGAUAAGUUGACUACCUACGCCUACGCUAUUAUUUACAUUUUUGAAGCAUAUGAGAUCCAACGUGGUAGGGGCCAUACGGUGGUUAAACUUUACACAAACUAAAAACUAGUAAGAAAGGAAAAGCAAACCUGCAAAAAUCAUGGGCUUAUUUCGCAACUCCAGCAGCGAGAGAAAAGCCCCAUCAUUCCUGCCUCCACAGGCUGAGCAACGUCCCUCUCUCGAUUAUGUAACACUCUUACAAAUUCCUCUGAACUCAGUUCACCAUCUAAAUUUGUAUCGAACAGAUGAAAAAUUAUGUCCACAACCUCGUCCGAGAGAUUGAUGCCACACACCUGACAUUACACAAAAUCCGCCCCCAAGACAAAAUCAAUCGUUUGUUCUUCAGUAUUCAUAAUGUAUAAAGGUUAGAUGGAUUUUGUUUGGUAAGAAGGUUGGUUAUAAACAUGAUACCUGUGAUGCAGCACGUUGAAAAUCGUUCUUUGUCAGAAGGCCAUUUACUUUUCCGUAACUAAAUAAUGCUAGAGAAAAAGGUUGCAAUUUUCUGCGUAGAGUAUCGAAAUCCUUGAACUCCUCCCAUGAAAUACGAAUGUCCAUAAAAUGUGGUUUAUUGUCCAUUCUACUAACUCGAUCGAGCAACUCACGUAAACGAGAUGAGUCAGCUGAGGCAACCAUGGACAAUGCAAAGUCCUUUGCAGAUAUGGUUCCUCUUAAUUUAUAGUCAUAAUGUGCAAACUCCAAUUUCAGCAUCUACAACACAAAUGGAUAUUUUGGAGUUCAGGAUUUAAAUAGAAGGCAAGUGAGCAUUUUCCAAACUGCUUCAUGAUCAAACAAUUUUGAAAUGACGCAACAAAUCUUUGCUUUUCGCAACAAGUUAGUUUAGAUUGAGUCAUAGAUAAAAAAAAAUUAGCUUGGUAGCAUACGGUUACCUCAAUCUGCAGAUCUUUCAUAAAUUGGAUAAAUUUUUCAAGUUGGAGGCCUGCGUUUCCAUCUUUACCAAAGAAGUAUUCUACAAGGCCUCCAUUUUCCACACAGCCGUCAAAGAUUAAUCUGCUACGAUGUCCAUUUCUAUGUUGAGCGCCUUGUCGGUUAUGGGACCGCAUCAAAGCCAUAACUUUCUUGAAUUCUUCCUUAUCAAUCUCUCUACAAAAUGCAAUAGCAAUACUGUGUUACACAAGCAACAUUUUUAAUGAAAUACAUGUAAAUUCAAGGAGGUUAGUGGUAGUUUAAACUGUUCUAGGAAUUCAAAAUGCAGCUAAAAUAUGCUUAAACAAACAAAAUAUAUUCAAAAUGAUUAUAGUGUAAAGCUCAAAUGCUAAUAUAAUGAGAAUAAAACUAUCAAGCAUGUCACCCCCUAAAUGGCUUGAAUCAUUGAAGAUCCUUGAGAAAAUGCUAACACAACAGACCACAUGUAAAUCUCAAUAGCCUAAGUUACCGAGCAUGCAUUCUAUCUUUCCAACCGCUGGUGUAACUUAAAUGUGUUAGGAUUGUGUGGAGCCCCAAGUAAUCCCACAACAUUGACAAAACUCCACGAAUAAUGGUGCACACAAGGAAAACUUCACUUAAAGUUAGUUUAGGGCUCCACCCCAUUAUUGAAUGGGUUAACAUUUGUUAUUUUAUUAGUGAUUACCUAUUUGCCUUUAACUUGUGAAGUGAGAAUUCGAAAUGCAAGUAUAUUUUACAAUUAUUUAUAUCACAAUACGAUUUGACCGGGCUCAAAAUUGCAAGACUAGUGUCUAGAGACUAAAAGUAAAUUUAUUGAACAAGGUUACACAUUACAUACCCAUCGUUGUUGAGGUCAAACAUUUUAAACGUAACAAUAAAACUCGAUUCUGGGAUGCUGAGUAGUGUUUUUAAAAAGAUGUACCUAUUAAGCAAAGAAAAGUAUUGUCAAGAUUGAGUAUAAUAACGAAGACUAAAUGUCAUAUGGCAAACAUGUGUAAGCCUGCAAUGACAUGGAAUGAAAAUAUAAUCUCAUAGCACAAUGUAAAUGAAAUAAGUAACAUAAAAAUAUAAAAUGGCUUACUCUUUAAAAGAAACAUGCCCAUCAUUGUUUAUAUCAAAAAGCAUGAGCAAAUUAGAAGGAGCACAACGUAGCUCCCCAGGGUUUCUUUCCCCGCAUAAAUAUCCAUCUCUUACAAGAUGUGACUCUGAAGGCGGAAAGACAGGAAUCACUGCCCGCAUGAGAUCCAUUGGUGUCAUGAGUAAUUCACCAUCUGGAGCACGAAAUGAUGCAAAAUACUCAUAGACCUUCAGGAAAUGAUCAGAUGGCAAGAAAACAUGUCAAAUAAAACAAUCCUUAAAUAACAAGAUUUAAGAGCAAACUAACCGAUCCUUGGACCAAAAUUUUCCUACAAUCCAGAUUUAGUAUUUGCAAAGAAAGACAACUAGUUUACUGGAUUUGGCUACAAGAUUAUAACAACUCACACGAUUGUUAGUAAUGCUGUCAAAGAAAACAUGAUGGGAAAAAAAUCAUAUUAUGCUUAUAAACUAUGAAGUUGAAUAAACUCUAAUCUUUGAAUCAAUUUAGAUUGAUUUAUACUUAUUUUCAUUUAAAAUAAGCUCAAAAAUCAGGUAAUUAAAACUAUACUUAUCCCAAAAUCCCACCGAAGUAGCAAUAAAAAAUUGUCGCACAAUUCUAUUUUAACUAGGUAGCGGAAGCAGACAGCUCGUAUUAACAAAAACCGUUUCACUAUAACUAUGUUAAUUAACACACUCCCAGAUUUAGAGGUGUGAAUUGAAUUUUUCCCCCAAACCUAAAUAAAGAAAUAGCACAUAAUAAGCAGAAUAAAAGGCAUAAUAUACCUUCUCAGGAGGACUGUACAAUCGAAUCCGUUUCUCGUAAUUGAAGAAUACCUUUCGACGAAACUCCUCUGCAAAGACAAGUAGAAAGGAGCAAAGUCAAAAACAGUAACUUCAUUUGAUUUUCAUCCAUUCCAACUACGAUUACUCAUCUAAAAACGUAUUCAGUAAGUUCAAUAACCCAACAUAACUACACACAAUCUCUCAUAAACAAUUCUACUCCCCUAAUACUGACGAAAGAACAAACAAAUAAGAAAUGGAAGAACGAUUACUUGUUUACCUCCAAACAGAAACUUGGAGGAGAUUUCAGGAAGAGAGAAUUUCCGAAAAAACGAAGACGAACGCGGGUGCUCGACAACGGCAUCUUCAGCACUAUCCACAACAGCUGAAUCGGCGAAAGCUAAUGUUGGAGUAGCAGAAUUAGCAGACACACAGACAAACCCUAAUCCAGAAGCAAGCAAAAUUCCUGACGACCAUUUGAGAAAAGAAGAGAUCCAGAGGCGAUCGGCAUCGGAAGUGGAAGGUGAAGCCGAGGAAGAGGAUGACUGAUUGACGGAAAGCCAUCGGAUGGAGUAGAGUGAGGGAAUGGACGGCGAUGAUCUACGGAGAGACCGUAAAGGCAAAGCCAUUAGCUAAAAGUGUUGGGAGUUGAAGUUGAAAAGAGAUAGACUGAUGGGAAAGGAAAAAGGAGUCCCCGCGUUUAUCAAACGUGUAUUCACCAACCCCACUUUAUUUAAAGAAAUUGUAUUUUGCACCAUAAUUUUGCUCUUGGAAGAAGAGAUUUUCAAAUAUCGAAAAGUGAAAACUAAAUAGAGUAUAAUUUUGUGCUGAUUAAUAGUUAAUUGUGGCCCAAUUUAGGGCCCAAUUUCUUGGACUUUGAUUUCCAUUUUACCCAACAAUAGAUGACAUCUUUGCUUAGUCCACACUAAUUGUUGUAGUUUACGAAAUCUAACCCAAAUAUUAUGCACUCAAAAACAUAUUGUAUGCAUAUAUAUAAAUAUAGUAUGACGGUUCAUUAAACCCAAUUUUAGAAAUAAUAAUUAAAUAUAUAACAACAAUUUUUAAAAAUAAUAAAUAUAGAAAAAUCUAUCUAUAGACUAUCAGUAAUAAAUCAAUAUUUGCUACAUAAUCUACGGAGAUAGACUUGACAUAUUUUGAUUAUUCGUAAAAAAUUUAAAAUGUUUCUCCAUACAUAGUUAUUUUGAACAUAAUUGCUAUAUUUAUUGCUGUAUUUGUAACUAUCCCUUGAUAUGUAUGGUAGAUUUUAGUGAAUUGCUUGCCAUACUGAUUGUAUAGCUCAACUAAAAGAAUUAUAUUAUAUAUGUAUAUAUAUUAGCCAAAAUAUAAAGUUUGUUGGGGAUAGAUUUACUGGAUAGAUAGAUAGUUUAGAGAUAUAGGAAAUUCAAGGACACUGAGAGCUGGAUAUGGCAUACCAAGGCCAAUACGUCCAACCAAUAGUUAGUCAUGGGCAUAUAAGACCAAUACAAUUGAUUGUUUGAGAUUCACGAGGGAAAUUAUUGUCCCAAUUGAUGACCCAUGACCAGGAUCUUAGAGGAGCUCGUGUGACCUAGUGAGAGCCUAUCUAGGUAGCCAAAAGACCACAAAAAGCUCAAAAGAGCACAGAAAGAUGCCUAACAAUAGCCCAAAUGAUCCAUAAAAUGAGCCUAGUGGUAGUUUAGAAGAAUUAGAGAGUACCUCGAAGAGUCUUGAAUGACCCAUGAAUUACCUUGGAGUGAGUAAGUUUGGAAUCGUGUAGAUUAUCAACAAACGAUUCGUAAAGGAAUCUUUAAGGAGUUUUAAAUGUUGCACUGAAGCAUAGGUUACACCCCAUAGUAGUGGUAGGAGUAAUUGAUUAAUUCUAAAAAACAAAAAGAGUUUAUUUGUAUUUUGAAAAUAGUAAUAUUGGAACACGUGUAAAAAAGUUAAUCAUUAAAUGCAUAAGUUACCUUUUUACCACCUUCUUUAUCUCUUAUCUUCUCAUAUUUAAAGGACAAAAAUGAAUUGAUUGAGAUUUUUUUAUGGUUCUCCAUGUAUCUAUUUUGUGUUUCCUCCUUUAAGCUACUAUAUUUAAAUACGCAAUUUGUUAUUUUCUAUAACUUCCUUUUCUAACAAAUAUUAGUUGUAAUAACUAAUUUCACUUCGUUUCUUUACCAAGCACACAGAUUGAAGCUUUUGUAUAAGAUAAAAUCACAACAUUAAUGAUUUUAUAAAUUUAAAAGAGACAACUUCCAAUCUAAAUCUAAGUUUUCACCUUACUAGCCUAUCUAAAUGAUGGAAGUCAUCACUUGAAUAUACACCUAAAAUUUAAAAUUUGACACUUCCUAGAUUUAAGAAGAUUUUGAACCAAAAAAUUCUCGAUGAGUUAACCUCUUAUGGAAUGGCAUCGGACCUAUUCUAUCCCCUUCAACCUCUAUCUACUAAGGGAUUCAAUCUAUUGGGAACAACCCUUUCCCACUUAAUUAAAUCAAUAGGCUUUUUUAUUAAUGAAAAUGAAAUAUAGUGAUUGAAAGUUCUAAAGUUAUACACUUGGAGAAACAAAAGGGACAGCUGGACUGCAAUUAGUGGUUUUUAUUAUUAGAAAAACGUCUUUAUUAUUUUGUUACUGAAAGGGAAAUUGUAAUUUAUUUGGGUUUUAUUUUCUUUAAUUAUUGAGAUUUUAUUGUGUGGGGAAAAUUGGGAGUGUAAACUAAUAAAAGAAAGAACAUUCCAAAAUAAAUUGACACGGAAUGGCAAUGCCAGCUGGCGAGCUGAGUAGGCAUUCACCGAAAAACGCGUUGGUUUGAGAAUUGAGUUGCCGCCCACUGUAUGCAACAUUUUCAUACAAAUACAAAACCUUUUUUCGUUAGUGAAUUUUCAAAUUUUCAAAUUUUCAAAAUCAAAUUCCACAAAUGUUUAAAAAAUACACAUUUUAAUAAAAAAAACAAAGGAAAUUUGAAAAGUAAAUUAAGGAAAAUUGCAUCACACAAACAUUUCAAAAAAAUCGCUAAGUACAUGUAUUUAAAAAAAAAAACAGAAAUAUUUAAAAAGUAAUAAUUUAUAAUAUUUUUAUAUAUUAUAAAUAUAACAAGUAAUUAGUGAAGACUAUCUAGAUCGGCUUUUAAAUUGACAUGCAUCAUAUUAUCAUAAUAAUUUUUUUUGUUAUUUUGUUAUAUAUCUCAUCUUUUUAAUUAAGGAUAUCAAAUUGCUAUUAAAAGAUUAUCGAUUUUUAAAUCUACUCAUUUUACAAUUAAAAAGAUAUCAAAUUGCUAUUAAAAGAUUAUCGAUUUUUAAAUCUACUCAUUUUACAAUUUAGAAAAAUGUAGAAAGAUUAUUAGAAAGUCAUUAUUGACUUUUAAGUUUAAAGAGAGACAUGAAUUUUAUUAUAAUUAAUUUUUACUAUUUGUGUGAGUGUCCCAUGUUCUAACGUGAUAAAUAGCCUAAAAUAAUAUUCUUAAGACUGUUUAUAUUAAAUAGAAUUUAAAAAAGAAAAUCAUUUUAAUUUAAACUCCUUUGGUUGGCUAACAUUUAUUUCAAAAUGACACUUGAGAGGAUGCUCCCAAAUGGGGUCACAAGAAUCUCGGGGGCACCGCCUUGUAUGUAUAGUAGAUGAGGGGGUCCCUCUUAAUUUUCUUUCUUUUAUUAACUAUUUCUGUUUUGUCUGUUGAACCAUCACGCUCAUUUCCAGCACAAAAUUGUCCCCUUCUUUUUUAUAGAAAAGUAGACAAUCAAACUUUUUAUAAAUUAGAUUUUACUAUGUUUUGUAAAUUAAUUUCAGUAUUUUCAUAUUUUCUGUAAAUGUCCAUUUCUUUGCCUUUUCUUCUUCAUUUUUCUUUUAACUUUUAAUCAAGUUUAUCACAAUUUAUAGUUUUUCACUUUACUUCUGGUAAAAGUUCCAUUAAGGUCCAAUCCAAUGGGGGCUGCGAUCAGUAAAUUCCGCCAAAGUUUAAUGUAUAUAAUUUUGAUCUUCCAAUAGUAAAAAACUCAAAGGUCAAAAUUUCAUCUCAAGAAGAUCAGCAUAGGUUUCGUGACGAAAUUUAUCACCGGGCGGCACUUCCUUCCUGCACAAAUAAAAUAAUACAAAUCAUAAAACAAAAAUGAAUAAAAGUUAAAGUUUACGGUUACAAAAUAAAAUAAUAAAUACCUGACACGGAAUGAACGGGAAGGGAGUAAACGGAACACGUGAAACGACGGGGACGGAAUCCCAACGCUGCACACACAACGGAUUUGGAACGGUGACAUAUGUUUCGUCGGACGGCGAUAAAAAUCCAUUUGCAAAUUUGUUUGCAAGAGAUAUAGAUGAGUUCAUGUUGAAAAGAUGAUUAGUCUUCGAAUUUGAUGAGUUAUUUGUUUUUGUUUUGUUUGAAUUUAGAUUUUGUUUGUUGUUGGGUUAUCAAAUUCAAAAUAAAAAUGUCCGAAAUUCUCCUUCCACAGCAAAUGAUGUUUAUAUGUACAAUUGGUGAAAAAUUCGUCGGUUUUAUCUUCUUCAAAUCCUCUGCCAAAAACCACGAAGGAUUUCGACUGACGAACUAUCCCCUCAGCGUACAAAACUCGGGGAGCCGACGCAGUCCCGCUUCGAAAUCAAAAGCUGAACUCAUCACGAGUCAUAAACUCAGUAAACAAACAAACACAAUCUGAAUUUUGAUUCUACUAGAUUUCACCACUGAUUCCUUCUUGAAGAUUAUGCUCUGCGUGUGGUGUUUCUUUUUCGCUAUGAAUUCUUAAUCAGAAACGUUAACAAACCGAUCCUCUUCGUCGAACCUGAGAUCAUAAAGUUUUAGACAUCACCGUACCUUCUGCAAUUUCAAGCGCCGUCGGCGGCUUUCGACAUGACAGAGAGACGACUAGAUCUAGGUUGAAAUGAAGCUCUCCUCCUCUGCUGAUGCGAAGAAGGACGAAUCAGUGUAGUCAAUGCUCGUUUCACCAACUCUCCUUCCACACCGCCAAUUCUUACGAUCGAAUUCGCCAUAGCCGAUCUCCACAUAUUCAAUCUGGUUGAAGGAAACGACACCACUUGGCUAUGCCCACCGCCACUCGAAACGUUUUUAUGAAGACUACACCGGAACGAGCCUGGAUGCGUGGUCGGAGAGCACAUACAAGUCCUCUUGACGUUAGACACCGGCCUAUUUUUCCUGGAAACGAUAACCGAUCGAUUCGGAGAACUCGAACGAUUAUCAAUAAAAAAACGGACAGAAGACGUAAGAGAAGGAGACGAAUAAACAUUAACACGGCUGGGAGAUGUGGAUCUCGUAUGAUGAUUAUGGUUGGGAAAAUCACGAUGGUCAUCGUGACGGAAAGUGGAAGAAGACGAGUAAAAGGUUGAAGAUGAAGCAAACGCGGAGGUCGAAGAGGACAAAGAAGGAGAGUUACAGAAUCGGCCACCCGGUGAGAGUGAGCGUAGCACCGGGCCGCUGGAUCUGGUUUUCGAGGAAGAAGAUGAGGUCACCAUUAGAAACGAAAAGAGAGAGAAAAAGAGCGAAGAAGAAGAAGAAGGCUUCUUAGUUGUGCUUCCCUCUAAGGGGCCCCUCGGGGCGUUAGUUUGGCAAACCUAACGAUUCUCAAAGGCCGAUUUUAUAGAAUAGAGAAAACUGGGUUAGAUGGUAAUUAAGAGAAAAACGAGGGCAGUUGUGGAAAGAAGUGGAGUCAGUUGACUUAACCAUGGUAGGGUUAAAGAGUGGUUAGGGUUUGGGUUGGGUUAAAGGAGCGUUGGGAAUCUUAAUCCAACGGCUGGAAGAGGAAUUGCUGAGAAAGAAGACGAAAAUGGGAGCCGUUUAUCCAAGAGUAAGGAGGUGGCAGAAUGAGCCACGUGUUAAGAUGCUCUGACAAGAAAAAAGGGUGUGAAAGUACGAGAAAACCAGAUAGAAAGUAUUUUAAUUGCAAUUUGACAUUGGAAGAGGAUAUGCUAAAGCCAAGGUAUCCAUUGCGUGAACUCCACGUAGUGUAACUGUAAAGAUUUCCUCUUCCUUGUGAUUUGUGACGGGCAAACCGUAAUGUAACUCUCACCAUUCUUCCAACACAAGAAAAUAAUAUUAACAAUAAUAAUACAUUUUUAACAAUCACAAAUUAUUUACAUUAAAUUAUAACUUUAGUCUCCUACAAGAGAUUGAUUUGGGUUUGUUGUUCCAUGAACUAGAUCAUUGAGUUUUAUACGCAAACUUUAAUGACAUUUAUGGCUAAUUAAUGUGAAUUUGGGGAGAGUUGGAAGUUAGAAAGAGAGAGAGAAAAAUAAGAGAGGGAUAUUGAAUAAAGUGAAUUUAAUUUUUCAUGUCUGACUUUGAGAUCAGCUUAAUAGAUUUUUAAUUUUUGAUCCACAGCUUAAUAGUCUCCUACCAAAAUUUGUGUUUAUCGCUGGUAAAUUGAAACGCUCCGUCGGCUCGGCCGCAUAUUGUUGACGAAAUUUUGUUGAUUGAGUCGUUUUUGUAUGGUCGCUGUUGAACAUUUCGUACGACAUGUCGAAAGUUCGAAAAAUGGAGGGAAAUGGUAAAUAAUAAUAAUAUUAGAAGAAAGGUUAGAGAACGGGAAAGUUGGAAAAACAAUGAGUUGACAAAUCCAAGAGAAGCGGAAAAUCCGCAAUUCUUUAUUUUUUUUGGUGGAUCGACAGCUGUCUCUUUUUAUUAGUUUAUAUUUUCUUAUUCUUAACUAUUUUCUUUACUUAUAUAACAUUGGGGUAUCUUAAUUCAAAUUAUUUUCAACUAUUAAAAUCUAUUAAAUUCCAUAUUUUAAAUUUUUGCAAUAUCUUCUAAAUAGUUUUAAAUUUUUUAGUUCAACAUCAAUUUUGGUUGAUCCAUUCUAAUUCAAAUUUUCAUUUAUAAUUAUCUUUUCUAAGAAAACUUAGUAGAAGAUAGCAUAAAAAAUAUUAAAUAAUAUGGUCAUGGAGAUUUAACUCUUUAACUCUAAUCUCAUCUUCUAAUUUCAAUCCAUCUCUCAAAUCCUCGUUCCACAACCCGCUUUUAAGUCAAAAGAAAUAGCAGGUGAAUAUUAGUACGAGUGAUUUCGUUCGAUUUUGUGAGAAAAUUACGAGUAAUCGAGAGCUACGAAGGUAUGAUAACUUUUAACUCUAGUUCAAUGGUUAAUUAGAGAAUUUUAAGCAUGAUAGUUUGUAAAACUAUAUUAGAUUUAAUUAGAGUAUUUUUUAUAUGAAUUCCCCUACUCAUGGAUGAUGAUUUGUCAUCACUAGCCUUGGGUGUCAACUUAGAUAUAUAGAACCAAAUUAGGAUAAUAUAAAAUUUGUAGUAAUUUAAAAAAAUUUCUUCUAAAAUCAAGUAGGCCCUGCCCCAUAUACUCAAAACAUUAACAAUAACUGAAUAUAUAAUUUAAUUAAAGAGAACAAUAUUUUAUAAUGUAUUUGACAUUCGUAUUGUCAAUACAAAUAUAACAUUAUCAUUGAUUGUAUAUUUUAAGUUUUAACACGAAAGAAAACAAAAAAACAAUAUUGGCCUUUGAUUUCCCAGAGGGUUGGUUACCCUUAUCCGCUUGAAAUACACCAUUUAAAUAUAAAUUUGGCAUUCCUACCUCUCAACUAACUAAUUAAUUAAUUAUACAUAUAUAUGUACAUUAUUUAGCAACACUCAAAUGUUUUAACUAAAAUCACAACAACCAAAAAAAAAAAAAUAUAUAUAUAUAUAUAUAUAUAUAUAUAUCUCAUUGAGGAUAGUCGAUUUGUUUGAGUCGCCUUAAAUACAAGCUUCGAACUACUAAGAACAAAAGAAAAAAAAAACUUUUAAACUAAGGAUACAUAGAUUAGGUAAUUCAUGUCAAAUGUAAUAAAUAACAAUUACACGUAUCUCAAACUUUGUCUAAAAUGUUUACCUACACCAAAACUGACAAAUAUCCAUUGUUACCAAUAAUGCUUCUAUUUCCAUUUUUUUUUAUCUUUUUAUUCCGCUCGUUAAAAAAAUUAUCUAUAUAUUUUUUUUAAAUAUCAUAUAUCUAUCAAAAUAACCUCACAUCAAUGGGUUAUAGUUCAAAUUAAAUUAACUAAAAUAUGUACAUUGAUUAAGACGUGGCCAAACAUUUAAAUUUCACUCCUUAUUACAUAUUGUUGAUCUAAAAAUUUAUAUCGUGUAGAAAACCGUCCAUAGAAAAUAAUGCACACGCUUAUCGAUACGUAUAGUUACAUAUUAUACAUUUUUUUUGGGAAGGUGAUGAUGUAAAUAUUAUAAAGUUUGGAUAGAGAACUAUUGGGGAAUAAAAAGUGGAUAGGGAGUGGGAAGAAAAGGAUUAGAGAGAGCAAAUCACAUGGGAAGGAAGGUGGAAACAUUAAAAGAGUGGUAGGGUGAUUGGGAAGCAAAAGGGUGGCACCUUCCAAUUGCCUCUCCCACUCAUAUGUUGUGUUUUUUCUCAUAACUCACAAAUACCUUUUAUUUUUUGUAUUUUUUAUUAUUUAAUAAGUAAAGGAAGGAUCGAACCUAAAACGUUACCGAAUGGACGUGCGAUAAUUAUUAGUAUAAGUAGUAAAUUAUAUAGUACUAUCGAAUAUGUAUCUUGUAAUUAAGGUUGAACGAUAUUAAUAAAAUAUAUAUUUUUAAAAAUUAUAGCGUGAAUAAAAGGUAUAGCGAAAAAGAAUAAUUUAAUGAGCUUUAAGAAGUUGAAUGAAUUUCGAUAUAUUUUGUGAAUAAUUUUAAUAUUUUGGUAUGUUUGAAAAUAUCACAAAAUAAUGCGUAUUUAUUUAAUACAAAUAAUAACAACAGUUUUUACUAUUUGACAUUCAUAAUUUUUUUUCAUUAUUUACAUUAUUUGUUAUAGUGUUUACUAUUUUCUUAUCAAACUAAAAUAGUCUGAAAAUUGUGCACAUUUUAUUCACACUAUAAUUUAUUCGGAGGGUGUUUAAAGCACCAAACACAUACAUUAUUAUAACCCAAAAUAAAAUAAAAUAGUCCUCAAAUACAAGCUAUUUUAAAUAAACUAUAAUAACUUACUCGUUGCUUUAAACACCCUUUGAAAAUUCAUGAAAAUCGUGUUCGCGUCAGCUUGAAAGUCAAAGAAGGUAGAGUUAAACUAUUCAUAUAAUUUUAUAUUUUAUAUAUAUAUAUAAUUGUAAUGGUAUACACUUUUAAAAAUUAUAUUAAAAAUAACAAAGCUGCUGAAAAUAUUUACAAAAUAUAGCAAAAUAUUAUAUUCUAUCAACAAUAGACGACGGUAAAAAAAAUCUAACAAUAUCCAUUAAAUAUACCGAUAGAUAAACAACAAAUGUCUAUCAAUAUUUAUGAUCGAUAGAAUCUAAAAUUUUGUUAUAUUUUGAUUAUAUUUAUAAAUGUUUUAAUAUUUUAUUUUUUAAAAUUUAUUUCAACAAUAGUCGUUAUAUUUUUUUAAUUCCAAGAAACUAAAAAAAAAUGAUUGAGGCUAAAAUAUUAUCUUAGUAGGCCUUACGUGACGGCUGGACCCCUACACUUCAAAUCUCAUAACUAAAAUAUAUGUUUAGUUCUUAAAAAAAAAGAAAGAAGAUUACAAAUGCAUUAAUAAUUUAAUUUAUUAUUGAAUUUCUACCUUAUUAAACCAUGUUGGGUCCAAUCUCCAAUCCCAAGGCUUCAAGAAUUCAAGCAUUUGAAUUUAUAAUUAACUUCCAUGGCUACAAAACCGUCUGACUAUUAAACUUGUAUUAAACUAAAAUACGACUUUAAUUAUUGUGGUUAAUUAGAAACUCUCAAAUUAAUUCUACAACAAAAACUUAGUGCAAUUGCAUCGUGUAUUCUAAAACUAAUUUAUUGGAUUAAUUUUUUUAAAAGAUUUUUAAAAAUAGCAAAAUGACCAACUAUUUAUGUUUAGUAUAAUAAAACUACUCAAAAAAAUAAAAUUUGUUAUAAUUUAUUUUUAUACUAAAGGGUAAAUAUUUUGUCAAUUAUUAUAUUUUUUUUGCAAUUUCAAUUAUUUUUCGACUUCAUUUAUACUAAAAAGAUAUGUACAAAGAUAUUAUGAGUAUUUUUAAAAAUAGUAAAACAAAUUAAAAUAUUUACGAACUAUAACAAAAAAAUUUAGACUUCUCACUCGCUAUGAUACUGACUGACUAUCAAAUAUUUGUUAUUAAAAUUUUACUCUAAUUUAUAAAUAUUCUGUCAAUUAACAAUUCCCAAAAUAUUAUUUUUAAUUGGAAGGUUUAUCAAUCAACCAAUUAUGUUGAUUUAUUGUUUUAAAUCUAACUUAUUCAAAGUUAAAAUCAACUAAGUUUAAUCAAUUAGAUCAUAAAAUUGAAAUAACAUGCAAGGAAAAUCAUCCAUCUUCUUUUAUAUCUUCUAUGAUGAUAUUAUUUAGGAUAAUAAAAUUGAAAAAAUCCUGUUUUUUUUUUACUUACAUGCUAAAAUAUUUAUUUAUUUAUGUUAUAUUCAAACAUAGAUGGUACAAAUGCAAUAUUGUUUUUAACGUUAUAUGUUAACAAUCAAGAAGUUGGUCGCUACGUAAUACGUAAUUUGUAAUUUGCUUUGAUGUAAAAUGAUAGUUCCUCCAUGAAAUCAAUACAGGAUCAUGGAGCUAUUUUGAAAAAUGUGAUUAGACUAUCAUCUCCCUCAUCAUAGGUAGUAAAGAUUCAUUGAUAUCAAUUUCUCCAACUACCCUCUUACCAUUAACCAACUACUUUUUCUGCCAAAGGAAACAAAAGAAAAUUUAUUCCCAAGAAAAGUAAGGUGGGCAGAGCAGAAACAAGAAAAUAUCCUUUCUUACAAAUACUUCCAACUCCUACAAUCUUUCUCACCAUCUUCUAUCAAAUAUGUUUACUUUAAGCUUACCAUAAUCAUGUUAAUCACAUAUGAAACUAUAUGAUAACCAACUCUUUCAUAGACCUUGUUUCCGAAACGCCAACCAACUACAACCGCUCGAAUCGGUCCCUCUAAUAAAUGAUCCGUAAUUGAAUUAACACAAUCUAAUAGUCUUCUUUUCUCUCCUUUAGUGCCCUUGCAAUGCAUAACAAACUAUAUGAUAACCAACUCUUCGUAGACUUAGUUUCCGAAACGCCAACCGAUUACAACCGCUCGUACCAGUCCUUCUGUUCCAUAUUUGAAUUCAAUGGCUAAAUCACAAGCCAAAGAACAUGUUCAUAACACAAUCUAAUAGUCUUCUUUUCUUCAGUUUCGUACGCCGGGAAUGAAUACCAGCAGUAUAGAAACAAGCUGGCUAAUACAGCAGUGUCGAUUUUGAAUGAAAGAAUAUCGAAAAGUAGGUCGGCAUACUAAAGAGAACUUUGGCAUAUCAUACAUUCAUGGAAUUAUGCAAAAGAAGUAUAAGUGGGUCCUUGGAUAUUGUAAGCUAUGUUAACAGUGGAAAUAAUCUUACAUUUACACUUACAGUUUUCAAGAUUCUUUGGUUCCCUCCAACUCCUCCCCAGUUGGUUUAGAAGCGAACCCUUUUCCAGAAGCACGAUGUUGCCGUUCUCGACCAUAAAUAAUCCAUAAUAUCAAAGACAGCAUAACAGCAAUGGAGACGGUUGCUAAUCCAACAUAGACCCAUCUGCUGUAUUGUUGUAGACCGGGACAAAAAUUUCUAUGGAUGUCAUCAAAUGUCUGUCGAACAAACGUGCAAUCUUGAAGCUCGACCAAAGUAGGACUAUAAUUUAAAAGUGCAUAACUUAAAUUAACUCCGCUCGCCAUCUGGCUGUACAAGCUUGGAGUCAACCGCCCUGUUGUGAUGCAUAUAUCACCAGGAGGCAAAACUUGGCAGACAUAGUUGCCCCAUACCUGCUCAAAGAAAAUAAGGCUUUUCAUUUAACAUUUGUCAGUUGAGAAUAAUAAUUUCACUGUCCUAUCUGAUUUGAGAGUCAUAUGUCUUACUUGUGUAGCAUUUUGCAAGUCUACUUCACCAGAAGAACAAGUUCUUGGUGUCAAAUCUGGGUGAAAUGGGUUGCAAAGUGUUGGCAUAACCGGACCAGAUUGGUUGAAGUACAUAGGUUUGAAGUUGGGCGAAAAAUUUAUGUUGGAAACAUUGGUGAUCACCUCAUUGACCAGAUCGACAAGUUGUGCACUCACUUCCUUGCUUUUUAACAAGGUUUCUUGAGCAGUCACUUUAUCCACACAGGGAAGAAUGUCAUCUAAGGCCGUAUGCGCAGUAGGAUUGUGAACCCACUGGUCCAUUGCAACACAAGUAUCUGCAGCCACGCUACAUAUGAAGGUGAAAAACAUAUCAGAUUUCAUUGUUUAUGAAUUGAAGGACAAAGAGUGAAGAAAGAACGAUAGGAUAUUGAUUCCAUCUCUCCCUGCCCCUAGAAAGAAGGGAAGAGAAGACGGUGAACCCAUAAUUCAAAUGCAUAUGUUCGUUUGUUUUCUACGAAUGAAUGCUUAGACUCACGCGUAACAAUUAGAUCUACUAGCUAAUUAAUAUUUAACCAUAGGCAACUUGCCACAGAAGUGGAAUUCUAAUUUCAAUAAGAAAUAAUUUCGCAUUUUGUAGAAUUCACUUCAUUUCAUGUAUGCAUUGUACGAUUGUAUGAAGAAAGCUUACUUGUGGAGAACAAGGAACGUGCCAGAUAAGAUGAAUGUCCCAGUUACAAGUAACCAGCCAGUUAUCACCAGACUGCAAUAGUAUACAAUGCAUCAUGAUAGUUGUUUAAGAAAAUACAAUGUUAAAUAAACUAUUACAAAAUGGCAUACAUGAAGAGAAGAAAUGAAGAGCAAAAGAAGCAAAAGGCCAAGACCCCUUUUGAUUACAAUUUCACUUUUAGUUUUUGUUUUUAAAAUUUAUGCUUCUUCCCACCUAAUUUCCAUAUUAAAGUCAUUAUAUUUUCUUUUUAAGGAACAUUAAAAACUUUUUAGGUCAAAUUAUAUAAGCAUUUGAGAAAUAGUGGAUAACAGAAGGAAAAAACUUAGAUGUGGGACCUAUAUGUUUCACUUACAUGUAGACGAGAAGUUGCAUACCAAAUAUGGAGAAUACUGCAAGAAAAGUUAUAUCAUACUAAAACGAGUAAGAAUCACAAAAGGAAAUUUCAUAGGUAGAGAGAAAUUAAGGAACUGAUGAGCAUGUUUAAAAACUUAGAAAGAGCUUACAGAAUCCAAGAAAUGUCAGCAGAAGCAUGAUAGCUGCAACGAUUAUAAGAGCCAGACGGCUGCGGUGUCUGAAGAUUGUCAGCUCGUGACCAAAAUAUAGGAAACAUAUAAAAAGGAAAAAGAGAAGUGAAGGCUACACGUACAUAGAAUCAAGGAGAUCUUUUAUGUCAUUUGAGUUGUGCACAGUUUUGUCAUCAAGAAUACUAGCAGAAGAGUUUAUCUUUAUCUCAAUUUGAUCAAUGUCAGUUUGAACAUCAGAAGGCAGAAAAACUUGAUCCACUCCAGUCUGUUUGGCUGCAGCAAAAUAAUCGGAAACAUCGCGAAGCUUUUGAGCAGUCGAAUCUGCUUGACUUACAACAUAUUCCAAUGUUUCUGAUGUACUAUUGUGAAACCUUCCUUGACCAGUGUAUAAAAUAACACAUCCAAUGCUGAAACACAAGAUGAUGAUAGCAUAAGCUUUCCCCACCGAGAUAUCAACCAAAUACAUAACAAGUGGAAGAGAGAAGGACAGAAUAAUUACAUUGAUGCAAUGGAGAACAGAAUGAGGAAAAGAAGUGAAAGAGUAUAAGCCAUUUGAGAAUAGCCAUACGACUGCCUUCCGCAACAGAAGUAACACAGGGAGACGACCAAUAAGCAAAGCCCAAAACCCAAGAGCCAGGCUGCAGCAACAGCAAACAAAGGAACUGCCGUGAAGCCAACAGACUGUAUCCAAAUGCAGAAGCACAAAGUAAGAACAAAGACAGUGAUAUAUCUUGGAUGGAAUGAAAAUGCUAAUGAAUGGAAUACCCUCUACGAGAAGUUCUAUAUUUAACUAAUGAAGGAAAUCAUCAACCAAUAAAUUAUAUGGAAAUAAGAUUAAAUUGUUUGCUUGUCUUAUAUUCAACAGGAGCAGCUCUAACUUUUCAUAUAUUUUCCAAGCAACACAACAGAAGUUGAAUGUCCUUACAAUGUAACUUCACAGAGGAAAAGCAACUUAUGUCAAAAUUUCAGCAAGGAAUUGAGUUGGAUGAACGAACUUACAGCCCAAUAAUGGCGCUCGCUGAUAUUCCACCCGCUAGUGUAAGCUUGAAAGCCAUUAAGAGGAUCUUUUCUUCGAGUUCUUUCAGCUGCCAACACAAAUAACGAGUACUCAACAGGCUCCAUUGUAGGGCCUUCCACAACAGACCCACUCGGACUUACCCCAACAAGUUCCACACCGGAGUAAUAGUCUUCAGUUCUCCAUUCUACAAAAUAAUACCCGUAAAAACAAGAAAGCAGCUAGAAAAUCAGUAACGAUCCCUCUUUGUGAACGUUAUCCUUUUCAAGCUGUUAACAAAAGACAAAAAACGAAACAACCCUUUUCACAAAAUACGUUACGUUUUGGAAUGAAACUAGAAAAAAUUGAGAGCAUGAACCUGAAAUGGGUGGAAUUUGAGAAUCGCCAUGGGAGAAGGAAACUAGAGCAGGGGAAAAGCAGAGUGAGAAUGCAGCUAGAAGUAGAACUGAAAACGGAGGUGGCCUAUGACGUGGCAUUUUGAGCGGUUCGUAGAGUGAGAAAGAGAGAAGUUUUCGACGGUGGAGCUGAUGCUUGCCGGUGACCGGAAAAAAUGGUGGUCGGAACUGAAAAUGGUGGGAAGAGGAAUUAACAAAACGUUGGAUAUGCUUUGGAUUUAUUUUAGUUUUAUUUGGGUGUGUCCUUUAUUUCUCUGCUGUCUCACACUUGUAAUAGUUGGGAAUUUUUCUGACGACAUUACCCUUCCGUCCGUUAUGAUGGUUUUGGAAAAUAAUAACUACAAGAAGCAUUUUUGUUCUUUGUUAUAUUGUAUAUAAUAUGAAAAAAAUUCUCAUAAAGUUUUAUUGUUGGUUUCAAAAUUACUCUACUCUUUAUGGAAUUGUAAAGUUAUUCUUUACAAACUAUUAUGGGUGUCUAAAAUUUCUAAUGAAAAUUGAAAGUGUCAUGGGGUUUUUUUCUUUAUAAAAUUAAAUGAUAGAAUUCAAGUAUUAAAUAUACUUGUAUUUAAAAAUAGUAAAGUGUUCUUGAGAAUGACAAAAGGAAAAAUAUAUUCGGUGGUAGGAAAUGGUAUCUAGUUGACUAUUAAACUUUUCUUUAUACAAACACAUUUUAAAAUCAAUCACCAUAAUUACUAUUAUUAGAAUGGUAAUUGUAAAAAAUAACAUUUUAAAUAUUUUAAUUUAAGGGAAGAAUGUGAAUUUAAGAACUAUAAAAAUAUAGAGAAAAGGUUGGAGAAUUAAAAUCCAUAAAUUACUAACCUAAAUUAGAUUUGGAAAUUUUGCCCGAUGGAAGACGGUGAAAAGGCGGGAAAGGUAGGGGCAUUUACGUCAGAAGAAAAGACGAGAAGGGGUUUGAUUGGGCCAGGGGAUUAUGAAGUGCGGCCCAAAUAAAAUAUUUAUAUUUCAAAAAGUGGUGGGUCCCCAGCAAGGCUCGAAGUCCGAUGAAGGAAAUUUUUGUUAGCUUUUCUGAGUUUUGUUUGUCUGAAUUUUGGAGUACGCAAAGGCCCAUUAAGGCCCACUAAUUCCGCCUCCCCUUUCGGCUUUCCAUAUACCAAAUAUAUAUAUUAUAUAAAGAUAACUUUUUGCUUACCUUUUAUCCUUUUUUUGCCUUCGUGCUCUUCUCUCCUCAUGAUUGCUAGAUUAAUCUAAUUCAAUAUAAUUAGUUUUGAUUAUUCUUCCAUGCAUUAACAAGUGCUUGGCAAUAUCCCUAAAAGGUUGUUAGCUCGUCAAAAUGAUUAACGAGUAGUUUGUGAUAAAUUUAUAUAUUAUUAAGAGAAUUAUUGUUUAUAAAAUUUUACUCUAUUUUAUAUAUAUUUUGAUACACUUUCUUUUGUAUACAUUUCAACUUGAAGUCUUGCAAAUAAUCUUGCGAAGGAAGAAAAGUUUUAUAUUAGAUUUUUAUUCUCUAUGGUAUUCGUUAUGAAUUGUUUUAGCCCUAAAACCUUAAUUAAAAAGUGUAAAGAAAUACAAAUUUAUAUUCCAAAAAAUUCACACGGACUAAAACCUUAAUUAAACUAUGGUUGAUUUUAUUGUUGGUUAAAGAAUGUUAAAUGAUGACGUAGUAUAGAAAAUAGUUCUUAAAUUUCGUUUUCUUUAAAAGUGAGUAUGAUAGAUUGAAAAUUUAAGAUGAUUAGAUGAAGUUUGGGUUCGGCCAUGUAAGAUUAUUUAGGAAUAUUAUUUUCUAAUGCUGAGAAAAGUCGUGUCGUUCCUGCCAAAUUGAACCCGUUUUUUCAAACCUCUGUCUUUCACUUUUUGACCAUAGAGAAAGAAACUGGCGCCCACUGCACGAAAAAUGCACCAUACUCGUGGGCCUCGCUGGCAAGGCAACAAAGAUAGGCCCACAAGAAAGCCCACAUAAAACAUUCUCUCUCCACUACAAAUCUCUUACGUAGAAAUAACACAAACACUUCUCUAUAUUAGACUUUUUUUUUCUUUCCCUCUCAUUUAAAGGAAAAAGGCUCACUCAUAUCUAAAUAAAUCAAAUUAAAUUUAAAAUAAUUAAAUAUAUAAUAAUAUUUUAAAAAUUAUAAAUAAAAUGUAGAGACUAUAUAGUAAAUAUUAGUUUAUCAUAAAUAAUUCAUAACAAGAGAUCUAGUACGAAUAUAGUUUACUAUAUUUGCAAUUCUUUUAAUGUUGUUUUGUAUUUAAUAAUUAUUCUAAAAUUGAUUAUCAAAAAAUAUUAUUGAUACUAAUUAGACGAAUAUGUUGCUCAAAAUACCCGAUUUACGAAUAUUUUAAAUCAAAUUAAUAUUAAUUUAAUAAAUAAAAAAUAUUUAUGUACAUCAUGACUAUUUACCUUAUAAUGUUUUAAUCUACAAAUAACAAGUAAAUAUAUAUUGUUUGAUAAAUAUUUAAUUUUCUUUUACAAAAAAGACUUAUAAAUAGUACUGAGGUUUUUUUAUUCUUAUUUUUGCUAUAUACACUUUUAAGUGUUUUCAAUGUUGAAGGAGUCUUUGAUAAAUUAAAUGAUUAUUAGUAUUGAGAUUAUAAAAGAAAGGGUAUGUUUGACAUUUCACAUGGUUUUUUUUUUAGAUUUUGUUUUUCCAAUUUAUUUUGAAAACAACAUUGUUCAUUUAGUUAUUAUGAAAUAGAAAUAAAGAGAAAUUGAAAAUACAAUCAUCUAAUAAAAUAAGAAAUUCUUUUUAAAAGUAAACAAAUUACAAGUUUCCCAACUAAUUCAAAUCCACACAAAAUAUGAGAUAAAAUUUCAAAGUACUUUUACUCGCAAUCAAAAUUUUCACUCCAGAAAACAAUGCAUAACCAAACAUCUAAACACACUUUUUAUUUUCACUUCGCUAAGAUUACUUACAAAACAUAAAUUAAUUGAAAUAUCACAAAGAACAGUUUUUAAGUUGAGCUGAUUCUCAUUGAUACUUUCAAUCUUUGAAAUCUCGCCUGCAAGUCGCCGGUGGCCUGCUCCGGGAAGCCAUAGCCUCCGUGUAGAAGGCUUGCAGCGUCGUCGAAAGCGGCGGAAAUGAAAGCUUCCCUUCAAGAAGAGGAUUAGCUUCAAUGCAUUUCUUGAUAUUUUCCAUCACAACUUUCCUUGCUUCUUUCAUGUUUCUGUAACUUGAAAGCAACAUGUGAGACCUGCAUUUCAUGAUGAGUACCGAUGACAUGUUACAUCAUGUUCUUGAAAAAUAGACAUCAAAUAUAUGUUCGAAUUUGGUCCUUUGAUUCCAAUUCGAUUACAUUAUUCUUCUUAAGAUUUUCGUGAAAUAUCAAACAUGAAGAAGUAACCAUCUAGUAUAUAUUUGUUUACUAUCUGUAGAUCCUAACAUAUAAUAAAUAGAGUGAGCAUGAAAGAUAUCAAGAAACUACGACGUGGUGUGAACCAAAAUCCGUAAUUUUAACAUUAAGGAGAGGAAAAUCAUAAGGAAUUUGAAAACUUGCAUAAAGUUGUCCAUUUGGAGAAGCUCAAAAGCUUGCUGGACCAACCCUGGAUUAUAUUGAUCGAAGAUUUCUAUGUCCUUUUCAACCACUUCACGAGCAACCUCUCGCUCUCCACUGCAUAUAGGUUUCAUCAUAAGUUACUUAUUUGUCCUUUUAAUUAAUCCCACAAAUUAAAUAUUUUAUAAUUGAUGCGUACGUACUCUGUUAGUGCUUCAAGGAAUUUGAGCUUUCUAAUCCCAAAGUAGAUCUUUGUGGAAUAAAUAUUAUCGUGAAUAUCAGUGAAUCCACAAAGGUAGCUUUCAGCCUCGUUAUAAGCACAACAGUUCAACAGCUCCUCAAAAUAAGUCAUGUUGAAGAACAAUCCCGUUUCACAUUCCAAUCUACAAAAUAAACGAAAUAAUUACACAAUCAGUCGUACGUAUACCAUUUAAACGUGUGAAUAUAUACAAAAUAAUAACAGUAAAAAUCUCUUACGAGCGAGCAGUCUCAGAGAGAUUUUGGUGGUCGAGGAAUUGGAGGAUGAGGAAGAGCAAGGCACGAUCGGGAUCGGGAUCGGUGGCCAUAUCGAGCCACACCGUGCAUGCAUACGAGAAGAAGAACUGAUGAAACGAUCGAGAGAGGUGGUGGACGAAAAUGGUGGCCGGAAGAGGUUGAAUUUAUAAACGGGAAUUUGGGGCCACUUUGCAUAUGUCAUUCAGUGUUAGUUGUAACCGGCGAAUAGCCUCACCUUGUUUUCGUGAAUGGUAACUUCGCCAGGGAUGGAACUAUGUGGCAGUAUGACCGACACGUGUCUAUGUAUGAUGAGGUUGUAAAUUAAAUGUAACUUCUAAAUUGGAAAUAUAUAUUAUUUGUGAAAACUAUUUUUAAUAAGUAAAUUGAUUAAAAACAAUAGAAUUAUUGCUGUAUUGCCAUUUGAAGCCAUUAGGGAUGAGAAUGAGGUUUUUGUAACGGUUGCUUUCGAGGCUUUAAUAUGGUAAGGAAUCUCACGUUGGAACUCUACCAUUAUAUCAAAUAAUAUACAUACACAUAAAUACUAAUAAAAUUUUAAUUUUGAUAUAUGGGAGUUUAUAUUUAAUUGAAUGUUAAGGAUUUUUAUAUAUUAUACUCUAUUUUCGUAAAUUUAUCUAUUAAUUUUAAAGAAAAGUAAUAAAAUCACUAAUUUUAGUAAAAUAGUACUUAUGAGGUUGGGAGAUCAAAUAUUCAUAUGAUAUACUAAUUAGUUUUUGCUAAUCUAGAGUUGAUUUGACUCUCGAACCAUAUAUACCUUAUAAGGUAGUGUUUGACAAAAAGAGUGAGUGAUAGAAUACUUUUGUCGUUAUGCAUCGCAAUAACUAACUGUAUCAUUGAUAACAGAUAGUUAUUAAUAUUGUUGUUGUUCGUAUUAAUCAUGGCGAACGGUACAUUUAUGAUGUAUAUCUAAAGAGUUGUAUAUCAUUAAAGCUAGAAAAGCGGUUUUGGUCUAGGUCAACCACUUUGAAAGAAGACCAACGAAUAAAAAGAAAUUUGAUCUUGUUAGUCCCCAAGCACGUGUAUGAUCCCUAGCUUGUACAAGAUAAUUUCUUAGAUAAUUAUAUAUUAGGUAUCGUGUACUAAUAUAUAAAUGAUCAGUUAUCUAUUCCAGAUAGAUAGAGAUAAACCAUUGAUUAAUUAUAAAUCAGUUAGAUUUAACAAAAUCGUUUAGAACGAGUAAAACAUUGAUUUUUAGCGCGUGCGUGUGACCGAAUAAUCGUAGGAUAUUUUUAUUAUUUUACGUCGUAGACUUUGUUGCUUUUUUCCUUUAUUAAAAUUAUUCUACAUGUGUAAAUAUUUUUCGCAUUUUGUUCUAAAAAUCCAUAUAUAUAUAACAAAGUUCAUCUUUAGUACUUAAAUUAAUAUAGAAAUUCAUAUUGAUAGCAGUGUACAUAAACAAUCAAUGAACACAAACCUUAUAUUAUUGUCACCAAAAACUAUGAAUCCACAAAACUUUAUUGCUAUGAUUAAGUAACCAAACUAACAAACCAACAACCAGUGAGUAUUGUACUGAAUAUUUGAAAUUGAGUAUAAAUUUUGCACAAUCAAUACUCUGGUUUUUUUUUUGGAAGGUAAUAAGGUGACUAAUAAGUAUACAAUAUGAAAAAAUGAAAAGGGGUUUGAGGCAAAGUUUAUACAUUAUUUAUGUAGAAAAAAAAUUACUAAACAAAUCCUUUUUCAUUAUUCAUGUGUAGCAAACGUAAACUUUUGAAGUGGGAAGUUGUAAUAGAUGAUCUUGUUCUUACUUUUCUUCUAAUCUUUUAUCUCUUUGUUUAGAGGUAAACCGAGUGACCUAACUCUCGAUCCAACCUAAAACAUGAUGGUUGAGUUGGAUUGGAUUAAAUAUUUAUCAGAUUGAUCAAAAAAACUAUCCUAACCCGAGUAUGAAAUACCCCUCCUUAAGAUCUCCUUUCCACUGGUUUUUUUUCUGUUUCUGCAUUUUGUCUCAGCUAUAUGAAUCACUCUUCCAUUAAAAACUGAUAGAUUAUUUGGAAGUAAACUACAUAUAUAUAUCUUUUUACAUAUAUCCCUACAUCAUUUGCAUUAAUUUUGAAAUAUAUAUGCAAAACUUACGUAAAAUAUAUUUUAGAAGUCACUUGAAAUUAAAUUAAUUAUUCAGCAUAGAACGUUUAGAAAUUUCAGUCUACAUGCAAAUUUAAUAUGUUCUUCGGCACCAUUGUAGAACAAAAGCUGUGAUUGAAAAAAAUAUACAAAAUAGUCGAAGCUAAUCAUGACCAUUUAGUUUCUCUUUGUGUUGGUAUCAAAAGCCUAGAAUGGCUGGUUAAUAGAAAGAAAAUGUAUUCCCUAGUUUUUCAAAAUUUAUAUUUUAAGUUCACAAGUUUUUAACAAAUAUAUGUGUUUCAUAUGCCUAAGUUUUCAAAACAUAUGUUUUUAGUCCUGGAAUUUAAAAAUAAUUUGAAGUAAUUAAAUUCACUUUAAUAUCAGUUAAAUAAUAUACAUGUAUAUAUAAUUUUUCCUGUCAAAACAAAAAGAGAACAAUAUAAAUUUAUUGUAAAUAAAACUCAUAAUCAAAGCAAAAUAUUUAUAUAUGUGUGUAUAUAUAUUCAUAUGUGAUAAUUUUGUCCUUUGUUGUGUUACUUCUCCUUCACCUUGUUUCCAUUCUCGAUCUUCGUUUCUUCCUUCACCUUCUCCUUUGCAUGAACAUUCAUAUUUUGCAGAUGAAGAUUUUAUAUCUUCUUUUAACUAUUUUUUACAUAUAGCAGCAGAAGACCAAAAAACUAAAAACCACGAUGGCAAAUGACAAAUGAAAACUUUCUUGUAGCAUAAAGACCAAAGUGAAAGCUACCUCGAGACUUGGCCAUGCUAAAAUGCCCAUUUGACAAGUUGAGUAUAAUACAACCCAAAAAUCUAUUGUUUUUCCUUCAAUUGCAAGAAAACCGCCGAUACAUAAUACAUUACUAAAAGAACACAAAAAGAAGAUUAAAAAGUCAAAGAGAGGAAAAAGAAGAAGAAGACGAAGAUAAGAAAGUGAAGAAUGGUUUGUGUGUAUAUAUAUUAAAUAUACAUAUAGACUUGAAGACUUGAAGACUUGACCAUGAGUUGUCCUAUAUAUUCAUGCAGACGUAGAACCUGACACCAUCUGCCACUCUCCUAUUCACUCUCUAUUCUUUUAUAUAUUCAACUUUAAUUCUUUUAUAUUUUUAAAGAAAUUAGGACCCUUUUUCAUUCAUUUGUGAAACUGAAUAAGAAAGUGCAGUGGGAGAUGUUAGAUAGAAAGCAAGCAAGCUAAGCCCCAGAGAAAAUCUUCUGAUACAGAAUAUUUACAUUGUCCUGUUGUUAAUUUAUUUGAUUUUUGUGUGCUUUGUCUCUUUCGCAUUUUAAGCCCUUAGCUUCGAAGUUUCAUUAUGUUCUCUAGUAUAAAUAGAAUGCUAUGCUCUCUGAUUAUUUGAUAAGAAAAAAAUAUAUAGCAACUGUUGCUCUCUAUUGAAGUACUGUCAAAGGGCAGUUUGUUAAUGUUUUGAUUGACAGAAAAAUCUUCAUUUAUGAUUUGAUUGUUGUUUUGUUUCCUUGUUGAGUCUUCCCUUAUUGUUCUCCCAAAAUGUUGUGGGAUUUGUCUUUUUCGUUGUUGUUGGCCUCAAUGGCUGGUUGGUCUAUGUUCUCUAGCUUUGGGAGUUUGCUCUAGUGUGUCCAAUAGAAAACCUAAUUGCGUGCUGUUAUUUGGCAUGAAGAACGAUAUGCAUACUUGGUUUUAAUAGUUGUUCGAUUUCAAUAAUUUGUUCAAUCUUGAUUGAAAAGUUGAAGUAUAGUUGUUAGAGGAGCCUAAUCCUACUAUAUUGCUAGAGAUUAUUUGAUUCACUAAAAGCCUAUUCAUAAUACAAACCAUAAUUUGAUCUAUCCAACAAAUUUGGAUGUUAAUUUUAAAAUCUCAAACUAACGGUUCACACAAAAUUUUCAAAAAAAUAUAGUUCGUAAUACGUAGAAUUGAACUUUAUAUAUUGAUCUGUAUAGUGAAUAUAGUCUCUAAUAUUUACUUAUUUUAUGUUUUCUCUCGAAUACAAAUUAAAAUUUAGAAUUUUUUUAUUUUCGGUCUUCAAAAUGGUGCACUGACAAGUCUAUUACUUUGGAAUUUAAGAAAAGUUUGAUUUUCAUUCAACCAAAUAUCUCCUUAAAUGUAUAGCAAGAGUCUCUUGUUGAAGUUGGGUUUGGGCCCAUAUGCUUGUUGAACUUGGGUCUGAGCCCAUUUUGCUUGUGGGCUUAAUCUUGAGUCAAUUUGUCCGUUGGAUUUGGACUUAGGUUUGAACUCAUUUGCUUGAGUCCAAUAUUUCUUUGGUCCACUUUUUGCCGAGGUUGAAUUUGUUGGAUAUGAGAAAAUUUAAUUAGAUUAUAGAUAUCACAAUUUUGCGAUGAUGUGGUAUGAUAUAAUUGAUCAAAAUUUGUUGUUCAACACUAACAUUUAGCUUGCAAUUAAAGCUAUAAAUAUAGCCGAGGUUCGGGAUUCAAAUAUUCAAUCCAAUAUUAUAUUACAAUACCUCAAAAGAACCUAUAAAUAUAAUUUACCCGGAAGAAUGUUUUAUUUUUGUUGUUGUUUAGUCUAAAACUCGAAGACAACCCCUCCAUUUCCUUCUCCAUCCCUCUUGAGUCCACCACUCCUUCCUCUUCCUCCAAACACCCACGUCGCUGGCGGUCACGCCUGCUGUUGCAGAUCCGGCGGCAUGAACCGAGUCCGGCCGAGACGGUGGUGACCCAAACGGAAGUCACCUACCGGGAAAUCUGCAGCGAAUUGUCAGAUUCGCAACCUCCGGUAACAGACUGGUCAUUUUUCCCAUUUAAGGUGAGGUUUAAUAUUUUAGUCUUCGACUGAUUUGUAUAAGAAUUUUUCGAAAAUUUCUGUUUGGGAUUUCAAAUAUUUUGUUUAAAUAACCUUUGGAAGUAGAACACGUUUUGUUUGGGUCUCAAUAAAAUAAGAUUGUUGGAAGCAAUACUGUGUAGCAAUGAAGGAAGAAGGAGAUGGAUCGAUGAAAUCCAUUAUUAAAGAUGAAGAGAAUGCGGUAGGUUACCACAGCAACAAUGUAAAAAAAGUUAGGUUAAAUUCAACUCUCGCUGCUCUGCUUGACGAUCCUAUUCUCGCUGAUGUCCCCAAAAAUCCCACCCUAUCGCACGUCGACACUCUCAUCAGCCUCGAAUUGGGAAGCGCCAUGCGUAUCUCCGUCCUUAAGCUCGAUGGCACUGCCAUUGGUACACACAUUUUUCUAAUGAUCCUUCUUUUUCCCUGUCUGGCAUUUUCACAAACACCUUGUUUUAUGAACAACUGAAACUCAAUUCACCAUCUUGUUCUUGGUUUAGAUGUGGUGAUCAUGAAUUCCGCGACAUUGAAAGACUUGAAGCUUGCAAUCAAGAAGAAAGUAAACGAGAUGGAACAAUCCAAGAUGGGGCAUCGCCACAUUUCAUGGUACUCUUUCUUGAAAGCACUCUAAGCCAAUCAUUCAAUGAUCACUGUCCAUCGAUUCAAUUCCUUCGCUUUUGAAUUUGCAGGAAACACGUAUGGGCAAAUUUUUGCUUAGCACACCUCAACGAGAAGCUUCUUGAUGAUAGCUCUGUUCUUCAGGAUUUUGGAAUCCGUAACAAUUCUCAGGUUGGAUUUUUAGAAGAGUUGGAAAUAUUUGAAAUUUAUCUGAGUUGAAUCAUUCAAUCAUUAUAUACAAUGAACAAAAACUUGUUGCAGGUACGUUUUAUCCCAUACGUUAUGUCAAAGAGCUCCAGAACUCAUUCUCGGAGGAGAAAACACCGAUUCUUUCAUGGUCUCAACAAAUGUGCUUGAGCUUCCAGAUGCCUUGGAGGAUGUUUCUCUUCAACACAAAUUCAGUAAGCUUGAGUUCGCAUUACAAUUUUUGAACCUGAAUAUGAACUUUAGAGUGAAUGAGUUUAUAGGAACUUGACACUUCCUUGUACAUUUAACAUUAUGAUAUGUAAAAAUGCAAACUAAUGUCUACAUGAUUAGCAAAUUCUUUGUUGUUUAUAGACUGGGAAACCAAAAUCCUCCAUAUGCUUUGCCUUUUACUACUGUUCUCUUGUUUGAUUUUCCUUCCCUUUAGCCACGUUUGUAAUGUUUCAACUUUUAUGACUAAAAUUAUAAAAACAAAAUACAUUGAACUUUGGUCUUUAUACAUUUUUGAAAAGUUAGAAAUUGAAUCUUUUGUUUUGCUAAAACACAAAAAAUUCAUAUAGUUUAUUGAAAUUGUUCUGUAAUUUCACCUACUUUUAAUAAUUUGAAACUUAGCACCAACAGUAUGUUCUUAAGAAUACCAAAUAACAUUAUGACAUAAACCAAAAUUUCAAAUCUCAUCAUUUUUAAUUUCUUGCAAUCCCUAACAAAUUCUACGCCGAUGUAAAGUCGGAUGUAAUAAUGCAACUUUACAUUGUUUUAUGUUUUUAAUAAAUUAACCAUAUUUUAAUACUGAUGAAGCCUCUCUUCUCAACCUCAAUUAAUUGGCUUCUUCAAUCCUCUAAUGGAAGGGUCUUCACAACAUCUUAUGUUCUUCAAGAUUUGAAGGUGUCUAUAAUGAAUGAACCUUCUUGAACUUUGGUCGAUGUAAAUGGUUUUUAAAGCAAAACCAUAAAAAAUGGCAGUGUUCCAAUAGUGAACUUUUGUAAGUGACUGUAAAAUCUUGUGGGCAAGCACUAUAGAUAUGAGAGAACCUAUGUUUUGCCAUGUAAAGUUAGGAGGAUAUAAAUAUGAUAUGAUACAAAAUCUAUAUAUCAUAUUAAAUUUAGCAGAUCCCCAAAAAAAAAAACCUAAAAAUAGACUGCUGAAUUUUCAUCCUCCUUUGUGUUACUACUAGUCUCCAUGUUUUGAAUAGUUAGCUCCAUCAACUUCUGUUCCCAGCCUCAUUUUCUCCUUAUACUCCUUCAACUCUCUCCUGUAUCUUUCCUUAUCUUUCAACCCAAUGUUCUGAUAAACCUAUAACACAAAUUAAAUCAACAAAAUCACUUUAUGACUCUUUAAACUAAAGAGAGAGACAAAAAAGAAUGAUUGAUGAAACACAUACAUACCAUCCUUUCUUCAGGGCUAAGAUUAUUCCAAGACUCUCCAAUCAUCUUAGUGAACUCCCUCUCUCUGUUUGGAUACAGAGAUUUAAGCUUAUAAUGCUUCUCAGCAAAGAAGAAAUUGUACCCACUUCUAUUCGGUUUUGGAUGAUUCGGGUCUCCCUUUCUCCGGCUCCGCCGGUGCCGUCGACCUGAAUGUCGAUAUCUCCCACCGGUAUACGGUACAAUGGCGUUGGUAGAUAGAGGUCGGAGAUCAGAGGGAGGUGGCUGAUCUGGAUGGUAAAGAACUCCUCUUAAAACCUCAGAUCCCAAUUUCACAGUUACAAGAUAACCACAGUCGAAUUUGCCAUCAAUUGUUCCGGUAACUGAAAAAAACAAGUAAUAUACAUAAGCCCAAAAAGAGAAAUUUUCUUUUAGAAAAAAAAAAUGGUCAGAGUGGCAAUAAUUUGUUGAACAAGUUCAGUUAUAUAGAAAAGCCAAGGCAUUGGUGGAGAACUGUUGAGCUUUUACUGCUUGACCCCACGAAGGGGAAUUAAAAGAAGUGAAUGAAGUGAAAAAAAAAAAGGGAGGGUUUGUCACCUUCAGAAGGAGGACCAGGGGAAAACGACGUAGUUUUGGGAGUAUAUUCCACUAGAGCCAAUUCGUUUUCACUGGUAGGGCUACCAAAAGGAAAUGGUGCUGUAGUAGAAAGACAAAAGCCAAAUCAGAUUUUCAAAAAAUCCAAUGUGGAAAAAAGAAUGGAUAAAUGAAAGAAGAGGGAAAAAAAAAAGGGACCUUGAGGGACACAAAUGGGGCCUUGCCGGCCGAACAAAUAAACUUGCUCGUAAUGGUAAAGAAGACUUAGAUAAUGUUUUCUCAAUACAAAUGAAGCACUUGUAGUUGUAGGAGAAAAUUUAAAAACACUUCCAACUUCUCUCCAUUUCUUCUCUGCAACAACCUAAAUCCGCCAUUAAACAAAAAAAACAGAGUCAAAAAGCUUCAUUAAAACCAAAACCCCAACCCCCGAAACUUACUUUUUCAUGCCCUCCUCUUCUUGUAACUUCUGAAUAUAAAACAUGCAAGUCUAGUUCCUUCCCUCCAAUCACAGGAAUCCUUUAUAAUAUUCAACGAGUAAAGAGAAAAGUAGCCAUUAGUAAACAGAGGAAGUGAAAAAAGUGUAAAAGUGUAAAAGUAUAGUGUCUUUUGGUUAUGUAGCCGCCAUUAAUAUCAUAUUAUGAAGCUUUAGAAAAGAACAAAAAUACUCACAUGAACUUUGUGUUCAUCAUAAAAUGGAAACGGCGCAAAGUGUCCCAAAAAACAAUGGGGUCGGAGAUAACUUCAUCAUGUGUAGCAAGUGAGGGUGGAUAAUGCUUAUCGAGGCCACCGUUCCAUGUUUUGGUUCUGGCCGGCGGUGACAUGGCUGGAAAAAAAAAAGAACAGAGAAAAAAAAAAAAGAAGGAAGAAGGAGAGUGAGAGAAAGUGAGUGAAGAAGAAAGGAAAGAGAAAAAGUAAUGAUGGUAUUAAAGAACAUAUGAUUUCCAAGAUAAAGUAAUUAAAUUGAAAGAAGAGAGAGAGAAGAGAGGAAGCUGGAAUUAAAGAAGAUGGUUGGAAGCGUGAAAGGCAACUGUUGUGCAGAAUUGGCUUUUUCUGAGAAGAAUUUGGGCAAAGACCAGUGAACAAAAAGGAAAAAAAUUAAAUAAAUAACAUUGUAAUUAUAAAUUAAUUAAUAUUUAUAUACAUAUACAUACAUAUAUACAUAUAUAUAUAUAUAUUAAUGUGUUUGUAAUGUUGUUGAGUCGUGUGAUUGGAAGUGUACAGAGAGAGAGAGAGAAGGAACGUUGACAUGCACCUGGGGACUACUUUUUGGGUUUCUGAAGCAUAUCUCUGGGGGAAGAUAUUUGAAUUACACUUUUUUUGGGGCUACGAGUUAAUAAUAUUGACUCCUACCAUUUCACUAUUUAGAACUCAAAAGGUACCCUACACAAUCCCAAUUCUAGGAUUUCAAAUUACAAUAUUCUUUCUCGACUCAAAAACAAAUAUUCUAUCUUAGGAGUUGUUUAUAGUAUUGAUGAAGUUAUUUAAUACAAGUACAGAAUAGAUAAAAAGGAUAAAAGAUGUUGUUUAUUGAUAAAUGUGUUGCUGUAUGUUUCUUAUGAUUUCUUAUUUAACCUUCAACACCCCCUCCUCUAACGUCAAAAUCUGAUCUUUCAAAUGCCAUAGUGAGACUUCCUCACAUGAACUUCGUAAAGCUGCUGCUGCUGCUGCUGGUUUAAAUGGCUAUAAAUCAUAAAUUUUUGGAUUAUAAAAUAAAGUUUUAUUUAUAUAGAGAGAAGAAGAAAGAAAGAAAGAAGUAAAUAAAUAGGUGGAUUAUAUGAAGAAGUGAUGAGAUGGGUCCCGUUGUGAGGUCGGGGUUAGGUUCCCUAUCCACUGGCUGCAUGUUUCGUCCCUCCAUGCAUAACCUGCACUGAGUGGUCUAUAUUCCCACUUCCCUUCAACUCUCUUUUUCUUCUUUUGUUGCUGUCUCCAUUUAUUUUCAUCACUCUUUAUUUAAUGGAUUCCAUUUCCAACAUUAAAACCCUCUUCUUCUUUUUUCUUACUUCUUUUCAAUUUAAUUCCUAUUGGAAAAUAAUGUUUGUUUUGACAGCUCGAUCGUAAUUCAAACCCGAUAAAAUUGUCAAAAAAAGCUACUGGAAUAUUGUUUUGUUUUAUGUAUAUACCUAUGUUUUGUUUACAUAAAAAAUAAAUACUUAAACAUAUCUCACACAACACCAAUAUAGAGACGUUGCUCUUUAUCAUAUAGCCAUUUUUGGUCAUGGUAAAAUAUUUUAUUGAUCUAUAAAUUUUCAACCAUAUUUAUGAGCUAGAUAAUAAAAACAGCUAUGUACUAAUUUUAAUUAUUUUUCUAGAACAAUACUGAAGUUAAAAGUUUACGUGAACUAAAAUAAUAUUUUACAGAAGGUUGAAUUUAUUUUCAGUACUUAUGUUUGCUGUGUGAUGAGACAAUGCUAUGUACUGAUUGUCUAUGCUAAAUUACAGAAAAAGGGAUUACAAUUUUUUAUUAAAUAAGUUGCAUAAUAAUAAUAUUUGCAAAAAUAUAAUAAUAAUUAUUAAUAUUUAAAAAUAAAUAAAUGGUAGUAAUAUUAUUGUUUUUGCAUUUGUGAGUAGCCGAACUUAUUUAUGCAUAUAUGGACCAUUAAUGAAAAACAUCAGUUUUUAUUAUUUAUUUUUUCGAUGUCUGCCAAAUUAGCAGAACUUUACAAAAGAAAAAAGUCUAUUAUUUUCAAGUUAUUUGAUUAAUAAUUAAUAUAUAAAUUUAAUUUUCAUUAAUGGAAAUGUAAAUUGAAAAAUAAAUUUUAGAGUAACUGCUGAGAUUAGAUAAGUAAUAUCAUCAAUUGGGUAACCAACCAAUAACCAUUAUUAAUUCAAAUUCAAAUUUUGUAUGUAACCGUUAGCAUUCGUAAUGUAUUUUCUCCACGUACUUACAAAACUUCAAAUACUUAAACCGCUUUUUACUGGCUCCAAUCGUUGUACACCACGUGGCAUACAAAUUUGUUAAUUAAAACAAAAGUAUAGUUUAAUUACCCAAUGAGGGCAUUUGGUCUAGUGGUAUGAUUCUCGCUUUGGGUGCGAGAGGUCCCGAGUUCGAUUCUCGGAAUGCCCCAUUUUUCUCUUAUAUUUUUUAAAUAAAUCUUAAUUGCAAAUGACAAUAAUAUCCUUACUUUUCUUUUUUUUUAAGUGUUAUUUUAAUAAAUCUUAAUAUUGCAAAUGACAAUAAUCUCCUUACUUUUCUUUUUUUAAAGUCUUAUUUUAAUAAAUCUUAAUUCCAAAUGACAAUAAUAUCCUUACUUUUCUUUUUUUUUUUGAAGUGUUGUUUUUAAUAAAUCUUAAUUGCAUAUGACAAUAAUGUCCUUACUUUUCUUUUUUUAAGUGUUAUUUUUAAUAAAUCUUAAUUGCAAAUGACAAUAAUGUCCUUACUUUUUUAUUAAGAUAAAUAGCAAAAAUUUAUCAAAUAUUUACCAAAAUUUCAUAUUUUACCACUAGUAAAUUUAUAUAACAUAAAUAGACACUAACAAAAGUUUAUUAAAUAGUAUAUAUAUAUAUAUAUAUAUAUAUAUAUAUAUAUAUAUAUAUAUAUAUAUAUAUAUAUAUAUAUAUAUACUAUUUUUUUAAUUAAUUGAGAUGAUAAUAAAUAUUUAUAUUUAACCUCAAUUAAAAUCGAUAUUUUAGGAUAAAAAACUAAGUCACGAAUAUUUUAAGUCACAUUUUACAUAUCUUUGAGCUAGUUCCUUUCAAAAUCUGUAAUCUUUUUAUAAACUAGUUUUAUAAUAAGAUUUAAAAGGAAAACAUAAAAUAAUGGGUUAUCCAUAUUUUAGUUUUAGAUUUGACCACAUGAUAUUAACGGUCCAAAAUUUUAUUAUAAAUAAUUGACAAAAAAUUAUAGGUCUUGAUUUUUGUUCAAAAUUUUAACGAUAUUUGAAAUGUUAAAUAAUAUAUGUCGCCUUGUUUUAUAGAAAAAUAAUAAUUAUAAAAGUUCAUGAGUAUUUUUUAUAUUACAACCUUUAAAAAGUUUUGGUUUUUCGCUCAACAACGUGCCAUCUAAUUUGAUAGUGAAUGUUUUGUUCAAUUAGACUAUGCUCAUAUAGUAAAGUAUUGCUAAAGCGAGCCUGAACCAUUUAUUUAUAGUUUAAGAUCGAGAAAUUGGUGAUUCAAAUAUCGAUAAGACAAAGUGACUAAAUAAUUGAUUUGAACUUUCUUAGGAGUCGUUUGGAGCGUGAAGUAGGUUAUUAUAACGUGUGUUUAUUAUAGUUGAUGAGUUAUAAUUUGUGACUAAAAUAUGGAAGAUUUCAUUCAAUGGGGACAAAAAAUAAAUUGCAAUUUGGAGAAGAGGGAGUGAUGGAUGACGAGAAGAAUUGAAGGGAGAUAAAGAUGGUGGAAAUUGGAAAGUAUUGAAGAGAGAUUAUAAUAGUACGAUGAGCAUGAAAACUGAGGGAUUGAGAUAAUCAAAUAACCCUAAUUCUUGGUUUUUCCUAACGAGCGGACCAAACGUGGAGUGGGCUACCCACUCUAGUAUUUGGACCAAACAAAUCCUUAAUAAAUGCACUUCUAGACAUGCCUAAUUACUUUUAAUUCUCUUUAUCUCAAUUAUUGUGGAAAAUAAAAAAAAAACAUUAAAUAGAUAUAAAUGAUUGAGUCUUCUAAGUAGAAGGAAUUAUACACUUCAUAUCUUAAGAGUCCCAUUCCCAUUCAUAAAAUCUAAUGUUAGAUUGAAGUCAUUUUAUUCUUGUGUUGUUUAUUCAACAAAAAAGCUUUGUUUUCCCAAAACCAAGAAACCCUAUUUAUUCUCCCUACCACUGUUAUUAAUAAACUUAAAACUAUAAUUUAUAAAUCCAAAUGCAUUGCCCAUAAAAAGUAAAUAAGGUACAGCAGUCUAAUUUUAAUGUAAAUUAAUUCACCUAUUAUAUAUAUAUAUAUGAUAUUCAAAACUUUCAAUUUUGGAGAUCCAUGAAUUUUAAAAAACAUCAUCAAAUAUCAAAUUGACAUUUGUUAGUUGUAUUAAAUACAAUAAUUAAAAGCUUGAGACCAUAUUAAACACUUCAUUGUUGAAAAUUAGAUGAGUGUUGAAAAAUGUGAGCUAUCAAAGACAUAAGGAAAAUGAAAGCAUGAACCAUGAAAGUCCUGAAAAAAGAGCCAGAUUUUAAAAAAAAAUUGUUUUAAAACUUCAUUUUAAAAAAUCAAAUAGUUAGCAAUUGAGUCAUGAAACGAUCUUAAACAUGACCUAAAAUUUAUCGUUUUUGUUUAUAAGAGACUAAUCCAUGGUUAAGAAUGAUUUCGAAAUAAUUUUAAAUUUGAUUUAGUUAGGUCAAAUUAAAUUUUAAUUAUGAUUUGAAAUGAUUUUUCUAAAAAAGAACUAUUAUAGUCAUAAGUUUUAUAUAGACUUAGAAUACAUUGUUAUAUUUUUUUGUCAUUCAGAAAAAACUAACUUUUUACUUCUUAGUCCAAAAAGUUAUGAGUUUUUGAAAAACAGUUUUAAAGGGUCUCUCCCUAAUCCCUUUAAUCAAGUAUUUUAAAAAGUUAUUUUUGAAUGCACAUUAAAAUCAUAAAAUGAAAAAGAAAUAUAUAUUUUUCUCACUUUUCCUUCACCAUUAUGCAUUUUCAUUUAAACUUUUUUCCCCCUAAAAACUAAUUAAAAGAAAAAUAAAAAUGUCUUUGACUAACUUUUUUUUCCUUUCAUAAAUGUUUUUAGGUAAAAAUUUAUUUGAUUUGUUAUAUACUGUUUUUCUUUAUAGAAUUUCAAAUUAUAGUAAAAGAAUUUGUCCGACUUGGAUGAAAGUUCGGUAACAAUCAUCGACCGAAGGGUGGUCGGAGACAGUCAUGGUAAGAACACUUUGUUUCCUGUACAAAUUGGGAGCGGAACUGGCAGGUACAAAUUGAUUUUCCAUCUUUACCUUUUUCAUAUAUAGAGUGUGAGCGAGAGAUGAAAAUUUUGAGAAAAGAAACUCCCAUCUAUCAAACAAUGUUUUGAAGACAAAUUUUCUGAAGAACCCACCACCCAAAUCUCCUGUUUGUUUGGUUAUGAGAACAUUUCAAAACAAUAGUUUAUCAACAAUAUGGAAUUCCAAAGAAAAUCUCAAUUUUUAUUUAUCUAUAAAUUUCAAUUGAAACGAGUCUACUUGUGUUUAUCUUCAUCACCGAUUCAAUCGAAAAUAAAGAAAAAGCAACAAUAAUGACGUGAAAUUAAUUAAUUGAAACGAUCCACAAACGCCGCACCUACAAUUAACAAGGAUUCGGAGUAACCCAUAUGGGUGGAAGCAAACGCCGGCGGGAAUGGGAGCCGCCGGAGUAAUACGGCAGCGGCUCGAAGCUUUCGUCGCACAAUCGGAAAAUCCCCAUAUCCGGUUCUUCACCUUGUUCCUGAUAAUCGCUAUCCGAAUAAUCAUCAGUGUAAUAUAUACAAUUUCCUGAGAUUUCACCAAAAUCAGCAGCGGAGAAGGCCAUUGAAGAAUUUCCUCCAACAAACAACGCCAUUUCGUUCAAGUUUUCAACCUUCUCCCAUCGUGGUCCUUCCCAUUCCAUUCGAAACACUUCGAAUCGUACCGUCCGAUACAUUACAGGUAUCAGUUCGUCCUCCAUGCCGUCGUUGACAAUAUCCAAAUACCGACUCACCAGCAGCAAUUCCUGCCCUAAUUUCACCAGGUAUUGUAUGUCGCCAGCCAAUUGCCUCUCCGUCGCAACCAGUGAAACUUGAGAGCGCGAACCACGUAGAUCCAUCAAUGAAACGACGCCGUACUUAUCCACCGCGUAGAACACUCCGUCGGAGUAUAUAACAUCUUCGCAAUCAGACGGUGCGUCGUCUACGAAAGUCCAUGAUCCCCCACCGCUCCGGCAAAACGCCAAAUCGCCGCUGUGAUUCAGAAUCGCCACGGCUAAGAAAUCGUUUGGGUUCGACGGACUUGAGGAUAGAACGAUUUUCUUGACAAAAGAAUCGCGCAUCUGCCGCAAAUUUCGAGUGUAGAUAUGUCCUGUGGGUGUACGGAUCAGAUAUUCUCGGCCAACUCUGGAGUAAUCGAAAGAUACAACGUUAGGGAACGUGGAGAGGGGAGGUAGCCAGAGCUUGGCCCUGGUAAAGGGGUUGAGGAGGAGAAUCGGCGGAGUUUCAUCGACAAUCGUAAGCCAGCCGUGGGAAGAACCACACGGGCGCUUCCGGAGAGAAAUCUCCGGGAGGUAGAGGAAGUGGAUUUUGUUGUCGGAGAAGUUGAAUAAACCACAGCGGCAGUUGUGAUACAGAGGAAUUAUGAGACAUGGAAGCUGGGGAGGAAGACGGUGAGGGAUUUUAGGGACCGAGAAUCGCCAGUUCCAACAAACUACUCGAAAUCGGAGAUAGUCGGAGUAGACGGUAAGGUAAUCUGAGAUUUGGUGAAGGAGAUCGGGUGGGAGUUCAGUCCAGUCGGCCAUUUUUCCAACGCCUUCCAAUUUCGUUGAGGAGAUGUAUUUGUUGUAAAAGACAGAGCUGAUGAUGUGUUCUCUACUCUUCUUUUUUCUUCUUCUUUUUUCUCAUUUUAAUUUAUUGCAUCUUUUUGUUUCUGUUUCUUUAUUUUUUUAUGAAAAAGACAUACACUAACCGAUGGAAAUAGAAUCCUUUAAUUAGUAGGGGGAAGUUCAUAACUAAUGGAUUAAAUGGAUAAACAUAAAACAGGACAACAAAUAAAGUGCUUUUACAUGUUGCUCCUAUACAAAAUAAUUUUAAAAACUUUUAUUUGUUCAUUUUCUAUUCUUUAUUGUUUCUCAAACGAUUAUCAGAACGUCUAAUUUGAUUAGCCAGACAGCAUUCCAGAAAUCCAUACUAAAUUGUCGAGUGAGAAUUUUAUGUCAAACACCAAAGUAUUUGACCUCUCCAACUUUUUGUGGUCUACUGCUUCUUGAGUUAAUCACAAAAUCGAGCACAACCCAAUUGAAAAGAAGGUGCAAGAAACCAUUCUUCUUUUUCAAAUAAAUCUAAGCUGAAGGCAAUGAACUGCUGCAGAUAUUCUUCAUUAGAUGUUCUAAAAGUUGGAUAAGCUGAAAGCAAUCUACGAUAUACAAUCUCUAGAGCAGAUAUUCUACAUGAAUUGGGCAAAAAAACAUUUUUGAGUUUCUAUCUUGUACCUCUAAUCUAAUAUUCUCAAAGUUACAACAACUCUGGUUGGCCUAUGUUUUUUAGAAAAAUUAUAAUCCUUGUCAGUAGGGGUCUAUAAGGAAAAUGUGACUCAUAGGUAGGAAUCAGAACUUGACAUAAUUAAUGGAUUUGGCUCACUUUCUUAAGCAAAAUUUAUGCAUAAUCUGAUUAGGUUUACAAUUUAACAAGCACUAAAUCAUCAAAAACAAGUAUUUUUCCGCUCAGUAUCCAAAUGGAUGGUUAAUGCUUAAAUAAAAGCAAAGGUGGAAGAAGACCGUUUUAAGUUUCAGCUUGCGUCUCCAUGUCAAGACUUGCGUUCUUAGCAAUUUUAGCAACUUCAUCAAUGACACGUAAAUCUGGAUAAUUUCGAUGAUUUAGAGAAUGCAACCAUAAGGCCACGGCUCCAUCUUUGUGCUCUGUGGAAGCAAUGUGAGAAUAUAUUUGUUUCAUUUUGAAAUCUUCUGCUGCCUCUUCGUAUGCUUUCAUGGAUACCUCUUCAUGAGUGUCUUUCCACUUUUGAUUAUAUGAUGUGAAUAGGCACUCAUCUAGGUACAGCCCAACCUCAGGUGCAGUGGGCACAUUGAUAUUUACAUCCCUGUGUUUGAAUUUUGAUUACCAGAAGUUGGUGAAAUCCAAUUCUAUUCUAUUCUAUAAACAAAUGAAAAUCAAAUUGAAUCAAUUCAAAUUGUUGUCGAAAAUGGAAAUUACUUACUUUUGCAAAGCUUUCUCGAUCAAUGACUCUGGAGCACAGUUCCUCAUGAUUGCCACAGCAAGACCCAUCAUCUUACGGAUCUGAUGAAGCAUGAAACUCUGCCCUACAACUUCACAUUUCACAAAUUCAAUGCCUUCAACCACGACGAUUGCAGAAGCAUCAAACGAAACAAUGAAUCGACGAGCAGCAGGAUCCUCUGCUUUUGUUCUAGUAGUAAAAUUGUGGAAGUUAUGAGUUCCCACAUAAUGUUUCAAAAUCCUAUUGAACCUAGCCUUCUCCUCCUCGCCGUACUUGAAGCUCCCUGAAGAUUUCUCUUUCCCAUUAACGCUCUCUUUGCUUACAACAAUCUCUGAAUCACUCCCUAAUCCAGACAUUUCACUGCUUUCACUUUUUGCAGUACCUUCGCUUCCAACAUUGAGUUCAGUAGCAGUGUUUUCUACUAAAACGCUAGUUUGUUUGUUAGAAUCAGAGGUCGUGGCACUGUCCUCCAAAACCCCAUUUGCUUGAACAUCAGAAACUUCAAUGGCGUUAACAGUGUUCGACGAAAUGUCUGACUCAGUUAUCGCAGUUUUUACUUCGAAAUUGCGCUUGCCUAUCAAGCCUUCGACCUUGCGUCCUCGUUCAGAGCACUCUAAGCACUUCACAAGCUCGUUAUCAGACCCUAAACUAGCUUUCACACUUUCUCUAUCACGAUGGCAAUUGGGAUCGAGAGCGAAGACAGGGAUUAGGUAUACAUACCUUCUCCGAUCGCAGAACUUUUUCGCAUUGAAUGACGCUGUGACGCGCUUGUACCCGAAAAUUCGAAUCUGAGGCGAAAGAUUCGAAUUGAGACGAUCAACAAAACCUGGUGGAUCGAUGUAAAAGCGACCAGAAACGACCUGACCCACGGCGCUCACGCCCUUAUCAGUGCGAGCCGAGCGGGCCCAAUCAUAGCGCUUCGAGAGCCCUCGGUCCUGCUCAGGUACGGCUCCGGCGAGAUAUAAGGCUUCUUCAAGGUCAGCUUCAAUGGUUUUAGCGCCAGGGUUCUUCUGCAUCCCUUGGUAACCGACGCCACAGUAGGCAAAAAAAAUGGCAACCUUGCGGCGCUUGUACCUUUGUUUCUUGGGCGCGGCAGAGUUGGAAUUAACAUCUUCGUCGUCGGAUGUGGUGGUUGUAGAUGACAUUUUGAGCUUCUUCGGUUGGGGUUCUUCGAUCAACGGUUGUGGCGGUGACCUUCUGGUUUCAGUUGGCGGUUCUUCUUCCAUUAUAGCCAGGUAGGGAAAUGGUGUGAAGUAGACAUUAGGGUUUUAGAGACCAUCCCAUCCAACAGAUUUUAGUAACUUCCAACUCAAUAAUAUCCAUUUUUCUUUUUAAAUAAUAAUAUUUGGGUUUUUUUUUUUUUCAUCCUUAAACUUUUGAAAUUAUAUUUGUAAUUUUCUAAAUUUUUAAAAAGAAUUGUCAAAAAUAAAAAAGGAAAUUUGUCAAAACUAAAUCAUUUGACAAGAUAUUUAAAAAUAAAAUGUGAUAAAUUUGGUUGGUUUUGUUUGAUUUUUCCUAUUUUCUAUUAAAAAAAAACCAAAUUCAGUAAGUAUUUGUAUUCUGAAAAAUAGAAAAAUUUAGUAAGUAUAUGAAAAAUAAGUGUAGUAAAUUUUGGUAUGCAGUGUAAAUAGUUUUAUUUUUUUUUAUAAGAAAUGAUCCAUUUUGAAAAUAUCAAUGUUAAUCCAUAAAAUUGACAUUCUAUUAGUUUGGUAGUAUAGUCAGUUGUAUCUAAAAACACAUCACGUUUCAUCUAGUUAUUAAGAUCGUGUCUCGUUUUUUAAUGAUGAAUCUACUAUGAUGGUUUAGUACUAUGCAACUCAUAAUUUUAAAACAGACCAGAGUUUAAGGUCCACGAAACAAUAUUAUUUUGGAGUAAUUAUAAACAAAAUUUGAGAGUGAAUGAUUCGUAAUCACAUUUUAAACUUUAGUUUCAUUUAUCUUUGAUACUAUGGGGUGACUUAUUAGUUAGUCAGGUGGGUUAUCUGCUAAAAUUAUUAUCAUUUGAGUCGGUUUAAACUAACUUAUUUUACAAUUCUCUUUACUUCAUGUAUGUAUUCGUUAAUUACUAAAAAAAAAAUUGUGAAAGAGUAAAGAGACUUAUAUCUUGUAAUUCCCUUUGAUCAGUAGCGGAUCCAUAAAUUUUACCUAUGGGCAUUAGACACUAUAAAAUAAACACACUAAAAAAUGUUAAAAACAUAUAUAAACGUUUCACUAAUGCUCCAAUAACAUUCACUGCAUUUGUAACACUAAGUAAUUCCGUCAAUUUUUAUAUGGUUUUUUAAAAUAUAAAUAUAUGAAUUUAAAAUUUGCAUACAAAAAUAAAAAAUAAAGAAUAAUAUAUUUUUCAUAGAACAUUGUGAGGCAGUAAAAGUUUGAAUCAUCGAUUUUGUUAUAUUUUUUAAAAGAAUUUAUUAAAUAAUAAAAGAAGAGCUAUAAAAUAAAUUUUGGUUAUAUACGAAGGUGAACACUUCAAAAUUAAUAUUAAAAUAUAAAAAUCUAUAAUCCAACUGACCGUUGAUAAAUUCACCCUUGCUUUGAUAAUAAUUGAAUAAACAAUCAAGCUCGAACCAACACAAAUGCAUGAAAUUUAAUACAUUGCAUUAUUGUGUUAAAAAGGUAAUAGAUCGACGUUUUAAAAUAGAAUCCGAUAUAUAAAAUAUAGAUUUAAACCAAUAAAUAAAAGGCAAUAUCGUGAUUCAAUUAGCGUACGUUCAAUCGGACGGUCCACUGUUAGUAUUCCAUGAAACUGACUGUUGCUUAACGCUUAAGCCAUUUGCAAAAUGGUCAGAGACGGAACUCCACAUCCCGCACCCCCUCGAUUGGUUCUAGCCAAGAAUCUCGAGCCCACGCGGCUGCAAUUCAAUUGCCUCAUUGCAAAUGGUUCGAACAGAUAAAAUCGUUUCCCUGAACCAGCAGAACCAAGGACGUCGAACCGCGAAGUGAUUGCUUCUUGGUAACGUUUUUCAUUAUUUGCUAAGUAACUUUUAUUCAUCAUCGCCUUAUGUUCUUGCGAUGUUCAAAUGCGGAAUUCUAAUCACAUUACUUAGUGAAGCGUUUUGGUUGUUUAGUUAUUUUCCCAUUAAAUAUGAAUACAAGACGAAUCAUUCUCAAAGCAUCUUUCGUUGUAAUUGCGUUCUUCUUUUACUCCUUUUGAAUUGAGGAUUAUUGCUAGCUAAUCUUAUCUCUUUCUUGAAUUUUUCAGCGGUAAAUGUCUUCGCGCCAAUCUGAAACUGUGAUUUCAGCUGAUUAAUUCGUAUUGUCAAGGUUGUGAACGCAUCUGCUGCAUAGCUAUUUAGAAGUUGAUUUUAGACAAUUUUAAGAAGUGUUUAUAGAUUAUCCAGUUUCAAAUGGAGGAAACGAUUCUCAAAAUGAAUUGUCCACACCACGUCACUAAGAAUUCUGUUAUAAUUCUAGCUCGUUUUCUUAUUGUCUUUUCCGUUGUUGGAGUGGCCAUCUGGAUAACGAAGUUAAGACCACACAAGAUGAUUGAGGUUACACUUUGCAGAUUGUGAUGCUUUUUCAUUUUGGUUGUAGGACUAGGACGUCCCUAUAUUCUGCAACCAAGACGGUUUUCACAAGUUUCUCCCAAGUAUUAUGGGUGACCAUGAUAAUGUAUGCUUCUUGUUUAAUUUGGCAAUUGUUUCCUUGAUGAGUUUUCUGCAUCAGUGUGAUAUGCUUUUAGUUAUAAAUUUGUUGGAAAUUAGAAUAUACAUUAUGAUAUACAAAUUACUUAUUUAUGUUGGAAUUCAGGUUUUUGAUGAAAGCUACGAAAAGACUGAUACUGGUAUGGUUUUUUCUUUGUUUUGACAUUAAAUUUCACAUCAUCGUAUGCUCACGUCAAACUAGUGUUUGUGAAAAGAUCAUACCUCUCUUGGAAGUGAUUUGAAAAGAAAUGUGAAAAGAUCGUAUGCUUAAAAUUUGACUCAAGGAUAAGAAAUUUGAAAAGAAAUAGAUGCUUCUUAGGUGUGAGUACGUUGCAAUAUUUGCUUUUAAUUUACAUAAAAUUUGUGGUUUAUGAAAAGGAUUGAUACACGUGGCCUUGAAAUCAGAGCUGGUUUUUUGCUAUGUAAAUUUUCGUUUGUUUGAAAUUAUCUUAUCAUUUUAAUAAUUUCAGUAUUUCUUUAUGGUCACCUGUAGGGGCAGUGAUACGCAAUGGAAGAGAAAUCCUUUUCCAGGUAGAUGUUACAAUUUCAGCUUUCUGAUUUUUCUCUAGAGCAGAGGUCAGCAGGAAGGAAAAUAUUAUGUUGCUCUUAAUUGAAUUGAAGUCUCGGAAACAAAAAAAGAAAAAAUGUUUGCCGUUUGAAAUCCAUGCUCGAUGUUGUUGAUUCUUUUAAUGUUAAUCGGUUAGAUCAAAUCUCCAGGUCAUGUUAAACUUAUGAGAGAAAUUUUGCACCUAUAAUUUCCAUUGUAAUCACAGGCAUUCAGCUGGGAAUCUCAUAAAUAUGAUUGGUGGGAAAAUCUAGAGAGUAAAGUUCAUGAUAUCGCAAAAAGUGGAUUUACCUCUGCAUGGUUGCCUCCUCCAACUCAUUCCAUUGCUCCUCAAGGUCAAAGGAACAAAUUCAUUUGAAUUUUUAUGUUCCUUUCACGUAUAUGCGUGCAUAACUCUUGAUAUUUUCUUUACAAUUUCAGGUUACCUCCCUCAGAACCUUUACUCCCUAAACUCUUCAUAUGGUUCUGAGGACAUGCUGAAAACUUUACUUCUCAAAAUGAAGCAGUGCAAGGUUAGAGCAAUUGCUGACAUAGUCAUCAAUCAUCGUGUUGGGACUGUUGUAGGACAUGGAGGAAUGCAUAAUCGCUUUGACGGAAUACUAUUACCAUGGAACGAGUAUGCUGUUACCUCGUGUUCUGGUGGCCUGGUAUUUUUCUGUUACAAAUUCCAAGUGUGCUCAUAAUUAUAAGAAAACCUUUGGUCUUUAGUCUGUGGUAUCUGUUCUAGGGCAAUCGUAGCACUGGUGACAACUUCCAUGGGGUUCCAAACAUUGAUCAUACCCAACCUUUUGUCCGUAGAGAUAUCAUAGCAUGGCUGAAGUGGCUACGCAGUAGUGUUGGAUUUCAGGAUUUUCGUUUUGAUUUUGCAAGGGGGUAAUAUUGUCCUUCUCUGUUUGUGUGUGUGUGUAUUUAUAUUGUGGGGUGGCUGGGGCGUUACAGAGGUUCAAGGAUAUAUUGUUCUGAAGAUGACAAGAUCCCUCCUCCUGUUUCAAAGUUUCACUGUAUCAUCUUCUCUACAUUCGGCUUGUCUUUCCUUUUAAGGAGUUCUUCAAUGGAUUAUAACAUACAUUUGCCGUUUGUUUUUAUUUUUUAUGUUUUAACUCAGUUUUUCUGCAAAAUUCGUGAAAGAAUAUAUUGAAGCGGGAAAGCCAAUGCUUUCUAUUGGGGAAUAUUGGGAUUCUUGUAAUUAUAAUGGUCAUGACUUGGACUAUAAUCAAGGUAACAUGAUAAUGCAUUAUGUUGAUAAAUUGAAAUCAUGUUUUCAAGUUUCUGGAUUUUUAGUUUUUCUUAAUGGUUUUGUCCGUGAAUAAUAUCCUAUGUUCGUCCUAUCAAUUCAUGUGUUCCAUAUUGAUGAUUACAACUCUAAAUUCAGAUGGACAUAGACAGCGGAUAAUAAAUUGGAUUGAUGGCACAGGACAACUUUCAGCUGCUUUUGAUUUUACAACUAAGGGAGUCCUUCAGGUAUUGGUGUUGCGUGAGGCCAUUGCUAACUCCCUUCCCUCCUCAAAAUUGUAAUACUACGGACCUCAAAUCUUAAUUACUUAGAAUAGAAAGGAUGAAGUGACAGCCAUGUCAUGGUUUUUUUUCCCUCUAGAUCAGUGGAUCUACAAUGUUUGACUUUUCACAACUCUUCUAUUUGCUUUUUUCUCCUUCUUUAUUGAGUGAUGCUUGGGUUUCGUUAAUAUUUGCUCUUGCUAGUACAUUGCUUGACUAACAUGCAUUUGUUUCCUUGUUUGCUUCGUAAUAAACAUAAUAUAAUUAAUUUUGCUUGUAGGAAGCUGUUAGAAGACAAUUAUGGCGUCUGCGUGACUGUCAAGGAAAGCCACCAGGUGUGAUGGGAUGGUGGCCUUCAAGGGCCGUGACAUUCUUAGAUAAUCAUGAUACCGGUUCAACGCAGGUACCACUUCUUCAAAUCUGUUUGUGAAAUUAUUGGUUGACAAAUUUCAACAUUUGUUUUCAUUGCUCGUUGUGCAUGUGCGUUAUAAAAUUGUCUCAACUUGACCACGUAUCCAUGUCCUUUUAUUUGGAUUAAUAUUUGAGAACACGUGUUUGGAAGUCAUGCCUUGUAUUGAGGAUUGAGUGUGAUCAAACCAUACAUGAAAAUGUCAUAGGAAGCAAGCAGAAAAGUAGUAUCGAUGCAUACCUGAAUGAAGUUGUAAUGUCUGGUUGUUCUACACAGCUUCUAUAUGACCAAAUAUGGUGCCAUUCAGAACAGCUACUGGACUCUGUUCCAUUUGCCUGUGUUGCUAUUAUCUUUUGUAAGAUGCGUAUGUGUUUUUUGCAACAUGUAACUGAGAUUUAUUGGCCAACCUUUCUUUUAUAUAGGUUUGUUCAAAUUGAAGUAAUUCAAACGUAAAUAGUUCUAGGCUUCUAGCAAUCCAACUCUGCAUCUUAAUAAGUAGAUAUCUUUAGAUUAUUAUUUGGAAACUCUUAAUUAAUUUUUUUUCCUAGGUUGAAAUCAAACAUCAGGUGUGCUUUCAAGUAUAGAUAUUGACUUAUGCAGAUCAUGACAGUUAAUGCAACUCGACCUGCUUGGCAAAUGAACUAUAUAAUUCUUCAUAUGUAUUUUCUUGAAAACAUUUAUAUAAGCUGAAAUUGUACCAUUAGAAUGUUGGUGACUCCACUAACCUCAGCAUACCAUUGUUCUUGCAGGCCCAUUGGCCCUUUCCUGCCAACCAUAUCAUGGAGGUAUACAAGUGUGGCAUAUCAUUCCAUUUGCAAUCUCUUUAUUGCUUAUAGUCUUAUUCUUGCUGUGCUGUGGCUUCUUCGUGGUUUUUUGAAGCUCUCAAUUGUUUGGUCCAAUUACUCAUUGUGUAAAAUCUAAUUACCCCCCAUCAGGUGGUCCUCAUUGUUCGCUGUGUGUUUUGAAAGCUUUCAAUUGUUUGUUUCAAUUGAUCCUAUGUACUACUCUCUGUCUACAUUUGAAGUUCGUUUCCUACUUUUAGCUGCAAAUUCUAUGGCUAUAACUGUUCAGUAUGCAUUUAAAAAAAAUACUGUUGAGCACACUAAGCGGUCAAUCUUUGAUGUUUCUGGGUGAAUUUCAUCGAAAGAACUUCAUAAUUAUUUUCUAGCCUUACAAUUGUUACUGCAACUACUUUUAUGCUUGGCCUAGAGUCUUCACUUACCUUCCAGUAAAAAAAAAUUCCAUCAUGCAUCUAUUUUCUGAUUCCUGGAGCUUUGGUUAUUCCCUGCAGGGCUAUGCAUAUAUUCUCACGCACCCAGGGAUACCAACAGUAUUUUAUGACCACUUAUACGAAUGGGGUGACUCAGUGCACGACGAGAUAGUAAGAUUAGUAUGUUGCAUAGUCAAUAAUGCUUCGAUAGAGUUUGUUAUCUUCUAUUCAAGCAAACUUCUCAUAGUACUUAAAUUUUAUUUUUCUUGCAGAUAGACAUUCGAAAACAUCAAGACAUCAACAGUCGGUCAUCUGUGAAGAUCCUCGAGGCACGAUCAGAUCUUUAUUCUGCAAUAAUUGGGGAGAAAUUGUGCAUGAAGAUCGGAGAUGGUUCUUGGUGUCCUUCUGGUACGGAAUGGACUCUUGCAACCUCUGGCUGGAGAUAUGCAGUGUGGCAGAAAUAAGGUUUGGAAAAUUUACCUGCCUUCCCCAACCUUAUAUGCUUCUUUUUGUGCCAUCUGGGACUACCUGUGUAAACUAUAAAUUUUCAUAACAAGUUGGCUACUCAAAGUAUAGUAUCAUAAAUAAAAUCACUGUGGAUGAAAUGUAUUUUUACAUAGUCUAGAUUAAAUCACAUCGCUUAUAUUAUUGUCUUCUGUGUAAUUCUAAAUACACUGUAUGGUUAAGUCUGUUAAUAGAAAUGAUUGUUCUCUUCAAGCAAACUAACCUUCCCCAUUUGGAGCUUUGAGUGCUAUAUAAUAUAUAUGGUGGAGUGCCUCUCGAACAAAGUUUGAUGUACUUGGAUAGUUGGAACUUGGUAGAUAGUUAUUCAUAAUUUGAAUUAUGUAGAUACGUAGUAUGUUUUAAUUUAUAAACUAAAUAUAAACUAAAUACAAAGUUUGAUGUACUUGGAGUGUUUACUUCUUGGAGUACAGUGAUUUAUAAACUUAGAAUUGGAAUAUAAUGAAAAGGAGGCGCUUUGAAGUCCUCUACGAGAUUGGGAUGGUUUGUGGAAUUGAGCUAUGAAGAAAUUUGAGGAGUUACACGUCCUUAGGAAGGCUGUCUUAUUCUUGUUCGGGAACUAUAAUCCGAAUUUUUUUUCUUUAUUGUCUAAACUAAAUAUAGUCGAAUCAUAUUAAAAUAUUUUGUUUGUAAAAAAAUUGUCCUAAAUUACAAACAUGUAAGUAGUAUUUGAAACUUUUAUUGAGUACAAUAUAAUCUCUAUGGGCCAUUCUAUCACAAAUUUUGAAAUGAAGUAGAAUACCUCUCUGCCCAGUCCUUAUUAGGGUUCAUUUCUUAUCACAUGUAGGCCUUCCCUUCAUCAAGUUUCUAUUCACUACGCCUACUGAUGUCUUUAUGUGGGCGUAAGAUUGAGCAAUCAUUGAUUCUUUGGAUAAAUCUUAAGGCAUGGAGGAAGACUAAAGUUAAUAUGAAUGUGCGAAGCUGUGCAUAGGGGAUCCACUGUAUUAGAACUUUAAAUUAAAUUUGGUAUGUAGAUUGAUUGGAAAAGUAGGGAGAGAGUUUAGGGAUAGCAAACUGAAAAAUCAAACAUGGACAUGGUUUGAUCGGCUCAGUUUUAUUUAGUAGGUCGAUUCGAUUCAAUUUCAGUUUGUUGGAUAGUUGGUUAUGAUAUAUCUGAUAUUCCAAAAGGUUAGUCUCGGUAUCGGACUAAAUGGAGUCGAACUAAUCUGUUUGUUCUCUUAAUUCUUAAAGUGUGUGCCACAUAGCAGAAGUGUAGGGAAGAGACGACAAAGCAUCGCCAUCACAAUACCACGGUCAAUCCCCUCAUCAUUUUUGCUUUGAAACUCCAAAAGAUACACAGAACAACGCAACCCUUCCACGGCUUCCCUUAAUCUUGACCUUCAUCCCGUAUAUUGUAUGUAUUAGUUGGGCCAUUAUCAUGUUUAUCAACAGCGAGUCUCUAUAAUUUCUUAUGUAACCUUAUCCUGUGUGGACACUACCUUGUCCCAGUCCUCAAACUCGGACAACUUUGUUUUACCUGUCACUUGAUUAUUCGAUAUAGGCUGAUUAAUUUAUUCACAAGGGGUACUAAUUAAUCACAGUAGCUAGCUAGUUUGCUUUUAUAAAAUUGACUAGUAAAUAUUCAUGAUUCAUCUACUAGCAUCAGCACUAGCACUUUCUAUAUAUCUAUUGGAAAUUAUGAAUUUUUUAUUAUUCAGAAACACAUUCAAACUACUGUCUGAAGCAGCAGUAAAUCUGGCAUUCAUGUGACAGAAUAUUAUCUACCAGUAACAUGGCUGAUUGCAGCAAAAUGAGUCUAAACUUUUUUAUACCAAGCAUUCAUUCUUUUGUUCUCUAACUGCCUUUUCAGAUUCUCUUCGUGCAGGAUUAUAAAGUAGAUUUUUCUUGAGGCUCCAAAUGCAGCAGCCAGCGAUGAACUCUUUCUCUCUGACGUCCACCGCCGGAGCAUAAUUGGGGAUUCUAAGGUAAAGUUAAAAAAUAAAAAAAUUAAAGAACUUAUAACUGUUGAUUUUUUUAUUAUUUUAAUUAUUGUCGUUGAGACAUUUUCAUUACGGCAGAUAUCCACUUUUUAACCACAACGGCUCGCAAUCAUUGAAAACAGUAUGGGAAUCCCAUCCAGUAUCCACCGAGAGCUGUGCAGUAAACAAAAGUGUAAGGCCCACUUGAACAAUAACAAAAUGUUGUUGGUUUUUACUGCUUGCUUGCUGCCUGAUUCUUUGAAUGAAAUUCAACUUUGUGGUUUGGUCAACCAUCCUGAAUUUUAGUUAAGAAAGAGAAAGAAAAUUAGAUGCUUAUAAGCAUGCGUAAGUGAAGUUUUCUAGUGGUCGUCCCUACAAACAAAAUGCCAUAUACACGUUUCCCCAAGGAACAUGGAAGUUGUUGGAAUUUUUGCACCCCAGCCCUAGCAACGAACCACAUGAUCAAAGUCCUUUCCAAGAUUCAAGUAAAGAUCACAUGAAUGUUUUCCCUAUCAACAUUAGACUAAGUGAAGGAUAGUGGGUCAUUUUAGAAUUUUUGACUCAUGUCGGUUUCUACUAUUUAUAAGAAUUUUUUUAGUACCAUUGGAGUAUCAUUGCUUUCUUUCGUUUAUACUAUAAGUUUGCUUUUCUAAAUAUUUGUGGACUCUACUUUAAGGUCACCAAAUUUCGUCCUAUUUUAAAAGCAUAGUAUAGAAAAUUUUCCAACUAUCUAGAAUUCAAAUUCCAGGGUUAUGGUCUAAGAAGAUUGUCUAAGCCAUAGGGUUUAGGAAGCUUUUUGCCUUUGGAGUGUAAGUUUGAAAAACUAUGUGAGAAAGUAAAAGUGGGUUUGUGCACGGUUGAAUCUCGUUAGCUUGCUCAUCAAACCCUAAACUUGACGAAUCCAAAACCAAACAUAAAUUUGAGAUAUUAAAGCGACAUCUACAUAAUUCAAACACCCAAAUAGUGUUCAAAACUUUACCCUUCCAUGAUUAUGAGUUUAGAAGCUUCAAUUUAUGUUGAAUAGGUAGAAAAAUAUAUGUUAUAAAAUGUUAAGUUCGAAUGGUUUUUGGGAUAAAUAAAUUCUAAACAAAAUCACAUGCUAAGAUCGUGUGUUAAAGACUCAAGAAUAAAUUUUUCAAUGGUUGAAAACGUUUCUCUUUCAAUGUUAAAGCCCAAAACUAAAAUGGAAAGCAUGUCAAUUGUCAAACAUGAAAGUACAUUCUUCUUCAAGAAAAAAAAUGUUGAAAGUAAUUUGUUGUUCAUCAUGUUUUUUAUUCUCAAAUUGCCUUUUUUUCUUUUUUCAAGUUUAAUAAGUCGAAAUCAAACGUUUAUUUAAAAUAUUAAUCGGUGAUCUUACGUGAAAAUAUGCUUGAACUAGUUCUUUCAUGCCCAUUUGAUGUUAUUUGGUUUCUUAUAAAAGAAAAGCGUGUUUAUUUUUCUUUUUGCUUCGUUUUCAAAAGAAUCAUAGGCUUAUUUAAACGUGAGUAUUUGAUCUAGUCUAUGUAUCUCGAAUGUGAAAAGACUUAUCAUAACAUGAAUUUCUAGAUAACUAGGUAACUAUGAUAGAUUCAACUUACAAUCUCUUAACUAUUAGACAAAAUGGACCAAUCCAUAAAGUUUAAAAAAUCAUCGAUUUAAUCUUUAAUUAUCAAAAAGUGGUUCAUAAGCUCAGUACUGUUAUUAUUGUUUUAAAGACAAUUAUCAGUAGAAUUCUAAAUUAGUUUUGUUGUUAACCCACUUGCAUAAUCUCCAAUUUUUAGGCUAAAUGUCUCAUGUGUUUCUUCUUCAAAUCUUGUGAGUUUUAUCUUAACGUUCAAAGUCUAGCAAUCAUUUGGUCUAUAAAGAACAUAAUAAUGCUUACAUCCAUCACCAAUGAUGCUUAACAAAUUUCUUAAUCCUUGCAAGCCUCGACGAAUAGUUAAUUCACCAUCUGGCUGAGAAAAAUCAUUAGUUAGCCUUAAUUUUUUUAAAAAAAGUUGAAAAUAAAUAAUAAUUUGUGGAAUAUUAUCACUUUAGUUAGCCUCCAACAACAAUCGACUUAGAAAAAGCAUAGAGUUUUAUUAUAUAUUUAUAUAGUUGAAAAUUAUUUUUUAUAUAUAUACGAUUAUUUAAAUAUUCUUGAUUUUCGUUUUUUGAAAAGUAGAUAUUAUUUUUUAAAAAAUAGUUGAUUGUAUGCAUUCUAAUUAAACUUUAGCUCCAAUGAAUAUAUAAAUCAAUUAUUAAAAGCAACUCUACAUGAUUGGAGUCGGAUGAUAUAGACGCUAAUAUCCCCACCUUAUUUAUAAAAAGGUGAUAUGAAAUUAUGACAAUGUAUGUUAUGUCUUUUUGGCAUUAAACUUUAAGAAAAUCAAUCACCAAUUUUCGACUAUGAUUCUAUAUAGUUUAUUAAUUUGGUAAUGGGAUUUAAAUGUGGCAUGAUUAGUAGUUUGUCUAGCUAUCCAUCAUGGUGAAUUAGUUCUAUUUUAUUUUCAGGAUGGUGUCAUGUUAGCACUUUAUUAUUAAUGUCAAUAUUUAACAACAAAUUGAAGGAACGAUUUAUCAGAACUUUUUUAUAUUACUAAGGUAUAAAGUUCAUUCAGGAAUGUUUACAACAAAUUGUUUCAAUGAAAAAGAAAUGGCAUAUUAAUACAUUUAAUUUUAUUUCAUAGUUCUCGACUUCUUUUUCUCCUUUUUCUAAGAAGCAAAAAGCAUCUCAAUGUAUAAAAAUAAUUGCAAUUUUAUUUACAUAACUUCCUUCAUGUUAUUAUGAAUGACAUGUUUUACGUGAUCUAGUGAAAAGUAGUUUUAAAAGUGUGUGUGAGAGUAUAGGCUAAGAAGCACGAACACUUUAGUUUGGAUAAUGUGUUUGAGUCCAACAUGUAUCUGCUAUCAGUUUAACAUCUAUUGGACAUUUUUAAUGCAACAAAACACUCUAUAGAAUACAUCAAAGUAAGUCUUUUAAACAUAUAAACGUAUCAAUUCGUUAACUAUGAAUUUAAUAUUUUAAUAAGCAUGUCCUUGUCAUGUUGUAUCAAAAAAAUUUAAGAUAUGGUAUGUGAUCGUGUUCGUAUCAAUACUUCUUAGAGUAUAAGGCUUAAUAUACAAGUGGGUUACUAUUUAAUUGAGUAGUGAAAAAUGUAUAGGAAAAAGUGUUGGAAGGAUGAUGGAGUAAAGGAGGGAAGAGAGAAAAAAAUCAGGGAGGUGGUGAUGAUGAGAUCUGGGGAGCAAUCUUGAGACAAGAUAGGGGAGAGGUUGGGAAGGGGAUGAUUCGGCAGUGUCCUCCUCGCUGGGAGACCCAUUGGGUAAAGCUUAAGAGCCAAGAGGAAAACGGAAUCUUUGGGUUAAUAGAAUACAUGUAUUUGAUUCCUAACAUUUUUUAUUAGUCAUUUUAGUUUUUAAGCUAUAUAUAUAUAUAUAUACACGGUAAUCUAGGAGUCUUUUUUUAAUGAAAUUAAAUUUUGUAUUUCUAGUGGAUAGGAUACGACUCUUAAGCGAGAUUAAGAGGUACAAAUCUUCGAGAUGGAAUAUGAUUAUAAUUUGAGCGUAUGUAUUUGUUUGAGUUCAACAAAGAUUGAUAUAUCGACGGGUUACGACUAUUUUGAUAGAUAUGGUUGCGUAUUGAUAUGUUUGAUUGUUUCAAUUUUGAGUAUAUGUUUGUAUAAUAAAAAAAAUUGUAUUAUUUAUACAUAGAUAUUGUGCAUGAUUGAGAAAUAAAGCAUUUCUAGAAUUUGCAUUUGAGUUUUUUUCUUAAUUAUUGACUUUAGCAUCUUCCCAUGCAUUUCACAUAAAAUGGCUUAAUAAAAUAAUAAUUAGAUUUAAACAUAAGAUUGAUGUGAUAACAUAACUUAAAAAGUACAUUUGUAUUCAUACUUUUGACGUGACGAAAAAAUAUAAUGUUAACAUAUUGUUUUGUAAGUUGUAAAAACUAUUUAGGUCAAUAAUUAUUAGUAUUCCUAGUCAUACUUGUCAAAUAGAGUCCACUUUCUUAUGUCACACAACCUUUUAGAACAAUGUCUAUCGAUGAUCAUUUCUCGGGUUAUUUGAGUCUUCAACUUCUAAGUGAAGUCGAUGAGGAUGAAGUAUACAAACUUCAAUUGAUAGUUAGUGUUUGUAAUUAUUUCAAAUUUAUCUUUGUUAUAUCUAGUAUUUACCGUUUCUUAUCUAUCUUCUAAAAUAAUUUAUACAAAAUACUAUAAUGCCGGAUCGAGCGAGUUAGGGUGGGAAAGAAAUAGGGAUCUACUAAAAUAGUAAGCAUUUCUAGAUUAAAUAACCACUCUAACUAUAAUAAUCAAUCCAACUUUCUAAAACACUCCUUAGUUUAGAUAUUGGCCAAAUGAGAACGAGAGGAAUCCGUUGGUGGGGAAAUUCCAAAUCUACAAACUGCAAAAAGAAAAACAAUUAAGAGUUAAAACGAGAACGAAAGGAAUCAAUGGACGUUGGUCUUGAAAAAAUCCAAAUCGACAAAUUGUAAAAAGAAAAAAAAAUUAAAAUUAAAUCGAUCAAUCGAUUUUUGGUAAUGGAUGGUGAGGAUGGAUUCGAACAUUUGGCAUAAGAGGUAUGGAUUUGAAGGUAGACGGAUAGGCGUCGUGGGAAGGAAUUGUUGAUUUUGGGGGGAUCGAUCUCGUCUCUCCCUCCUUCGUCCCCGUGAUUCAAUCAUGGCUUUGUGUCAGUGACUACAGCACACAUCUCUCUUUUCUUUCUUCCCUCCAGCAUUACUUCUGUUUCCUGUGUGUUAUUACAUCAGACAAAAACAAAACCAAACCGAAUUCCAAAGACACAAUACUCUUUGUUUACUAUUAUAAUUUCAUAGAAAGAAAGAAAGAAAGAAAAAACAAAACCCACUCCAUUCCAUUCCUCUUUACAUGAUUUUGAAACUCUGCUGAAUUCAAUGCGAGUCGUUGGUGGUAGAUUUCAACCCAUUUAAAAUUUCUCACAUAAUAAUAAAUAUCAUAGAGAGAAACAUAUAAAGGAUGUUGGUUGCUUUCAUAAAUGAGCCAUACACAGACACCAACACUCAUACAUAUUGGUGCGACUUUUGUUUUCUUUUGCUUUCCUUUCCUUUUCUAUCUUCUUUUCAUUUUAACCCAUUUUCCCUUCUCUUUGAUAAUGACCUUUCACUCGACAAAAUGGACCAUUCCCCCCCUCCCCUUCCCUAUUCCUAUUCCUAACCUUCUCUCUCUCUCUCUCUCUCUCUCUCUUCUUUAACUAACCAUCCCACUGUCAAAUUUGAAUUCCUUGACCUUACAAAUUCAUAGAGACUUUGAAAGUUGAUGCUUUAGGGUGUGAAUUGAUAUUAUAUCUUUUCCUUUCUCAUUUUCUUAUCAACUUGAUUGUGGUUUUAGUGUAUUUGUGCAUGUCAUGCUCAUGCCUUUAUUUUUCAACAGUGGCAGUGGGUAAGGUUUUUAUUUUGGUUUCCUUAUUUGUAAUGUAUACAGUACUUUAAACACAGAUAUCUUUUUAGAGUAUAAUGAAUUGAACUUGUUAUAAUUCAUGAAUGGGAGUCCAAAUUUGUUCCUUUUUUCAGACCACUGGUUAAUUACUGGUUAAGGGUUUUUAUAAUUAUUGCCAGUUUUUAUGGGUUCCAUAUUUUGUGAUUCAGUGCUUAUUUCUUGUAAGAUAUAUGAUCAUUAAUUACUAUUACUUUAGUGUUCAUUCUACCUUGUUUAAUAACUUUAAUUAUUCAUAACUUACUGUUUCCAUACCAUCUUCCUUCCUAUACUUAAAUUAGUGUCUAAUUUUAAUCUUUAUAAUCUUUAUAUUUUAAAUAUUUUUUCAAUUUAGUCUCCAAUGCUAGUUUAUUGGGUUCAUUUUUCACUUUUUUUUUUUUCUUUUUGUGUUACAUAAACAUUUUAAAAGUAUAUGAAAGUUUUUACAACAAGUAUCGAAGAGCUUGCAAAAAUAACAAAAAAAAAAUUAUGAUAAUAAAACACAUGUCCAUAUAUUUGUUAAAUCUCAUUGUUUAAUAUGUAAUAUUAAUAAUGUAUUUGAAUUACAAUUUUAAUUGUUCAAUUUAAAAAAUAAGUUAUUUUAUAUUUUAAACAACUUUUAGAAAAAUAGUUUAAACAAAAAUGAGUUCGUUAACAAAUGGUAAGCUUAAUAUUUUAAGUUCAGUGAAAAUGUUGAAUUAGGGAGGUAAGUUGUAAGCAACUAAACCAAUUGGGUGAAAAAGGAAAUGAAAGUAAUUUAUGUUUAGUUGGUAAAAAGAAAUACUUUUACAGUUGUAAUCAUUAUAACAAAGUCCCAUAUAGAGAGAGAUAGUUUGGUUGUUCCAUGUUCCCCCUUUUGUUGUAUGUGAAAUGAAAACACAAAGAAAAGGAAGUCAGAAGAGAAGAAGAAGAAGAAGGAGUAGGAGGAGGAAGAGGGGGAAAUUGCAGUUUUGAAAAUGCUUUGUGAAACGGACCUAAUGAAUAAUUAUAAAUAAUAAUAUACCAAUACACAAGUGAGUGUGGGUCCCACCCAACACCGACUUCCUCUUUGCUUAAUCAAACUUCUAACAUUUUUUCUUUUAUUUUACAAAUUUACAAAUUUUAAAAAAUAUAAUCGUACUCUAUAAAUUUGUUAUUUUUGUAAUUUUGAAAAUGCGAGGGAUGUAGGCUUUAUCGUCAUAAAAUUUCUUUUGCUAUUUUUGCAAACUUCAUAUUUUCUUUCGUUCUCUCUCAACAAAUACUCCUAUUUUUUCUAAGGUCUGAUACCUAUAAUAAGAGACAAUUAUAAUUGAUUACAAUUUUAUAAAUAAUAAUUAGAAAAUUUGCAUCAAAUGACAAAAAUAUUUGGAAAAAGUCGUAUGUGACACUUAUUUAUUUAUUUUUUUUGCAUAUUGCGAAUAUGACAAAAUUAGUGUUAUCAUACGGUAAUCACAAGGUUAUCGACUUUUAAAUUUACCACUUUUGUAUUUUAGAAAUUGCAGUGAUAUGAACUUUAUUAUCAUACAUUUUUUUUUUGCUAUUUUUGCAAUUACCCCUAAUAAUUGAGUAUAUAACAACAAUUUUAAAAAUUGCAAUGGACUUGUAUUGCUAAUAGACGGUCUAUCAGUGAUGAUCAAUAUUUGCAAUAUGAUUUAUGACUUUUAUUAUUAAUAAACUUUGAUGUAUUUUGCUAUGUUUGUAAAUUUUUUAUAAUGUUGCUAUUUACUUAAUUAGUUUGAUCUAGUUGCUAUAUUUGUACAUAUUCCUAUAAUAAAAUUAUUUAUUUUGAUCCAUAUUUAAGAAAAUAAAAUUAUGUUGAAAUAAAUAAUUAUAUUAAUAUUUUACACUUUAUUGUUUACGUCGUUGAUGACAUUUCGUUACGUUUGUUUUCUUUUCGUAUGUUUCUUGAAAUUUUGUAUGAUAUAACUAAAAUAUUGAUUUCACCUCUAAAUUCAAAGAAGGUAUAUGUUGACAAAAUGCAACGUUGCAAAUACAUUCCAAACCAUGUUUAUAUCAAAUCGUACCUAAUUGUUGUUAAAAAUAUAUAUCUCUAUGUUAUUAAUGGUAAUGUCAUUUUGGUUUUUUUUUUUUUUUUUUUACUUUCAUGUUUGAUUAAUUUUAGUUAUUGUGUGUUUUUGGUUUGUUAUUUAAUACAACUUUUGCAAAGAUGAAAUUUGAGUUCGAGAACUUAAUUCUACGUUAAUUAAAUGUAUUAUAACUAAAAUUGAAUAAAACUCGAAAUUCUAAGAUAAAAAAUGCAUUUUAAUUAGUCAUACUAUUGCAAAUCAAAAGAUUGUGCAUUGAGAUUAGAAAUCAAUACUGCUAUUGAUUGUUUGCGUUGGUAUGAACGUUUUAAUUUUCCAUUGACCAUAUAAUGUUAUGUUAUGUUAUUCAUUAAAUAUUUAACACAUUUAGUUUGAAUGUUGAAAAUCCUGCCGUAUUUUGACUGAAAACGUUGAUUAAACGUGCAUAACCAAUAUCAUGAUCAAUGCUUAUUCUUUUUUUUUUUUUCGUUCUCGAUGUAAUUUGAAUAGAACAAUUACGUAUUGCGUUCUUUAGCACUACAAUUCUUUCCAAUAGUCAGAUUGUUUACAACUUAUAUUGAAACGUAAUUGAUGGUAUACUUGUGCUUUUGUAAUAGUGGAGGGUUGACAUUUUUUUUAGUGUAUCUCGAUCAACGAAAAAAGGGUUUUCUUUUUUUCUUUUUCAUUUUUUAAUUAUAGUUUGGGGGCAUCUUUUCAAAACAUAGUAAUUUUUCUCUCACAUUUUAACCCUAAAGAAAUACACAAGUUUCUUAACAAAAGUUUACAAUGCUUUGAGUUUUAUCAAAAUACCAUUUAAAUUCUAUAAUUUUCUUUCCAUGUAUUUCUUAUAUUAGAUGACAUACAUGUUUUUUUUAAAAGUAUAAUACUAUAAGUACAUAAUUAUUUCGAUAAAGAUGAGGCAAAAACUUUAAUAUAAAACCAAAAUGAAAUUAAUAUGAAAGCAAGGGUUACUAAUUAUUGUUAUUAUCUUCAACCUUGUGAGAUUAGGAAGUUUGAAGUCAACAACCCUAAUUAAUAUUUUUAACCAAUAGUAAGUUUAGGGUAAUAAAGUCAAAUUAAUCAACUUAAAUCAUAGAAAAAGCUUAUGAACAAAAAAAGAAAAAUGAUGUCAUUUAAAGACAAAUUUUAGUGUUAUUUUCAUAUGUUAUAUCAGUAUAGAAUGAAUAUAAUGGUCAAGCAGCAAUAUGAAAAGGGUUUUGAUAUAUAUAUAUAGAGAGAGAGAGAUGA